UGAUUACUAGACACGAUGACUAGCGAGGCAAUUUACUGUAAGAACCACAGGAGUACUAGUUAGCUACAGAAUUCAUUUGGUGGCCCGAUGUACUGUUAAUUAACCAGAGAUGUAUCUCGCUGUUCUAUAUGAGUUGUGUAAAGGCAGACCUUACUGUAGAUGACUGCCACUGCUGUAUACUUGUAUUGUAUCUCAGUGUAUAGUAUGGCUCAUUAUUUCUUAGCUCUUGAGCCUCGCACUGUAUCUUGUGUAAUUGGAACAAAGGCCAGCCUCUGGUUGAUAUCGGCCGUGAAACCUACUCCCUCUGUAAUGAAAUACUUGUUGUUGGGGGAAACUUGAGGGAAUAGUUAGUUAUGGAAAUGCCGAUGGCUCACAAAAAUAUGAAUAGAAAAUGGAACCAAGUCUGCACAUCAAAGUACAAAAUUGCACAGAAAGUGUUGCGUGAUUUUAGGUGUAGAAUCUUUAAACUUACGGAAUUGAUGAAAAUCUGAUGUCAGAUUUUUAGAAACUCAGCACGAACGUCUGCUGGCCGUUGUUUUUUUGCACGAAUCUUGGAGCAGCGAAAGCAGCCAUGUCAUCGCUCAAAUCCGUUCGGGGGAAAGGAAAACCGUCGCGAACGCCCCCCACUUCUCUGUUCCCCUUGUCCUUUUUUAAUGUUUUUUUUCCUAUUUUGCAAUUGACCAUGGCAAAUUGGCAAUCCCAUGUAGGGUUUCUCCCAAAGACAUUGCUUUUAUUCGUGGGAGAUCAGACCUUUUUGUAAGUUUCGCAUGUUACCAUGUUUUAGAGAUUUUUUAAUUAUUUUCCCAUCGAUGGUACAUUUAUCCCCCCCGCCGACACAAUCACAACAAGUUUGAAUGUUGCCAAUCGUAAGGCGUCUUCCUUGGCAUAAGAUGAGAAAUCUAUUUUUUUCUGUGAGGUUUUGGUGAGGCGUGCAUGCGUGGUUAUAGAUAAUUUUUUUCGUCUUCAAUUCUGGUUUUGCUGUGGUGUUCAUUUCCAAAAUCUGGAUCGGCACCGAUAUAAAAGAAAAACAAAUCAUGCACUAUUGAUUAAGGUUGCGCCCUAAAGUGCAUAUUUAAAUGGUUAAUGAAGGAAAUAUGCCCUAGAGGCAAUAAUAAAGUUGUUAUUUUGUAUUUCCUUAUUCAUGAUAAAGGUUUAUUAUUCAUGCUAGAAUUGUAUUGACCGAAAACUUAAAUACAUGUGUGAAUACAUAAACAAAUACCGUGUCCAGCCUCUACUAGACUAGCUCGUUGAUCAAAGAUGGUUAAGGUUUCCUAACCAUAGACAUGUGUUGUCAUUUGAUAACAGGAUCACAUCAUUAGGAGAAUGAUGUGAUGGACAAGACCCAUCCGUUAGCUUAGCACAAUGACCGUUCAGUUUAUUGCUAUUGCUUUCUUCAUGUCAAAUACAUAUUCCUUCGACUAUUAGAUUAUGCAACUCCCGGAUACCGGAGGAAUACCUUGUGUGCUAUCAAACGUCACAAUGUAACUGGGUGAUCAUAAAAAUGCUCUACAGAUAUCUUCGAAAGUGUUUGUUGAGUUGGCAUAGAUCGAGAUUAGGAUUUGUCACUCCGAGUAUCAGAGAGGUAUCUCUGGGCCCUCUCGGUAAUACACAUCAUAAGAAGCCUUGCAAACAAAGUGACUAAUGAGUUAGUUAUAGGAUGAUGUAUUACAGAACGAGUAAAGAGACUUGCCGGUGACGAGAUUGAACUUGGUAUGAAGAUACCGACGAUCGAAUCUCGGGCUAGUAACAUACCGACGGACAAAGGGAAUUACGUAUGUUGUCAUAACUGUUCGACCGAUAAAGAUCUUCGUAGAAUAUGUAGGAGCCAAUAUGGGCAUCCAGGUUCCGCUAUUGCUUAUUGACUGGAGAGGUGUCUCGGCCAUGUCUACAUAAUUCUCAAACCCGUAGGGUCCGCACGCUUAACGUUUGUUGACGAUAUAAUGUUAUAUGAGUUAUAUGUUUUGGUGACCGAAUGUUGUUCGGAGUCCCGGAUGAGAUCAUAGACAUGACGAGGAGUCUCGAAAUGGCCGAGAGGUAAAGAUUGAUCUAUAGGACGAUGGUAUUUGGACACCAGGAGUGUUUCGGGACUUACCGGGAAGUAAUCGGGUCAUGGGAAGGGGUUCCGGGCACCCUCCCCGGCAAGGUAUGGGCCAUGGGCCAAAGGAGGGGACAGACCAGCCCACAAGGGGGCUGGUGCGCCCCUCCCUUNNNNNNNNNNNNNNNNNNNNNNNNNNNNNNNNNNNNNNNNNNNNNNNNNNNNNNNNNNNNNNNNNNNNNNNNNNNNNNNNNNNNNNNNNNNNNNNNNNNNNNNNNNNNNNNNNNNNNNNNNNNNNNNNNNNNNNNNNNNNNNNNNNNNNNNNNNNNNNNNNNNNNNNNNNNNNNNNNNNNNNNNNNNNNNNNNNNNNNNNNNNNNNNNNNNNNNNNNNNNNNNNNNNNNNNNNNNNNNNNNNNNNNNNNNNNNNNNNNNNNNNNNNNNNNNNNNNNNNNNNNNNNNNNNNNNNNNNNNNNNNNNNNNNNNNNNNNNNNNNNNNNNNNNNNNNNNNNNNNNNNNNNNNNNNNNNNNNNNNNNNNNNNNNNNNNNNNNNNNCAAGGGAGAUAGCUGUUUAAAAGAACAUGUAGCAAGUUAUUUCUUCAAUCUCUUCACCUCCACGAUUGGGCCAAGCAGCGAACAAAUUCUACAAGAAGUGAGGCCAAGAGUAUCUAAGCAAAUGAAUGAGAGCCUUUGUGCAGAGUAUACUGAAGGUGAAGUAAAAGAAGCAGUAUGGAGCAUUGGACACCUUAAAGCACCGGGGCCGGACGGAAUGCCAACAAUUUUCUAUAAAAGAUUCUGGCACAUCGUGGGCGAUAAGUUAACAACAGAAGUUUUAAACACUCUCAAAGGUGGUCAAAUGCCAGAGGGGUGGAACGACACCAUGGUGGUUUUAAUUCCAAAAUCUGCUAACCCACAAAGCAUGAAGGAUUUAAGGCCCAUCAGCCUCUGCAAUGUUGUAUAUAAGGUGAUCUCUAAAGUAAUCUCAAAUAGACUGAAAAAUAUUUUGCCUAAUAUUAUAUCUCCCAAUCAAAGUGCCUUCGUUCCAGGACGUAUUAUAUCAGAUAAUGUACUUUUGGCAUAUGAGCUAACACAUUUUUUGUAGAGAAGGAAAGGCAAACUUGGAUUCGCGGCGCUAAAACUGGACAUGAGUAAAGCCUACGACCGGGUGGAAUGGAAAUUUUUGAGAGAAAUAAUGCUUAAGCUGGGGUUUGCCUUCGACUGGGUGAAUCUGUUGAUGAAGUGUGUUACAACAGUCAGAUACCAAGUCAAGGUUGUUGGGGAACGUAGUAUUUGAAAAAAAUUCCUACGAUCACACAAGAUCUAUCGAGGAGAAGCAUAGCAACAAGCGAGGAGAGUGUGUCCAUGUACCCUCGUAGACCGAAAGUGGAAGCGUUUAGUAAUGCGAUUGAUGUAGUCGAACGUCUUCGUGAUCCAACCGAUCCAAGUACCGAACGUACGGCAUCUCCGCGAUCUGCACACGUUCAGCUCGGUGACGUCCCUCGAACUCUUGAUCCAGUUGAGGCCGAGGGAGAGUUUCGUCAGCACGACGGCGUGGUGACGGUGAUGAUGAAGUUACCGGCGCAGGGCUUCGCCUAAGCACUACGACGAUAUGACCGAGGUGUAAAACUAUGGAGGGGGGCACCGCACACGGCUAAGAGAAACUUUGGUGUGCCUUUGGGGGUGCCCCCUCCCACGUAUUCAUGCUAUAAUUGUAUCAAACCCUAGAACUCAUUGAGUGUUAAUCACAUGGUGAUGUGAACUAGAUUAUUGACUCUAGUAAACUCUUGGGUAUUAGUCACAUGGCGAUGUGAACUUUGAGUGUUAAUCACAUGGUGAUGUGAACUAGAUUAUUGACUCUAGUGCAAGUGGGAGACUGUUGGUAAUAUGCCCUAGAGGCAAUAAUAAAAUGGUUAUUAUUGUAUUUCCUUGUUCAUGAUAAUUGUCUAUUGUUCAUGCUAUAAUUGUAUUAACUGGAAACCGUAAUACAUGUGUGAAUACAUAGACCACAACAUGUCCCUAGUAAGCCUCUAGUUGACUAGCUCGUUGAUCAAUAGAUGGUUAUGGUUUCCUGACCAUGGACAUUGGAUGUCAUUGAUAACGGGAUCACAUCAUUAGGAGAAUGAUGUGAUGGACAAGACCCAAUCCUAAGCAUAGCACAAGAUCGUGUAGUUCGUUUGCUAAGAGCUUUUCUAAUGUCAAGUAUCGUUUCCUUAGACCAUGAGAUUGUGCAACUCCCGAAUACCGUAGGAAUGCUUUGGGCGUACCAAACGUCACAACGUAACUGGGUGGCUAUAAAGGUGCACUACAGGUAUCUCCGAAAGUGUCUGUUGGGUUGGCACGAAUCGAGACUGGGAUUUGUCACUCCGUAUGACGGAGAGGUAUCUCUGGGCCCACUCGGUAAUGCAUCAUCAUAAUGAGAUCAAUGUGACUAAUGAGUUAGCCACGGGAUCAUGCGUUACGGAACGAGUAAAGAGACUUGCCGGUAACGAGAUUGAACGAGGUAUUGGGAUACCGACGAUCGAAUCUCGGGCAAGUAACAUACCGAUAGACAAAGGGAAUUGUAUACGGGAUUGAUUGAAUCCUCGACAUCGUGGUUCAUCCGAUGAGAUCAUCGUGGAACAUGUGGGAGCCAACAUGGGUAUCCAGAUCCCGCUGUUGGUUAUUGACCGGAGAGUCAUCUCGGUCAUGUCUGCAUGUCUCCCGAACGCGUAGGGUCUACACACUUAAGGUUCGGUGACGCUAGGGUUGUAGAGAUAUUAGUAUGCGGAAAUCCGAAAGUUGUUCGGAGUCCUGGAUGAGAUCCCGGACGUCACGAGGAGUUCCGGAAUGGUCCGGAGGUGAAGAAUUGUAUAUAGGAAGUCCAGUUUCGGCCACCGGGAAAGUUUCGGGAGUCACCGGUAUUGUACCAGGACCACCGGAAGGGUCCCGGGGGUCCACCGGGUGGGGCCACCUAUCCCGGAGGGCCCCAUGGGAUGAAGUGGGAGGGGAACCAGCCCGUGGUGGGCUGGUGCGCCCCCCUUGGGCCUCCCCCUGUGCCUAGGGUUGGAAACCCUAGGGGUGGGGGGCGCCCCACUUGGCUUGGGGGCAAGCCACCCCCUUGGCCGCCGCCCCCCCCUUGGAGAUUGGAUCUCCUAGGGCCGGCCCCCCAGGGGCCCUAUAUAAAGAGGGGGGGAGGGAGGGCAGCCGCACCCCAAGCCCUGGCGCCUCCCUCCCUCCCGUGACACCUCUUCCUCCUCGCUUGCGCUUGGCGAAGCCAUGCCGGGAACCCGCUACUUCCACCACCACGCCGUCGUGCUGCUGGAUCUCCAUCAACCUCUCCUCCCCCCUUGCUGGAUCAAGAAGGAGGAGACGUCACUUCUCUGUACGUGUGUUGAACGCGAAGGUGCCGUCCGUUCGGCGCUAGGAUCAUCGGUGAUUUGGAUCACGACGAGUACGACUCCAUCAACCCCGUUCUCUUGAACGCUUCCGCUCGCGAUCUACAAGGGUAUGUAGAUGCACUCCUCCCCUCUCGUUGCUAGCAUCUCCUAGAUUGAUCUUGGUGGCACGUAGGAAAAUUUGGAAUUUCUGCUACGUUCCCCAACAGUGGUAUCAGAGCCAGGUUUAUGCGUAGAUGCUAUGCACGAGUAGAACACAAAGUAGUUGUGGGCGACGAUUUGUUCAAUUUGCUUACCGUUACUAGUCUUAUCUUGAUUCGGCGGCAUUGUGGGAUGAAGCGGCCCGGACCGACCUUACACGUACUCUUACGUGAGACAGGUUCCACCGACUGACAUGCACUUGAUGCAUAAGGUGCUAGCGGGUGUCUGUCUCUCCCACUUUAGUCGGAUCGGAUUCGAUGAAAAGGGUCCUUAUGAAGGGUAAAUAGCAAUUGGCAUAUCACCGUUGUGGCUUUUGCGUAGGUAAGAAACGUUCUUGCUAGAAACCCAUAGCAGCCACGUAAAACAUGCAACAACAAUUAGAGGACGUCUAACUUGGUUUUGCAGGGUAUGCUAUGUGAUGUGAUAUGGCCAAAAGGAUGUGAUGAAUGAUAUAUGUGAUGUAUGAGAUUGAUCAUGUUCUUGUAAUAGGAAUCACGACUUGCAUGUCGAUGAGUAUGACAACCGGCAGGAGCCAUAGGAGUUGUCUUAAUUUAUUGUAUGACCUGCGUGUCAAUGAAAAACGCCAUGUAAUUACUUUACUUUAUUGCUAACCGUUAGCCAUAGUAGUAGAAGUAAUAGUUGGCGAGACAACUUCAUGAAGACACGAUGAUGGAGAUCAUGAUGAUGGAGAUCAUGGUGUCAUGCUGGUGACGAAGGUGAUCAUGCCGCGCCUCGAAGAUGGAGAUCAAAAGGCGCAAGAUGAUAUUGGCCAUAUCAUGUCACUUUAUGAUUUGCAUGUGAUGUUUGUCAUGUUUACAUCUUAUUUGCUUAGAACGACGGUAGCAUAAAUAAGAUGACCCCUCACUAAAAUUUCAAGAGAUGUGUUCCCCCUAACUGUGCACCGUUGCGAAGGUUCGUUGUUUCGAAGCACCACGUGAUGAUCGGGUGUGAUAGAUUCUAACGUUCGCAUACAACGGGUGUUGACGAGCCUAGCAUGUACAGACAUGGCCUUGGAACACAAGCAAAACACUUAGGUUGACUUGACGAGCCUAGCAUGUACAGACAUGGCCUCGGAACACAAGAGACCGAAAGGUCGAACAUGAGUCGUAUAGUAGAUACGAUCAACAUGGAGAUGUUCACCGAUGAUGACUAGUCCGUCUCACGUGAUGAUCGGACACGGCCUAGUCAAUUCGGAUCAUGUAUCACUUAGAUGACUAGAGGGAUGUCUAUCUAAGUGGGAGUUCAUUAAAUAAUCAGAUGAACUUAAUUAUCAUGAACAUAGUCAAAAGGUCUUUGCAAAUAAUGUCGUAGCUUACGCUUUAGUUCUACUAAGAUAUGUUCCUAGAGAAAAUUUAGUUGAAAGUUGAUAGUAGCAAUUAUGCGGACUGGGUCCGUAAACUGAGGAUUGUCCUCAUUGCUGCACAGAAGGCUUAUGUCCUUAAUGCACCACUCGGUGUGCUGAACCUCGAGCGUCGUCUGUAGAUGUUACGAAACAUCUGACAUACACGUUUUGAUGACUACGUGAUAGUUCAGUGUGUGAUGCUAAUGGUUUAAAAUUGUGGCACCAAAGACGGUUUUGAAACGUCGCAGAACAUAUGAGAUGUUCCAAAGACUGAAAUUGGGAUUUCAGACUAAUGCCCACGUCAAGAGGUAUGAGACCUCUGAAAAGUUUCUUAAGCCUGCAAACUAAGGGAGAAAAGCUCAAUCGUUGAGCAUGUGCUCAGAUUGUCUGAGUACUACAAUCACUUGAAUCGAGUGGGAGUUAAUCUUCCAGAUGAGAUAGUGAUGGUUCUCCAUAGUCACUGCCACCAAGCUAUUAGAGCUUCGUGAUGAACUAUAACAUAUCAGGGAUAGACAUGAUGAUCCUUGAGCAACUCGCGAUGUUUGACACCGCGAAAGUAGAAAUCAAGAAGGAGCAUCAAUUGUUGAUGGUUAGUAAAACCACUAGUUUCUAGAAGGGCAAGGGCAAGAAGGGAUACUUCAUGAAACGGCAAAUCAGUUGCUGCUCUAGUGAAGAAACCCAAGGUUGAACCCAAACCCGAGACUAAGUGCUUCUGAAAUGAGGGGAACGGUCACUGAAGCAGAACUACCCUAGAUACUUCGUAGAUGAGAAGGCUGGCAAGGUCAACAGAAGUAUAUUGGAUAUACAUUAUAUUAAUGUGUACUUUACUAGUACUCCUAGUAGCACCAGGGUAUUAGAUACCGGUUCGGUUGCUAAGUGUUAGUAACUCAAAAUAAAUGCUGCGGAAUAAACGGAGACUAGCUAAAGGUGAGAUGACGAUAUGUGUUGGAAGUGUUUCCAAGGUUGAUGUGAUCAAGCAUCGCAUGCUCCCUCUACCAUCGAGAUUGGGGUUAAACCUGAAUAAUUAUUAUUUGGUGUUUGCGUUGAGCAUAGACAUGAUUGGAUUAUGUUUAUCGCAAUACGGUUAUUCAUUAAAGGAGAAUAAUGGUUACUCUGUCUAUUUGAAUAAUACCUUCAAUGGUCUUGCACCUAAAAUGAAUGGUUUAUUGAAUCUCGAUCGUAGUGAUACACAUGUUCAUGCCAAAAGAAAGUAAUGAUAGUACCACAUACUUGUGGCACUGCCACUUGAGUCAUAAUGGUAUAAAACGCAUGAAGAAGCUCCAUGUUGAUGGAUCUUUGGACUCACUCGUUUUUGAAAAGAUUGAGACAUGCGAACCAUGUCUAUUAGUAUAUAUGCAUGAAGAAAGUCCAUACAGAUGGAUCAUUUGGACUCACUUGAUUUUGAAUCACUUGAGACAUGCAAAUCAUACCACAUGGGCAAGAUGACUGAAAGGCCUCGUUUUCAGUAAGAUGGAACAAGAAAGCAACUUGUUGGAAGUAAUACAUUUGAUGUGUGCAGUCCAAUGAGUGCUGAGGCACGCAGUGGAUAUCAUUAUGUUCUUACUUCACAGAUGAUUUGAGUAGAUGCUGAGAAUAUUUACUUGAUGAAACACAAGUCUGAAUUAUUGAAAGGUUCAAGUAAUUUCAGAGUGAAGUUGAAGAUCAUCGUGACAAGAGGAUAAAAUGUCUGUGAUAUGAUCAUAGAGAUGAAUAUUUGAGUUACGAGUUUGGCACACAAUUAAGAAAUUGUGGAAAUUGUUUCACGACUAAUACCGCCUGGAACACCCUAUUGGAUAUGGUGCAUACCAUGAUGUCUCUUAUCGAAUUACAACUAUCGUUUAUGGGUUAGGCAUUAGAGACAACCGCAUUCACUUUAAAUAGGGCACCAUGCAAUUCCAUUGAGACGACACCGUAUGAACUAUGGUUUAGAGAAACCUAAGCUGUCGUUUCUUAAAAGUUUGGGGCUGCGACGCUCACAUUACCGAGAGGGCCCAGAGAUACCUCUCCGAUACAUGGAGUGACAAAUCGUAAUCUCGAUCUAUGCCAACUCAACAAACACUAUCAGAGACACCUGUAGAGCAUCUUUAUAAUCACCCAGUUACGUUGUGAUGUUUGAUAGCACAAAAGGUGUUCCUCCGGUAUUCGGGAGUUGCAUAAUCUCAUAGUUAGAGGAACAUGUAUAAGUCAUGAAGAAAGCAAUAGCAAUAAAACUCAACGAUCAUAAUGCUAAGCUAACGGAUGGGUCUUGUCCAUCACAUCAUUCUCUAAUGAUGUGAUCCCGUUCAUCAAAUGACAACACAUGUCUAUGGUUAGGAAACUUAACCAUCUUUGGUUAACAAGCUAGUCAAGUAGAGGCAUACUAGGGACACUUUGUUUUGUCUAUGUAUUCACACAUGUAUCAAGUUUCCGGUUAAUACAAUUCUAGCAUGAACAAUAAACAUUUAUCAUGAUAUAAGGAAGUAUAAAAUAACAACUUUAUUAUUUCCUCUAGGGCAUAUUUCCUUCAGUCUCCCACUUGCACUAGAGUCAAUAAUCUAGUUCACAUCGCCAUGUGAGUUAACACAAAUAGUUCACAUCACCAUGUGAUUAACACCCAGUUCACAUCGAUAUGUGAUCAACACCCAAAGGGUUUACUAGAGUCCGUAAUCUAGUUCACAUCGCCAUGUGAUUAACACCCAAAGAGUACUAAGGUGUGAUCAUGUUUUGCUUGUGAGAGAGGUUUAGUCAAUGGGUCUGCCAUAUUCAGAUCCGUAUGUAUUUUGCAAAUUUCUGUGUCUACAAUGCUCUGCAUGGAGCUACUCUAGCUAAAUGCUCCCACUUUCAAUAUGUAUCCAGAUCAAGACUCAGAGUCAUCCAGAUCGGUGUCAAAGCUUGCAUCGACGUAACACUUUACGACGAACUCUUUGUCACCGAGAAACAUUUCCUCAUUCUACUAAGGAUAAUUUGACCACUGUCCAGUGAUCCACUCCUGGAUCACUAUUGUACCCUUUUGCCAAACUCAUGGUGAGGUACACAAUAGGUCUGGUACACAGCAUAGCAUACUUUAUAGAACCUAUGACUGGGGCAUAGGGAAUGACUUUUCAUUCUCUUUCUAUUUUCUGCCGUGGUCGUGUUUUGAGUCUUUAAUCAACUUCACACCUUGCAACACAGGCAAUAACUCCUUCUUUGACUCUUCCAUUUUGAACUACUUCAAAAACAUGUCAAGGUAUGGACUCAUUGAAAAAUUUUAUCAAGCGUCUUUGAUCUAUCUCUAUAGAUCUUGAUGCUCAAUAUGUAAGCAACUUCACCGUGGUCUUUCUUUGAAAAACUCCUUUCAAACACUCCUUUAUGCUUUCCAGAAAAUUCUACAUCAUUUCCGAUCAACAAUAUGUCAUUCACAUAUACUUAUCAGAAAGGCUGUAGUGCUCCCACUCACUUUCUUGUAAAUACAGGCUUCACCGCAAGUCUGUAUAAAACUAUAUGCUUUGGUCAACUCAUCAAAGCGUAUAUUGCAACUCCGAGAUGCUUGCACCCAUCCAUAGAUGGAUCGCUGGAGCUUUGCACACUUUGUUAGCACGUUUAGGAUCGACAAAACCUUCUGAUUGCAUCAUAUACAACUCUUCUUUAAGAAAUCUGUGAAGGAAUGCAGGUUUGACAUCCAUUUGCCAAAUUUCAUAAAAUGCGGCAAUUGCUAACAUGAUUCGGAUAGACUUUUAAGCAUCGAAACAAGUGAGAAAAUCUCAUCGUAGUCAACACCUUGAACUUGUCGAAAACAUUUUUGCGACAAUUCAAGCUUUGUAGAUAGUAAUACUACCAUCAUCGUUCGUUUUCCUCUUGAAGAUCCAUUUAUUCUCAAUGGCUCGCCGAUCAUCGGGCAAGUCAAUCAGAGUCCAUACUUUGUUGUCAUACAUGGAUCCUAUCUCAGAUUUUAUGGCCUUAAGCCAUUUCGCGGAAUCUGGGCUCAUCAUCGCUUCCUCAUAGUUCGUAGGUUCGUCAUGGUCUAGUAACAUGAUUUCCAGAAUAGGAUUACCGUACCACUCUGGUGCGGAACGUACUCUGGUUGACCUACAAGGUUCGGUAGUAACUUGAUCUGAAGUUUCAUGAUCAUCAUCAUUAAAUUCCUCACUAAUUGGUGUAGGCAUCACUGGAACUGAUUUCUGUGGUGAACUACUUUCCAAUUCGGGAGAAGGUACAAUUACCUCAUCAAGUUCUACUUUCCUCCCACUCACUUCUUUCGAGAGAAACUUCUUAUCUAGAAAGGAUCCAUUCUUAGCAACAAAGAUCUUGUCUUCGGAUCUGUGAUAGAAGGUGUACACAACAUUUUCUUUUGGGUAUCCUAUGAAGACGCACUUCUCCAAUUUGGGUUCGAGCUUAUCAGGUUGAAACUUUUUCACAUGAGCAUCACAACCCCAAACUUUAAGAAACGACGGCUUAGGUUUCUUGCUAAACCACAUUUCUUACUAUGUCGUCUCAACGGAUUUAGACGAUGCCCUAUUUAAUGUGAAUGCAGCCGUCUCUAAUGCAUAACCCCAAAAUGAUAGUGGUAAAUCGGUAAGAGACAUCAUAGAUCGCACCAUAUCUAAUAAAGUACGGUUACGACGUUCAGACACACCAUUACGCUGUGGUGUUCCAGGUGGCGUGAGUUGCGAAACUAUUCCACAUUGUUUCAAAUGAAGACCAAACUCGUGACUCAAAUAUCCGUCUCCGCGAUCAGAUCGUAGACACUUUAUUUUGUUGUUACGAUGAUUUUCCACUUCACUCUGAAAUUCUUUGAAUGUUUCAAAUGUUUCAGACUUAUGUUUCAUCAAGUAGAUAUACCCAUAUCUGCUCAAAUCAUCUGUGAAGGUCAGAAAAUAACGAUACCCGCCGCGAGCCUCAACACUCAUCGGAUCGUAUACAUCAGUAUGUAUUAUUUCCAAUAAGUCAGUUGCUCGCUCCAUUGUUCCGGAGAACGGAGUCUUAGUCAUCUUGCCCAUGAGGCAUGGUUUGCAAGCAUCAAGUGAUUCCAAAAGUCCAUCAACAUGGAGUUUCUUCAUGCGCUUUACACCAAUAUGACCUAAACGGAAGUGCCACAAAUAUGUUGCACUAUCAUUAACAACUUUGCAUCUUUUGGCAUCAAUAUUAUGAAUAUGUGUAUCACUACGAUCGAGAUUCAAUAAACCAUUUACCUGAGGUGUAUGACCACAAAAGGUUUUAUUCAUGUAAACAUAAUAACAAUUAUUCUUUGACUUAAAUGAAUAACCGUAUUGCAAUAAACAUGAUCUAAUCAUAUUAUGCUCAACACAAACACCAAAUAACAUUUAUUUUAGGUUCACCACUAAUCCCGAAGGUAAAGGGAGUGUGCGAUGGUGAUCUUAUCAACCUUGGAAUCACUUCCAACACACAUCGUCACCUUGCCCUCAACUAGUCUUUGUUAAUUUUGUAACUCCUGUUUCAAAUUACUAAUCAUAGCAACUGAACCAGUAUCAAAUACCCAAGGGCUACUAUGAACACUAGUAAAGUACACAUCAAUAACAUGUAUAUCAUAUAUACUUUUGUUCACUUUGCCAUCCUUCUUAUCCGCCAAGUAUUUGGGGCAGUUCCGCUUCCAGUGACCAUUUCCUUCGCAGUAGAAGCACUCAGUUUCAUGCUUGGGUCUAGCUUUGGGCUUCUUCAUGGGAGUGAAAACUUGCUUGCCAUUCUUCUUGAAGUUCCCUUUCUUUCCCUUGCCCUUUUACUUGAAACUAGUGGUCUUGUCAACCAUCAACAUGUGAUGCUUUUCUUGAUUUCUACCUUCGUCGAUUUCAGCAUCACAAAGAGCUCGAGAAUCGUUUUCGUCAUCCCUUGCAUAUUAUAGUUCAUCAUGAAGUUCCAGUAACUUGGUGAUAGUGACUAGAGAACUCUGUCAAUCACUAUUUUAUCUGGAAGAUUAACUCCCACUUGAUUCAAGCGAUUGUAGUACUGAGACAAUCUGAGCACAUGCUCACUGGUUGAGCCAUUCUCCUCCAUCUUGCAGGUGAUGUCUACUACACAACCUUCUUCUUGUAGACGUUGUUGGGCCUUUAAGUGCAGAGGUUUGUAGGACAGUAGCAAAUUUCCCUCAAGUGGAUGACCUAAGGUUUAUCAAUCCAUGGGAGGCGUAGGAUGAAGAUGGUCUCUCUCAAACAAUCCUGCAACCAAAUAACAAAGAGUCUCUUGUGUCCCCAACACACCCAAUACAAUGGUAAAUUGUAUAGGUGCACUAGUUCGGCGAAGAGAUGGUGAUACAAGUGCAAUAUGGAUGGUAGAUAUAGGUUUUUGUAAUAUGAAAAUAUAAAAACAGCAAGGUAACUAAUGAUAAAAGUGAGCGUAAACGGUAUUGCAAUGCUAGGAAACAAGGCCUAGGGUUCAUACUUUCACUAGUGCAAGUUCUCUCAACAAUAAUAACAUAAUUGGAUCAUAUAACUAUCCCUCAACAUGCAACAAAGAGUAACUCCAAAGUCACUAAUAGCGGAGAACAAACGAGAGAUUAUGGUAGGGUACGAAACCACCUCAAAGUUAUCCUUUCUGAUCUAUCUAUUCAAGAGUCCGUAGUAAAAUAACAGGAAGCUAUUCUUUCCGUUCGAUCUAUCAUAGAGUUCGUACUAGAAUAACACCUUAAGACACAAAUCAACCAAAACCCUAAUGUCACCUAGAUACUCCAAUGUCACCUCAAGUAUCCGUGGGUAUGAUUAUACGAUAUGCAUCACACAAUCUUAGAUUCAUCUAUUCAACCAACACAAAGAACUUCAAAGAGUGCCCCAAAGUUUCUACUGGAGAGUCAAGACGAAAACGUGUGCCAACCCCAAUGCAUAGGUUCAUGGGCGGAACCCGCAAGUUGAUCACCAAAACAUACAUCAAGUGGAUCACGUGAUAUCCCAUUGUCACCACGAAGCACGACAAGACAUACAUCAAGUGUUCUCAAAUCCUUAAAGACUCAAUCCGAUAAGAUUACUUCAAAGGGAAAACUCAAUCCAUUACAAGAGAGUAGAGGGGGAGAAACAUCAUAAGAUCCAACUAUAAUAGCAAAGCUCGGGAUACAUCAAGAUCGUGCCGAAUCAAGAACACGAGAGAGAGAGAGAGAGAUCAAACACAUAGCUACUAGUACAUACCCCCAGCCCCGAGGGUGAACUACUCCCUCCUCGUCAUGGAGAGCGCCAGGAUGAUGAAGAUGGCCACCGGUGAGGGAUCCCCCCUCCGGCAGGGUGCCGGAACAGGGUCCCGAUUGGUUUUUGGUGGCUACAGAGGCUUGCGGUGGCGGAACUCCCGAUCUAUUCUGUUCCCCGAUGUUUUUAGGGUAUAUGGAUAUAUAUAGGCGAAAGAAGUCGGUAAGGGGAGCCACGAGGGGCCCACGAGGGUGGAGGGCGCGCCCAAGGGGGGUGGACGCGCCCAAGGGGGGUGGGCGCGCCCCCUGCCUCGUGCCUUCCUCGUUGCUUCCCUUACGUACACUCCAAGUCUUCUGGAUUGCUUCCGUUCCAAAAAUAACUCUCCCGAAGGUUUCAUUCCGUUUGGACUCCGUUUGAUAUUCCUUUUCUGCGAAACGCUGAAACAAGGAGAAAAAUAGAAACUGGCACUGGGCUCUGGGUUAAUAAGUUAGUCCCAAAAAUAAUAUAAAAGUGCAUAGUAAAGCCCAUUAAACAUCCAAGAUGGAUAAUAUAAUAGCAUGAAUACUUCAUAAAUUAUAGAUACGUUGGAGACGUAUCAGUAGGCAAAGUACUUGUCAGAGGUCUCAUACCUCUCGACUCAGGCAUGAGUCUGAAAUACCAAUUUCAGCUCUUGGAACAUCUUAUAUGCUCCGUGGCGUUCAAAACAUUUUUGAAGUCCCGGUUCUAAGCCGUAAAGCUUGGCACACUAAACUAUCAAGUAGUUAUCAUACCGAGCUUGCCAAACGUUCAUAACGUUUGCAUCUGCUCCUGCAAUAGGUCCGUCACCUAGCAGUGCAUCAAGGACAUAAUUCUUCUGUGCAACAAUGAGGAUAAUCCUCAGAUCACGGACCUAGUCCACAUCAUUGCUACUAUCAUCUUUCAACAUAGUUUUUCUUUAGGAACAUAUCAAAAAUAAACGGGGAGCUACAUCGCGAGCUAUUGAUCUACAACAUAGUUAUGCAAAUACUAUCAGGACUAAGUUCAUGAUAAAUUAAAGUUCAAUUAAUCAUAUUACUUAAGAACUCCCACUUAGAUAGACAUCCCUCUAGUCAUCUAAAUGAUCACGUGAUCCAUAUCAACUAAACCAUGUCCGAUCAUCACGUGAGAUGGAGAAGUUUUCAAUGAGGAACAUCACUAUGUUGAUCAUAUCUACUAUAUGAUUCACGCUCGACCUUUCGGUCUCAGUGUUCCGAGGCCAUAUCUGCAUAUGCUAGGCUCGUCAAGUUUAACCCGACUAUUCUGCAUGUGCAAAACUGGCUUGCACCCGUUGUAUGUGAACGUAGAGCUUAUCACACCCGAUCAUCACGUGGUGUCUCAGCGCGAGGAACUGUCGCAACGGUGCAUACUCAGGGAGAACACUUAUACCUUGAAAUUUCAGUGAGAUCUUAUAAUGCUACCGCCGUACUAAGAAAAAUAAGAUGCAUAAAAUAUAAACAUCACAUGUAAUCAAAAUAAGUGAUAUGAUAUGGCCAUCAUCAUCUUGUGCCUUUAAUUUCCAUCUCCAAAGCAUCGUCAUGAUCACCAUCGUCACCAGCUUGACACCUUGAUCUCCAUCAUAGCAUCGUUGUCGUCUCGCCAGCUAUUGCUUCUACAACUAUCGCUACCGCUUAGUGAUAAAGUAAAGCAAUUACAUGGCGAUUGCAUUUCAUACAAUAAAGCGACAACCAUAAGGCUCCUGCCAGUUGCCGAUAACUUUUACAAAACAUGAUCAUCUGAUACAACAAUUUAUAUAUCAUCACGUCUUGACCAUAUCACAUCACAACAUGCCCUACAAAAACAAAUUAGACGUCCUCUACUUUGUUGUUGCAAGUUUUACGUGGCUGCUACGGGCUUAGCAAGAACCAUUCUUACCUACGCAUCAAAACCACAAUGAUAGUUUGUCAAGUUGGUGCUGUUUUAACCUUCAACAAGGACUGGGCGUAGUCACACUCGAUUCAACUAAAGUUGGAGAAACAGACACCCACUAGCCACCUGUGUGCGAAGCGCAGCGGUAGAACCAGUCUCAUGAACGCGGUCAUGUAAUGUCGGUCUGGGCCGCUUCAUCCAACAAUGCCGCCGAAUCAAAGUAUGACAUGCUGGUAAGUAGUAUGACUAUUAUCGCCCACAACUAUUUGUGUUCUACUCGUGCAUAUAAAAUCUAUGCAUAGACCUGGCUCGGAUGCCACAGUUGGGGAACGUAGUAUUUCAAAAAAAUUCCUACGAUCAUGCAAGUUUUAUCUAGGAGAAGCAUAGCAACGAGCGGGGAGAGUGUGUCCAUGUACCCUCGUAGACCGAAAGCGGAAGCGUUUAGUAAUGCGGUUGAUGUAGUCGAACUUCUUCGCGAUCCAAUCGAUCCAAGUACCGAACGUACGACACCUCCGCGAUCUGCACACGUUCAGCUCAGUGACAUCCCUCGAACUCUUGAUCCAGUUGAGGCCGAGGGAGAGUUUCGUUAGCACGAUGGCGUGGUGACGGUGAUGGGAAGUUACCGGCGCAAGGCUUCGCCUAAGCACUACGACGAUAUGACCGAGGUGUAAAACUAUGGAGGGGGCACCGCACACGGCUAAGAGAAACUUUGGUGUGCCUUUGGGUUGCCCCCUCCCACGUAUAUAAAGGGGGGGGGGAGGAGGCCGGCCAUAGGGGGGGGGCGCAAUAGGGAGGAGUCCUACUUGGACUCCCGGUCCAAGUAGGAUUCGCCCCCCCUUUCCUAUUCCAAGUAGGAGAAGGAGGGAAGGGGAAGGAGGGGAGAAGGAAGGAGGGGGGCGCCGCCCCCUCCUAGUCCAAUUCGGACCAGCCCAUGGGGAGGCGCGUGGCCACCCCUUGAGGCCCCUCUCUCCUUUCCCUAGAACCCACUAAGGCCCAUUACUCUCCCGGGGGUUUCCGGUAACCUCCCGGUACUCCGGAAUAUACCCGAAACACUUCGGAACCAUUCCGGUGUCCGAAUAUAUCCUUCCAAUAUAUCGAUCUUUAUGUCUUGACCAUUUAGAGACUCCUCGUCAUGUCCGUGAUCACAUCCGGGACUCCGAACAAACUUCGGUACAUCAAAGCACAUAACUCGUAAUACAAAUCGUCAUCGAAACGUUAAGCGUGCGGACCCUACGGGUUCGAGAACUAUGUAGACAUGACCGAGACACAUCUCCGGUCAAUAACCAAUAGCGGAACCUGGAUGCUCAUAUUGGCUCCUACAUAUUCUACGAAGACCUUUAUCGGUCAAACCGCAUAACAACAUACGUUUGUUCCCUUUGUCUUCGGUAUGUUACUUGCCCAAGAUUCGAUCGUCGGUAUCUCAAUACCUAGUUCAAUCUCAUUACCGGCAAGUCUCUUUACUCGUUCCGUAAUGCAUCAUCCCGCAAAUAACUCAUUAGUCACAUUGCUUGCAAGGCUUAUAGUGAUGUGCAUUACCGAGAGGGCCCAGAGAUACCUCUCCGAUACACAGAGUGAUAAAUCCUAAUCUCGAUCUAUGCCAACUCAACAAACACCAUCAGAGACACCUGUAGAGCAUCUUUAUAAUCACCCAGUUAUGUUGUGACGUUUGAUAGCACACAAGGUGUUCCUCCCGAAGGAAAUAUGCCCUAGAGGCAAUAAUAAAGUUAUUAUUUAUUUCCUCAUAUCAUGAUAAAUGUUUAUUAUUCAUGCUAGAAUUGUAUUAACCAGAAACAUAAUACUUGUGUGAAUACCUAGACAAACAUAGUGUCACUAGUAUGCCUCUACUUGACUAGCUCGUUAAUCGAAGAUGGUUAAGUUUCCUAGCCAUGGACAUGAGUUGUCAUUUGAUUAACGGGAUCACAUUAUUAGGAGAAUAAUGUGAUUGACUUGACCCAUUCCUUUAGCUUAGCACUUGAUCGUUUAGUAUGUUGCUAUUGCUUUCUUCAUGACUUAUACAUGUUCCUAUGACUAUGAGAUUAUGCAAAUCCCGUUUACCGGAGGAACACUUUGUGUGCUACCAAACGUCACAACGUAACUGGGUGAUUAUAAAGGUGCUCUACAGGUGUCUCCGAAGGUACUUGUUGGGUUGUCGUAUUUCAAGAUUAGGAUUUGUCACUCUGAUUGUCGGAGAGGUAUCUCUGGGCCCUCUCGGUAAUGCAGAUCACUAUAAGCCUUGCAAGCAUUGUGACUAAUGAGUUAGUUGCGAGAUGAUGUAUUACGUAACGAGUAAAGAGACUUACCGGUAACGAGAUUGAACUAGGUAUUGAGAUACCGAUGAUCGAAUCUCGGGCAAGUAACAUACCGAUGACAAAGGGAACAACGUAUGUUGUUAUGUGGUUUGACCGAUAAAGAUCUUCGUAGAAUAUGUAGGAGCCAAUAUUAGCAUCCAGGUUCCGCUAUUGGUUAUUGACCAGAGACGUGUCUCGGUCAUGUCUACAUAGUUCUCGAACCCGUAGGGUCCGCACGCUUAAAGUUAGAUGACGAUCGGUGUUAUGAGUUUUGUGUUUUGAUGUACCAAAGGUAGUUCGGAGUCCCGGAUAUGAUCACAGACAUGACGAGGAGUCUUGAAAUGGCCGAGACAUAAAGAUCAAUAUAUUGGACGACUAUGUUCAGACACCGGAAUGGUUUCGGGGAGUUUCAGACACAUACCGGAGUACCGGGGGGUUACCGGAACCCCCCGGGGAGACUAAUUGUCCUAUUGGGCCCUAGUGGCGAAGAGGAGGGGCGGCCAAGGGAAGCCGCGCGCCCCCUUCCCCCCAGUCCGAAUUGGACAAGGAGGGGGGGGCGCCCCCCUUUCCUUUCCCCCUCUCUCUCCUUCCCUCUCCUCUCCUACUCCCACUUGGAAGGGGGGAGUCCUACUCCUGGUGGGAGUAGGACUCCUCAUGGGGCGCGCCUAGGGUGGCCGGCCCCCUCCCCCUCCUCCACUCCUUUAUAUACCGGGAGGGGGCACCCCUUGGAGACACAACAAUUGAUCUCUUGAUCUCUUAGCCGUGUGCGGUGCCCCCUCCACCAUAUUCCACCUCGAUAAUAUCGUAGCGGUGCUUAGGCGAAGCCCUGCAUCGGUUGCAUCAUCAUCACCGUCACCACGCCGUCGUGCUGAUGGAACUCUCCCUCAAAGCUCGGCUGGAUCGGAGUUCGAGGGACGUCAUCGAGCUGAACGUGUGCUGAACUCGGAGGUGCCGUACGUUCGGUACUCGGAUCGGUCGGAUCGUGAAGACGUACGACUACAUCAACUGCGUUGUGCUAACGCUUCCGCUUUCGGUCUACAAGGGUACGUGGACACACUCUCCCCUCUCGUUGCUAUGCAUCACCAUGAUCCUGUGUGUGCGUAGGAUUUUUUUUGAAAUUACUACGUUCCCCAACAGUGGUAUCAGAGCCUGGUUUUGUGCGUAGAUGUUUAUGCACGAGUAGAACACAAGUGAGUUGUGGGCGAUACAAGUCAUACUGCUUACCAACAUAUCAUACUUUGGUUCGGCGGUAUUGUUGGAUGAAGCGGCCCGGACCGACAUUACGCGUACGCUUACGCGAGACUGGUUCUACCGACGUGCUUUGCACACAGGUGGCUGGCGGGUGUCAGUUUCUCCAACUUUAGUUGAACCGAGUGUGGCUACGCCCGGUCCUUGAGAAGGUUAAAACAACUCUAACUUGACGAACUAUCGUUGUGGUUUUGAUGCGUAGGUAAGAACGGUUCUUGCUCAGCCUGUAGCAGCCACGCAAAACUUGCAACAACAAAGUAGAGGACUUCUAACUUGUUUUUGCAGGGCAUGUUGUGAUGUGAUAUGGUCAAGGCAUGAUGCUAUAUUUUAUUGUAUGAAAUGAUCAUGUUUUGUAACCGAGUUAUCGGCAACUGGCAGGAGCCAUAUGGUUGUCGCUUUAUUGUAUGCAAUGCAAUCGCCCUGUAAUGCUUUACUUUAUCACUAAGCGGUAGCGAUAGUCGUAGAAGCAAUAGUUGGCGAGAUGACAACGAUGCUAUGAUGGAGAUCAAGGUGUCGCGCCGGUGACAAUGGUGAUCAUGACGGUGCUUCGGAGAUGGAGAUCACAAGCACAAGAUGAUGAUGGCCAUAUCAUAUCACUUAUACUGACUGCAUGUGAUGUUUAUCCUUUAUGCAUCUUAUUUUGCUUUGAUUAACUGUAGCACUAUAAGAUGAUAUCUCACUAAAUUUCAAGAUAAAAGUGUUCUCCCUGAGUAUGCACCGUUGCCAAAGUUCGUCGUGCCGAGACACCACGUGAUGAUCGGGUGUGAUAAGCUCUACGUUCAUCUACAACAGGUGCAAGCCAGUUUUGCACACGCAGAAUACUGGGGUUAAACUUGACGAGCCUAGCAUAUGCAGACAUGGCCUCGGAACACUGAGACCGAAAGGUCGAGCGUGAAUCAUAUAGUAGAUAUGAUCAACAUAGUGAUGUUCACCAUUGAAAACUACUCCAUCUCACGUGAUGAUCAGACAUGGUUUAGUUGAUUUGGAUCACGUGAUCACUAGAUGAUUAGAGGGAUGUCUAUCUAAGUGGGAGUUCUUAAGUAAUAUGAUUAAUUGAACUUAAAUUUAUCAUGAACUUAGUACCUGAUAGUAUUUUGCUUGUCUAUGUUGAUUGUAGAUAGAUGGCCCGUGCUAUUGUUUCGUUGAAUUUUAGUGCGUUCCUGGAGAAAACAAAGUUGCAAGAUGAUGGUAGCAAUUACACGGAUUGGGUCCAUAACUUGAGGAUUAUCCUCAUUGCUGCACAGAAGAAUUACGUCCUGGAAGCACCGCUGGGUGCCAGGCCUGCUGCAGAUGCAACUGACGACGUUAAGAACGUCUGGCAGAGCAAAGCUGAUGACUACUCAAUAGUUCAGUGUGCCAUGCUUUACGGCUUAGAACCGGUACUUCAACGACGUUUUGAACGUCAUGGAGCAUACGAGAUGUUCCAGGAGUUGAAAUUAAUAUUUCAAGCAAAUGCCCGAAUUGAGAGAUAUGAAGUCUCCAGUAAGUUCUACAGCUGCAAGAUGGAGGAGAAUAGUUCUGUCAGUGAACAUAUACUCAAAAUGUUUGGGUAUAACAAUCACUUGAUUCAACUGGGAGUUAAUCUUCUGGAUGAUAGUGUCAUUGACAGAAUUCUUCAAUCACUGCCACCAAGCUACAAGAGCUUCGUGAUGAACUAUAAUAUGCAAGGGAUGGAUAAGACAAUUCCCGAGCUCUUUGCAAUGCUAAAGGCUGCGGAGGUAGAAAUCAAAAAGGAGCAUCAAGUGUUGAUGGUCAACAAGACCACCAGUUUCAAGAAAAAGGGCAAAGGGAAGAAGAAGGGGAACUUCAAGAAGAACAACAAACAAGUUGCUGCGCAAGAGAAGAAAUCCAAGUCUGGACCUAAGCCUGAGACUGAGUGCUUCUACUACAAGAAGACUGGACACUGGAAGUGGAACUGCCCCAAGUAUUUGGCGGAUAAGAAGGAUGGCAAGGUGAACAAAGGUAUAUGUGAUAUACAUGUUAUUGAUGUGUACCUUACUAGAGCUCGCAGUAGCACCUGGGUAUUUGAUACUGGUUCUGUUGCUAAUAUUUGCAACUCGAAACAGGGACUACGGAUUAAGCGAAGACUGGCUAAGGAUGAGGUGACGAUGCACGUGGGAAAUGGUUCCAAAGUCGAUGUGAUCGCCGUCGGCACGCUACCUCUACAUCUACCUUUGGGAUUAGUUUUAGACCUGAAUAAUUGUUAUUUGGUGCCAGCGUUGAGCAUGAACAUUAUAUCUGGAUCUUGUUUGAUGCGAGACGGUUAUUCAUUUAAAUCUGAGAAUAAUGGUUGUUCUAUUUAUAUGAGUAAUAUCUUUUAUGGUCAUGCACCCUUGAAGAGUGGUCUAUUUUUGUUGAAUCUCGAAAGUAAUGAUACACAUAUUCAUAAUGUUGAAGCCAAAAGAUGCAUAGUUGAUAAUGAUAGUGCAACUUAUUUGUGGCACUGCCGUUUGGGUCAUAUUGGUGUAAAGCGCAUGAAGAAACUCCAUACUAAUGGACUUUUGGAAUCACUUGAAUCACUUGGUACUUGCGAACCAUGCCUCAUGGGCAAGAUGACUAAAACGCCGUUCUCCGGAACUAUGGAGCGAGCAACUGAUUUGUUGGAGAUCAUACAUACUGAUGUAUGUGGUCCAAUGAAUGUUGAGGCUCGCGACGGGUAUCGUUAUUUUCUCACCUUCACAGAUGAUUUGAGCAGAUAUGGGUAUAUCUACUUAAUGAAACAUAAGUCUAAAACAUUUGAAAAGUUGAAAGAAUUUGAGAGUGAAGUGGAAAAUCAUCGUAACAAGAAAAUAAAGUUUCUACGAUCUGAUCGUGGAGGAGAAUAGUUGAGUUACGAGUUUGGUCUACAUUUGAAACAAUGCGGAAUAGUUUCACAACUCACGCCACCCGGAACACCACAACGUAAUGGUGUGUCCGAACAUCGUAAUCGUACUUUACUAGAUAUGGUGCGAUCUAUGAUGUCUCUUACUGAUUUACCGCUAUCGUUUUGGGGUUAUGCUUUAGAGACGGUUGCAUUCACGUUAAAUAGGGCACCAUCGAAAUCCGUUGAGACGACGCCUUAUGAACUAUGGUUUGGCAAGAAGCCAAAGUUGUCGUUUCUUAAAGUUUGGGGCUGUGAUGCUUAUGUGAAAAAGCUUCAACCUGAUAAGCUCGAACCCAAAUCGGAGAAAUGUGUCUUCAUAGGAUACCCAAAGGAAACUGUUGGGUACACCUUCUAUCACAGAUCUGAAGGCAAGACAUUCGUUGCCAAGAAUGGAUCCUUUCUAGAGAAGGAGUUUCUAUCGAAAGAAGUGAGUGGGAGGAAAAUAGAACUUGAUGAGGUAACUGUACCUGCUCCCUUAUUGGAAAGUAGUUCAUCACAGAAACCGGUUCCUGUGACACCUAGACAAAUUAGUGAGGAAGCUAAUGAUAUCGAUCAUGAAACUUCCGAUCAAGUUACUACUGAGCCUCGUAGGUCAACCAGGGUAAGAUCCGCACCAGAGUGGUACGAUAAUCCUAUUCUGGAGGUCAUGUUACUUGACCAAGGUGAACCUACGAACUAUGAAGAAGCGAUGGUGAGCCCAGAUUCCGCAAAAUGGCUUGAUGCCAUGAAAUCUGAGAUGGGAUCCAUGUAUGAGAAUAAAGUGUGGACUUUGGUUGACUUGCCCGAUGAUCGGCAAGCCAUUGAGAAUAAAUGGAUCUUCAAGAAGAAGACUGACGCUGACGGUAAUGUUACUGUCUAUAAAGCUCGACUUGUUGCAAAAGGUUUUCGACAAGUUCAAGGGAUUGACUACGAUGAGACUUUCUCACCCGUAGCGAUGCUUAAGUCUGUCCGAAUCAUGUUAGCAAUUGCUGCAUUUUAUGAUUAUGAAAUUUGGCAAAUGGAUGUCAAAACUGCAUUCCUGAAUGGAUGUCUGGAAGAAGAGUUGUAUAUGAUGCAACCAGAAGGUUUUGUCGAUCCAAAGGGAGCUAACAAAGUGUGCAAGCUCCAGCGAUCCAUUUAUGGACUGGUGCAAGCCUCUCGGAGUUGGAAUAAAUGUUUUGAUAGUGUGAUCAAAGCAUAUGGUUUUAUACAGACUUUUGGAGAAGCCUGUAUUUACAAGAAAGUGAGUGGGAGCUCUGUAGCAUUUCUGAUAUUAUAUGUGGAUGACAUAUUGCUGAUUGGAAAUGAUAUAGAAUUUCUGGAUAGCAUAAAAGGAUACUGGAAUAAAAGUUUUUCAAUGAAAGACCUCGGUGAAGUUGCUUACAUAUUAGGCAUCAAGAUCUAUAGAGAUAGAUCAAGACGCUUGAUAGGACUUUCACAAAGCACAUACCUUGACAAAGUUUUGAAGAAGUUCAAAAUGGAUCAAGCAAAGAAAGGGUUCUUGCCUGUGUUACAAGGUGUGAAGUUGAGUCAGACUCAAUGCCCUACCACUGCAGAAGAUAGAGAGAAAAUGAAAGAUGUUCCCUAUGCUUCGGCCAUAGGCUCUAUCAUGUAUGCAAUACUGUGUACCAGACCUGAUGUGUGUCUUGCUAUUAGCCUAGCAAGGAGGUACCAAAGUAAUCCAGGAGUGGAUCACUGGACAGCGGUCAAGAACAUCCUGAAAUACCUGAAAAGGACUAAGGAUAUGUGUAACACCCCGGACACACCCGCCGGUGGUCGUCACUCCUGGCGGGAUCUAGACUGGCCCCACAGAUCAAUACCAGUCUUUUCUGCGCACUUUGUCCUCACUCGUGCGCACCCGGGAGCAACUUCCCGGCCGGUCACCCAUCCUGAAAUUACUCCAAGCUGAGCACGCUUAACUUUGGAGUUCUGUCCGAAUGGGCUUCCGGAAAAGAAGGAAUUCCUUAUUGAUAUGAGUAGUCUAUCAUCCCUAUUAAGCCAGGCUAUCAUGCAUUGUUUUCGGAGGCAUUGUGAGGUUGCUCCCUUCACCCAUCACCUCGUUUUGUGAGGAUCGUGUUCUUUUCAUGCUUAUCCAUUUAACCGGAGUGUUGUGUCAUCUCUUGAAGUUCUUUUCAUCUUAUCAAGUUUUUCCUUCUUCUUUCAGUUGGAGUGCUGCCCAAAUUAUAUCGAUCUUAUUCCUUCUCUAUCUAGUUUUAACCGGAGUCUCAUCCAAGUGCUUUCAUUUUGCCAAGUUCAAAUUCUAUUAUUUUCAUUUCCAACCGGAGCGUUAUCGUAAUUGAUCAUUAUCGUUCCUUGUACAACUCGUUUCAACCGGAGUGCUUGCAUGUACUUCUCGUCCAUUGUUCUCGUCAUUCAUAGCUUUGCAAACUCCAAGGUUCACAUGGUGUUCCUUGUUUCUCUUUUCUACCGGUGUGCUUUCAUAUUUCCUUUUGAUCCGUUAAGCUCUUGUUUCAUAUUCUUCAACCUACAAAGGUUCUCAUAAUGUUCGUUGUUCCCCUUUUCUAAUGGAGUGUUUGUAAUCUCGUUCAUCUCCUUGUAUUCUUUUCUCAAAAUUGUUUAACCUCUCAAGGUUUGUGGGUUUCACUCGUUUGUCAAAGAAGCAACUUUGUUUUACCUCUUCCUCUUCCGUUUCUCUCCGGUGCCAUCCUAGAUCUCGGGACGAGAUCCUCUUGUAGUGGUGGAGUGUUGUAACGCCCCGAGACCGACGCUCCAGAUGGCUUCCUUGUUUUUCGUUGUUGUCAUGUGUUUCGUUUGUUUGUUGCAUUCAUUAUCGCAUCAUUCGCAUUGCAUCGGCACUCCGUUGCCGUCAUGUUUUCAAAACUUGCAUCUGCUCGUAGUUGCCCCGUUUCCCCCUUUCUUUCGUUGACCAUUCCGAGUCCCAUCGGGUUUUCGCUUCCCUCUUGUCCGUGACCGCCUAACCCCCCCCCUUUUGCGUGCGUGUCCGAAACUUCCCCGAACUCAACUCGGACAGUUGUCACCGUUGGGUCCGGAUCAUCUCCAAGUAUCCCUAAGAUAUCUUCGUUUUAUUUAUUGGACUUCCUAACCUAUUUAUUUUGGUCCAUCCGAUUACAAAUGAAGGGACGAGAUAACCCUACCCACACCCACCUACUAUAAAUAGCAGUGCAAUCAUCAGACAAAUCCCUAAUUUCUAGGGAUCCUCCUCCCCGCCGCCAGUCUCUGGUUCCCUCGGGAUCCAUCCCGAGCCAACCCGCAGCCGCCACUCCUCUCCUGGAUCUCCCCUGUCCUCUAGAUCAUGCCUCAAUCAACCUUCGCACAGCCAGCUAGAGCUCGGUCUCGAUUGGAUCGAGGCCCUUCCUCCUCCCUCGUCUCAGCAUGAGCCCGAGCCUUCGCCUCGUGCCACGUCACCGCCGGCAAGCUUCGCCGGAGAUGAGCACCGACGCCCCUUCUUCUCCUUCCCAUGCUCCUCCCGUGUUCCUCUCUGAACCCUUUGCUUUCUGCCCAUCUGCUGCAGGAGCAGCUACGCGCUGGCAGGAGCACGCCAGGUGCCAUGGCCGCAGAAGGAACUCCGCCGCCUCGCCGAAUCCACGCCUCCACCUAUCCCCUGCGUCAAGGUCGCCACCCCUGCCGGACCUGCAGGACGCCAAGUUCAACGCCAUGGGCGACUCCUAUGCCUGACCCCACCUCUAUCUCGACUUCGCCGUGCUCCUCCUCUUCCCCGAGCCUCUGCCGCGACCAGCACCCGACCAGCAGGUCGCCAGCGCGCCCAAUGCUUCCUCCUCGCGUAUGCCCGGCCGCGCCACCGGAGCCCUGCAGGUCGCGCGCCCGUCGCCCUCGCCUUCUCUCUUCUUCCCCUUUCUGUUCUGCUUCCCUGAAUAUCUCUCUCUCUGUCCUUGCCUCGAACAGGAGCACCAGCCGGCGCCACCAUCAUCGGAGAUGGGCUCCCCCCGGCCGGAUCCGACACCCUGGAGACCCGCGCCCCCGCCGGACCUCCUUCCUCCGCGCCAAGUCCGCCCAUCCCCUGUUUCGCCUCGGCCUCGGCCGAGGAGGACGAGCAGCGCUGCUGCCUGCUCGAUCCGCCCGCAUGCGCACCUCACGUGUUGACCGCUUCCACUCCACGCGCUUGUGCCUCAUCCACAACGCCAAGGCCCAGCCUCCCCUCGGCCCAUCCGCGCGAACCCAGCUCUGCCAGCCCACUGUGAGCAGCCGCCCUAACCCCCCACUGUGCACUGUUGGGCUAGCCAGUUUCGGCCCGUAUAGUGUUUUUUCCUCUGGACGGAUUUAAUCAAUUAUCCCAGGAUUUACUAUUUUACAGAAAAACCCUCCAUGUUCAUGCAUUUAAUAAUUCAACAACCGUGCAUCAUAUGUAAAAACUUUAUAUAUGAGAAAUGUCUAGAAUUUCAUCUAGUUUCAUAAUAUGCUGCUCUCAUCCAUGUUUAAAAUGUUUAAACUUGCUGUUUAUUUAAUUUUUCAUAAAUGCCAUGUUAAAAUGAUUUAUUUCAUAACUAUUUAACCGUAGCUCCAAAUUAAAUGUUCUUUAUAUGUAAAUGGGGUAGAAAAAUGCCUAGUUUAACAUGGUGCACCUAUCUUGCAUGUUUAACAACAACAAAAUAUGAUAUUAGGCAGAACAGUACCAAAUCCAAAAUAUGCAUAUGAGGAUUUUCCGGAAUUGUUGUUUGUUGUUCCGGCCUCAUUUAAACUUGCCUAGAUAGGUAGUCUUACUAUGCUUCACCUCUUGCCAUGUUUAAUAACAUUUAAUAUUGUUGGGUACAUAAACGAGAGAGAACUAAAUAAUUGAUGUGGUGCUUCGUCAAUAUGCAACUCGUUGCAUAUUGAGCUCCACUUAAUUUGUAGUGUUGUUUGUUGCACUUUGCCAUGCCAUGCCUCAUUCCAUCGGACAUGCAUCAUACUUGAUUUUGCAUCAUGCCAUGUGUAUGUGGUGGUUGUUUACUAUGUUGUUUGUUUCUUUCCGGGUUGCUUCUCUCGUUAGCUUCGGUUUUGUUCCGGAGUUGUGAGGAUUUGUUCGACUACGUCCGUUUGUCUUCUUCAUGGACUCGUUCUUCUUCCUUGCGGGAUCUCAGGCAAGAUGACCAUACCCUCGAAAUCACUUCUAUAUUUGCUUGCUAGUUGUCCGUUCUAUUGCUAUGCCGCGUUACCUACCACUUGCUUAUCAAGCCUCCCAAAUUGCCAUGAACCUCUAACCUUUGUCACCCUUCCUAGCAAACCGUUGUUUGGCUAUGUUACGGCUUUUGCUCACCCCUCUUAUAGCAUUGCUAGUUGCAGGUGAAGAUGAAGUUUGUUCCUUGUUGGAACAUGGAUAUGUUGGGAUAUCACCAUAUCUCUUAUCUUAAUUAAUGCAUCUAUAUACUUGGUAAAGGGUGGAAGGCUCGGCCUUAUGCCUGGUGUUUUGUUCCACUCUUGCCGCCCUAGUUUCCGUCAUACCGGUGUUAUGUUCCUUGAUUUUGCGUUCCUUACGCGGUUGGGUGAUUUAUGGGACCCCCUUGACAGUUCGCUUUGAAUAAAACUCCUCCAGCAAGGCCCAACCUUGGUUUUAACAUUUGCCACCUAAGACUUUUUCCCUUGGGUUCUGCAGACUCAAGGGUCAUCUUUAUUUUACCCCCCGGGCCAGUGCUCCUUCGAGUGUUGGUCCAACCUGUCAGCCGCCGGUGGCCACCAGGGGCAACUCUGGGCUCGCCUACCGGAAGUUUGGACAAUCCGGUGUGCCCUGAGAGCGAGAUAUGUGCAGCUCCUAUCGGGAUUUGUUGGCACAUUCGGGCGGCUUUGCUGGUCUUGUUUUACCAUUGUCGAAAUAUCUUGUAAACCGGGAUUCCGAGACUGAUCGGGUCUUCCCGGGAGAAGGAAUAUCAUUCGUUGACCGUGAGAGCUUAUAAUGGGCUAAGUUGGGACACCCCUGCAGGGUAUAAACUUUCGAGAGCCGUGCCCGCGGUUAUGUGGCAGAUGGGAAUUUGUUAACGUCCGGUUGUAGAGAACUUGACACGUGAAUUAAUUAAAAUGCAUCAACCGCGUGUGUAGCCGUGAUGGUCUCUUUUCGAUGGAGUCCGGGAAGUGAACACGACUUUUGGGUUAUGUUUGACAUAAGUAGGAGUUCAAGAUCACUUCUUGAUCAUUACUAGUUGACGACCAUUCCAUUGCUCCUCUUCUCGCUCUUAUUUGCGUAUGUUAGCCACCAUAUAUGCUUAGUGCUUGCUGCAGCUCCACCUCACUACCUUCUCCUACCCAUAAGCUUAAAUAGUCUUGAUCUCGCGGGUGUGAGAUUGCUGAGUCCUCGUGACUCACAGAUACUUCCAGAACAGUUGCAGGUGCCGACGAUACCAAUGCAGGUGAUGCAACCGAGCUCAAGUGGGAGUUCGACGAGGACCUUGGUCGUUACUAUGUUUUGUUUCCUGAUGAUCAGUAGUGGAGCCCAGUUGGGACGAUCGGGGAUCUAGCAUUUGGGGUUGUCUUCUUUUCUUUUGGUUCCGUAGUCGGACCUAUGUGUGUACUUUGAUUGAUGUAUGAUUUAUUUAUGUAUUGUGUGAAGUGGCGAUUGUAAGCCAACUCUUUAUCCCAUUCUUGUUCAUUACAUGGGAUUGUGUGAAGAUGACCCUUCUUGCGACAAAACCACAAUGCGGUUAUGCCUCUAAGUCGUGCCUCGACACAUGGGAGAUAUAGCCGCAUCGUGGGUGUUACAAUAUGUUUCUCGUUUAUGGAGGUGACAAAGAGCUAGUCGUAAAUGGUUACGUCGAUGCAAGCUUUGACACUGAUCCGGACGAUUCUAAAUCGCAAACCGGAUACCUGUUUACAUUGAACGGUGGAGCUGUCAGUUGGUGUAGUUCUAAACAAAGCGUCGUGGUGGGAUCUACGUGUGAAGCGGAGUACAUAGCUGCUUCGGAAGCAGCAAAUGAAGGAGUCUGGAUGAAGGAGUUCAUAUCCGAUCUAGGUGUCAUACCUAGUGCAUCGGGUCCAAUGAAAAUCUUUUGUGACAAUACUGGUGCAAUUGCCUUGGCAAAGGAAUCCAGAUUUCACAAGAGAACCAAGCACAUCAAGAGACGCUUCAAUUCCAUCCGGGACCAAGUGCAGGUGGGAGACAUAGAGAUUUGCAAGAUACAUACGGAUCUGAAUGUUGCAGACCCGUUGACUAAGCCUCUUUCACGAGCAAAACAUGAUCAGCACCAAAACUCCAUGGGUGUUAGAAUCAUUACUUUGUAAUCUAGAUUAUUGACUCUAGUGCAAGUGGGAGACUGAAGUAAAUAUGCCCUAGAGGCAAUAAUAAAGUUAUUAUUUAUUUCCUCAUAUCAUGCUAAAUGUUUAUUAUUCAUGCUAGACUUGUAUUAAUCGGAAACAUAAUACAUGUGUGAAUACAUAGACAAACAUAUAUAGUGUCACUAGUAUGCCUCUACUUGACUAGCUCGUUAAUCGAAGAUGGUUAAGUUUCCUAGCCAUGGACAUGAGUUGUCAUUUGAUUAAUGGAAUCACAUUAUUAGGAGAAUAAUGUGAUUGACUUGACCCAUUCCUUUAGCUUAGCACUUGAUCGUUUAGUAUGUUGCUAUUGCUUUCUUCAUGACUUAUACAUGUUCCUAUGACUAUGAGAUUAUGCAACUCCCAUUUACCGGAGGAACACUUUGUGUGCUACCAAACGUCACAACGUAACUGGGUGAUUAUAAAGGUGCUCUACAGGUGUCUCCGAAGGUACUUGUUGGGUUGGCGUAUUUUGAGAUCAGGAUUUGUCACUCCGAUUGUCGGAGAGGUAUCACUGGGCCCUCUCGGUAAUGCACAUCACUAUAAGCCUUGCAAGCAUUGUGACUAAUGAGUUAGUUGCGAGAUGAUGUAUUACGGAACGAGUAAACAGACUUGCCGGUAACGAGAUUGAACUAGGUAUUGAGAUACCGAUGAUCGAAUCUCGGGCAAGUAACAUACCGAUGACAAAGGGAACAACGUAUGUUGUUAUGCGGUUUGACCGAUAAAGAUCUUCGUAGAAUAUGUAGGAGCCAAUAUGAGCAUCUAGGUUCCGCUAUUGGUUAUUGACCGGAGACGUGUCUCGGUCAUGUCUACAUAGUUCUCGAACCCGUAGGGUCCGCACGCUUAAAGUUAGAUGACGAUCGGUAUUAUGAGUUUUGUGUUUUGAUGUACUGAAGGUAGUUCGGAGUCCUGGAUAUGAUCACGGACAUGGCGAGGAGUUUUGAAAUGGUUGUGACAUAAAGAUCAAUAUAUUGGACGACUAUGUUCGGACACCGGAAUGGUUUCGGGGAGUUUCAGACACAUACUGGAGUACCGGGGGGUUACCGGAACCCCACGGGGAGACUAAUGGGCCUAUUGGGCCCUAGUGUAGAAGAGGAGGGGCGGCCAAGGGCAACCGCGCGCCCCCUUCCCCCCAGUACGAAUUGGACAAGGAGGGGGGGGCGCCCCCUUUCCUUUCCCCCUCUCUCUCCUUGCCUCUCCUCUCCUACUCCCACUUGGAUGGGGGGAGUCCUACUCCCGGUGGGAGUAGGACUCAUCAUGGGGCGCGCCUAGGGUGGCCAGCCCCCUCCCCCUCCUCCACUCCUUUAUAUACGGGGAGGGGGCACCCCUUGGAGACACAACAAUUGAUCUCUUGAUCUCUUAGGCGUGUGCGGUGCCCCCCUCCACCAUAUUCCACCUCGAUAAUAUUGUAGCGGUGCUUAGGCGAAGCCCUGCGUCGCUGGCAUCAUCAUCACCGUCACCACGCCGUCGUGCUGACGGAACUCUCCCUCAAAGCUCGGCUGGAUCGGUGUUCGAGGGACGUCAUCGAGCUGAACGUGUGCUGAACUCGGAGGUGCCGUACGUUCGGUACUCAGAUCGGUCGGAUCGUGAAGACGUACGACUACAUCAACCGCGUUGUGCUAACGCUUCCGCUUUCGGUCUACGAGGGUACGUGGACACACUCUCCCCUCUCGUUGGUAUGCAUCACCAUGAUCCUGUGUGUGCGUAGGAUUUUUUUUGAAAUUACUACGUUCCCUAACACCUCCGGUAUUCGGGAGUUGCAUAAUCUCAUAGUCAGACGAACAUGUAUAAGUCAUUAAGAAAGCAAUAGCAAUAAAAUUCAACGAUCAUAAUGCUAAUCUAAAGGAUGGGUCUUGUCCAUCACAUCAUUCUCUAAUGAUGUGAUCCCAUUCCUCAAAUGACAACACAUGUCUAUGGUUAGGAAACUUAACCAUCUUUGAUUAACGAGCUAGUCAAGUAGAGGCAUACUAGAGACAGUUUGUUUUGUCUAUGUAUUCACACAUGUAUCAAGUUUACGGUUAAUACAAUUCUAGCAUGAACAAUAAACAUUUAUCAUGAUAUAAGGAAAUAUAAAAUAACAACUUUAUUAUUGCCUCUAGGGCAUAUUUCCUUCAAAGGUGAACAAUGACCGGACAGAGACAAUUAUACCCGAAAGAGGUUUGAGACAGGGAGACCCUCUCUCACCCUACUUGUUCCUUUUAUGUGCCGAUGGCUUCUCAACUAUACUAUAUGAAGCUGAAAGAAAGGACAUCUUGCAUGGUAUUAAGCUUUAUAGAGCAGCACCAAGUGUGAGUCACCUCCUGUUCGUAGAUGAUUCACUGUUGUUUUUCGAAGCUAAUGCGAGCAAUGCUAAAGCUGUGGGCUUCAUAUUGGAGAAAUAUGAAUCUUGCUCAGGGCAAGUGGUUAAUAAAAUAAAUCGGCUAUCCUUUUUAGCAAGAACACAAACCAGAGGCAGAAAAGAGAGGUGAUGGAAAUUAUGCAGAUACCAUCUGAAGGCCUCAAAGGAAGAUAUUUGGGAAUGCCAACUCAUAUAGGGAAGUAAAAAACAAGAACAUUCCAUUAUAUCAAGGAGAAGAUUUGGAAUAAAAUCCUGGGGUGGAAGGAAAAAUUGUUAUCGAAAUCUGGAAAUGAAGUACUUAUCAAGGCAGCAGCCCAGGCCAUACCUGUGUACGCAAUGUCAUGUUUUGACUUAACAAAAUUAUUUUGCGAGGACCUCAGUUCCAUGAUAUGUAGGUAUUGGUGGAGCCAAAUGGAUAAAGUUAACAAGAUACACUGGACAAGUUGGGAGAAGCUUUCUAAACCUAAGAGAGUGGGAGGACUUGGCUUCAGAGACCUACAUCAUUUUAACAUGGCCAUGCUGGCAAGUCAAGCAUGGCACCUCCUCCAACACCCUUCUCCCUGUGUGCAAGAGUACUAGCAGCAAAAUACCAUCCGAGAAAAGGAAUGUCCUAUGCAUGGCGUAGCAUCUUAAAAGGUGUUGAGCUCUUAAAAAAAGGCUUGAUUUGGCGAGUGGGAUACGGGAGAAGCAUAAAUAUAUGGUCAGAUCCGUGGAUACCGAGAGGUAGUACCAGAAGAGUUACUUCUAUCAGAGGAAGACACAUGGUUUCAAAGGUGGAAGAACUAAUUGAUCCAACCACAAACACCUGGGAUAUGCAGCUCGUGCAACAGACUUUCAACCCCGAGGACGCCGAGAUAAUUCUACAAAUCCCCAUCCAGGAUAACACUAGUGAUUUCAUCGCUUGGCAUUUUGAUAAGAAAGGAAUAUUCUCGGUAAAAUCAGCUUAUAAGGUGGCUGUGGAUAGUGCAGAACAAGAAUCACCCUGGGGACAAGCAUCUAGUAGUUCAUGUAACAAUGAAGGUACAAAUUUUAACUGGAAAAUACUUUGGGCCCUUCCCCUGCAAGGUAAGAUCUUGCAUUUCUUGUGGCGCUUAGCAACAUACAGCUUACCAUUAAGAAUGAAACUGAAGUAGAGGGGUUUGGAUGUGGAUACUAGAUGCCCAAUAUGUUUUAGAUUUGAUGAGGAUGGUGGACAUUGCUUCCUGAAAUGUAAAGAUGUGAUAAAGGUGUGGGGCAUAGCCCAAAUGGAACAUAUCAGACUGAAAUUGUUACCAUGCACUAAUCCUCAAUACCUCCUGGAAGAAGUCUUUAAGCUAAAUGAAGAAGAAUGUCUAAAGGUGUGUACAUUACUUUGGUUAAUUUGGCACCAAAGAAAUAAAGCCAAUGUAGGAGAUAAAAUUAAAUCCUCAUUUGAUAUUUUGUCUUCUAUUAGUCACCAUACUUAUGAAUACAUGAAUCUCAAGUUGAGGAGGAUGACCCAGAAGCAAGUAAAUACUCAAAAAUGGACGCCUCCAGCAAGUGAGUUUCUGAAAAUAAACACCGAUGGUGCAUUUCAUGAAGUUACACAUUCUGGAGGGUGGGGGUUCACUGGAAGAGAUGAUUGUGGAACGCUUAUAGUUGCAGGUGCAGGAAAUCUGGAACAUAUCUCUGAUGCCCUACAUGCUGAAACACUAGCACUUUUUAACACGAUUAAUGCAACAAUCAACAUGGGGUGUCACCAAGCCAUCUUUGAGAUGGACUCCAUGGUACUGAAACAAGCAAUCUCAAGUCAGGACUACGACCUAGCGCCACUUGGAGCUCUGUUCCAUAAGAUAAAAUUUCAAAUGAGAGUCUUUUGAUAAUGUAAAUCUUUAUGCGUGUCCAACAGGGCCGGGCUGACAAAAUCUGAGGCCCGGUGCGAAACUAUAAAAUGGGCCCUCCCUCACUUAAAAAACUAUACAAGUAUAACUAUAAUAAUGUUCAGAUCAUAAUAUCUUACAUAGCAAUGGAAAAUACCAAGAAUCGUACCUAUUCAUGGUUGUAAAGUCUUCACUUAAAUAACAUCAUUCUUUUAGUGUUUCUUGAAAUAAAAUCUUCAAUAAUAUCCUCGUAAUCAAUCUUCUCCAAGACUUCACUCUCAAGUGCUAUUGUGGCCAAAUCAGUAAGUCUUUGUUGUGUCAUGGUAGUGCGCAUAUAAGACUUCAAUAGCUUCAAUUUUGGAAAGCUCCGUUCUGCUGAUGCAACAGUCACAGGGAUGGUCAAAAGAACUAUAUAGGUAAUACUUGCAUUGGGAAAACAAUCAUGCCGCUUUAAGAACUUUAAAAUUUCAACUGGCCCAAUAUUUUCUUUUGGCAUGAAAUUUUGAAGAAACAUCAACUCCACAUACAGUUCACUGGCAUCAAUGUCAGAUUUUCCAUCCUUUCUAAGAGCAACCUCAAGAUUAUCACAAAAAGUUUUCAAGCUCUUCUUAUCCAAGGACUGCAAUGUUUCAGAGGUAAAUAGGAAACCAAAUAUUUUCUGGUAACCUUGGUAUUGUUCAAAUCUGGUUGUAAGUGAGCUAAUUGCUUGAUCAACAAUACGUACAAAAUAGUGGACUCUGAAUGAUUCCUCUGUAGACUGUGUGGCAACAUUUGUGUCAUCUGGGUUCUCAUCAAAAUGUCUCUUUGUUUUAAUUUCCCGUCUUUUACGAAAUGUUGUACCAAUAUCCAUCUCAAGUGCAAUUCCUUUGGCCAUCUCCAAUGCUUCUACAAAACCAGUUUCCCGAUACCCCUUGAAGAAAGUAAUCAGUUCUUGCACUUUCUCAAUAGCAACAUCAAUAAGCAUAUCCUUUGCUUGCAAGUGUUUGCUUACUAAAUUAACAUCAUACAAUACCUCAUACCAAAUUACUAUUGCCACUAUAAAUUCAUACUCUCCAAGUUCAUUAUUUGCCAAGCCUUUAGCCUCACUACUUGUUUUUAUGUCAUUAUCAGUCUCAGCCACCUGAAAUGAUAAAAAUAUAUGUUAUACUUUGAGAUAGCUAAAGGAAUCACAUCAUUAUAAUAUGAAAAUAUUGGGUACCUGAAGUAGGGCCUCCCGAAUGUCUGCACAUUGAAGUCGAAUAGCUUUAACACUGUCAACACGACUCUCCCAACGUGUAGCUGACACUGACUUGGGAGUUAAUCCUAUGAUGUUCUCCUUCAGAAUAUGCCACUUCUUAGUAGAAUUAGCAAAAAUUGUAUAUAUGCGUUGGAUAAUUCUGAAGAAGUCUUUAGCUUUAGCACAAGUCUUGGCCAUAUCACAAAGUGUCAAAUUAAGGCUAUGACAACCACAAGCAGAAUAGAAAGCUCUAGGAUUAAUAUUCAGAAGUCUCCUCUAGACUCCAUGAUGUGUUCCUUUCAUAUUUGACCCGUUAUCAUAACCUUGUCCUCUAACAUCAUCUAUAUCAAGAUCAAGAAGCUUUAGUUCAUUCUAUAGCACUUCAAACAGUCCUUGCCCAGUCGUAUCAUUUACAUCUAAAAAUCCUAAAAAUGAUUCUUCUAUGCAAACAUGACUUGAAGAUGAAUCCACAUAUCUUAUGAUUAUAGACAUUUGUUCUUGAUGGCUUGCAUCAGGGGUACAAUCAAGUAUGACAGAGAAAUACUUUGCACUCUUUAUUUUCUUAACAAUCUCAAACUUAAUAGCAGAAGUAAGCAAAUGUAUCAACUCAUUUUGAAUCUUAUGAUCAAGAUAAUGUGCAUGAGUUUCUUCAUUUGUAAUACGACGAACAUGCUCUUCAAUAACCGGGUCAAAUUCAGCAAACAUCUCAAUCAAACCCAAGAAAUUUCCAUUGCUAUCUUCAUACAAUUUGCUAUUGGUACCAUGAAAUGCUAGAUUAUGCUUAGAAAGAAAUUUUACAAUGCAAACAAUUCUGAACAAAACUUUUCUCCAGUGGUCCUUUUCACUCUCAAGUUGUCGUUGCGCAGAUUUAUCAAUAGUUUGAUGUGUUUGCAAUCUACUACGCAACUCAUACCAAACGGUCAUAUUCAAAACAUGAUCUGCACUUGUCUCAUGCUCUUUAAGUCUAGUGCCAAGAUGUGUCCAAUCAUUGUACCCCUCAUUUGCCAAAUUACCUUUUCGAUGCCCUUUUGCAAAUAAUUUACAACCGAAGCAAAAUACUUUAUCUAAUUCCUCAGAAUAGACAAGCCAAUCCCUAUCGCAGUGCUCUCCAUUUGAUAGAAUUCUAGUGUAGAAUAGUGCAGAAAACCUCCUUUUAUAUUUAUCCUUACGACCUUUCUUAAAAGAUGUGUCCCUUUGAGGGCCCUUUUCUGCUAAAAUGUCAAUUUGCUUAGAAUCAAGAGAAUCCCAAUUUCUUGGAUCAAAUAUAUCAAGAUGAAAAGAAUCACCAACAUCUGCACUAGGUGAAGUAUUCAAGUUGCCAUCAACAUUAGUAGCCUCGAUGUUAUCAUUAUUUUCUUCACCUGCAACAUUAUUUUCUGUCUCUGUCGGGCCAUCUCUAGGGCUAGGAUCAUUUUCAACAUUAUUGUCACGUGCAUGCCCUUGAUCAAGUGAUUGAUUAUUGGAGGACACUUGUGCUUUUUUUAUAACAAACUUAUCCAUAUCUCCAUACUGAGACUGAGUUAAUUCCUCGAUUUUUUUGUUUCUUCAAACGCUUUUGGUAACCAGAUUCAUGUUUUCUAAGUGAAGACAUGACUCAGAUCUUGUAGUGCUAGACGCCUAAUUGAUGAAAAUAUUAAAAUUAGCUAUAAAGUAUCAGCAGAACUAUAUACAAGAUUGAAAUUAGAACUCACAACAAAGGUGAAGGGCUCACGGAAUCACCGGCCGUCGACGCAACAACACUUGGCAAAUCGAAGAUGGCGAGAACUUGCUUGCUUUCCUGCUGGCCGCUCGCUACCUUCUUCAACAAUCUCAAGAACUAUAUACAGACAUACAGGAUUGAAAUUAGAACUCACAAUGAAGGUGAAGGGCUCAUGGAAUCACCGGCCGUCGACGCAACUUGCCUGCUUUCCCCGCCGGGUGCCGGGUGCCGUUCCUGCUGGCCGCUCGCUGCCUUCUUCAGCAACCUGAAGAUGCCUGAGUCCUGAUCACGCUGCCCUAGCCGCCGCCGCACGCGUGAAGAAACGAAGGAAAAGGCUAACCGCCGCAGGAAUAAACGAAGGGACAGAAGGGACGCUUCGAUCGCUAGUUUUUUUCCUGAGUGAAUCUUGAGUCGUCGAUCGAUCGCUAGCGGAGGCUGCUGAGGUCGCGAGCGGGACUGAGUGCCAGGAGGCCCAGGAGCAGGCAGCAGCGAAGAGAGAAGAGCAGGCCCAUCAUGAUCAUCUAUCGGUAAUGACAGGCCUGGCUAAUGAAGCCUAGUAUUAAUACUAAUGCAUAAAAUUUUUGAGGCCCCAAAAACCCGGGGGCCCUGUGCGGGGGCACAGGUUGCACCCCCAAGGACCGGGCCUGGUGUCCAAGGUCUUGUAAUAAUGCAGCGCAUGCCUUAGCUGCACAUGGAACUAGUUUAGGGAAUGGCACUUACGAAAUCUGGUUAGGCUAAUUCCCUAAUGUUGUAAUGAACUCUGUAGCUGGUGAUUUAACCAGCAGUCUAAUGUAAUGGAAUACCAUUUGUUCCCUUCAAAAAAAGUAGGAUUCCUCUUACUUGGGCUCCUUCCUUCCUCCCACCUAUAUAUAUGUGGGAGGGGGUGCCUAGCACACAACAGACAAUUGCCUAGCCGUGUGCGGUGCCCCCCUCCAUCAUUUACACCUCCGGUCAUAUUUUCGUAGUGCUUAGGCAAAGCCCUGCGGAGAUCAUUUCACCAUCACCACGCCGUCGUGCCUACGGAACUCAUCUACUACAUCGACAUCUUGCUGGAUCAAGGAGGCGAGGGACGUCACCGAGCUGAACGUGUGUAGAACGCGGAGGUGUCGUGCGUUCGGUACUUGAUCGGUUAAAGCGCGAAGAAGUUCGACUACAUCAACCAGGUUGUGAAAUGCUUCCGCUUACGGUCUACGAGGGUACGUAGACACAAUCCCCCCUCGUUGCUAUGAAUCUCCAUGGAUAGAUCAUUGCGUAUGCGUAGAUUUUUUUUGUUUUUCCAUGCAACGAUUCCCAAUAGUGGCAUGAUGAGCCAGGUCUAUGCGUAGAUGAUAUGCACAAGUAGAACACAAAGAGUUGUGGGUGGUGAUAGUCAUACUGAUUACACUACAAAAUAAGACAGAUCCGUGACAUUUUGGGCCGAACAAUUUUUUUUCUGUCAUGCUUAUGACACUUCUAUGACGAUAGUUGUGACAAAACCCGGUAUCAUCAUAGAUGUGGUGGGCUCCUACUUCUAUGACAAAAAAUCAUGACAGAAAAUGGGCUUUUUGUCUUGUGCGGGCCGGAGACGCAGCUGCAUGACAUUCUUUGGGCCGUCCAUGACGGAAAAAACCGUGGUAGAAGCAAGGGCGAGGAAAAUACCGGGGAGUUCCCGGUUACGGUGGGUGGUCGUGGGCCGAGCGAUGCGCGUUUCUCUCGUACACGUACGCGCGUGGGUGCGAGGCGUUGGGCUCUAACUGAACCCGAGCGAGGCAUUCGCCUACUGAACCCGAGCGAUUGCACUGCAGCCUACGCGUUACUGAACCCGAGCGAUUGAUCGAUGGCUGUUAACUGAACCCGAUCGAGCGAUUCCUUCGGUACUGCUGCUAACUGAAGCCGAUCAAACCUGCUUCCUCUUGAUGAACAGUGAGCGUUGCUGGGGGGUUUGGACGAACAGUUCCCGGUGGGGGGUUGGAUGAAUAGGAACCCGUGGUGUUGCCGCUGGAUGAACAGGACCCCGAUCGCUCGAGUCGGUGGAGGGCUGGAUGAACAGGACCCCAUGGAGGGCUGGUUGAACAGUAGCUGGUGGAGGCCUGGAUAAACAGUAGCCCGUGGAGGGGUGGUUGAACAGGACCCCAUAGAGAGGGCGGGUUGAACAGUAGCCGGUGGAGGAGCGCGUGGUGGAGGCUGGAUGAACAGGAGCCCGUGGAUGAACAGUCGCAGGUGGAGGCUGGAGGAGGUCGACGGUGGAUGAACAGUAGCCCGUGGAGGCAGUCGACGGUGGAGAUGACCAGUAUCUCGUGGAGUCCCGUUUUGCGGUACGCCACACCCCUCCCGAUGAACAGGACCCCCGUUUCGACCGUAGCGCUCCAACACAAGUCUGUUUCCUCCGUUUUGCGGUAUGCCACACCCCUCCCGAUCAACAGGACCCCAUUUCAACCAAGAGAAGUCUGUUUCCUCCGUUUUGCGGUACGCCAGACCCCUCCUGAUGAAUAGGAUCCCGUUUCGACCGUGGCCGGUCGAACACAAAGGCCGUUUCCUCCGUUCCGCGGUACGCCAGGCUUCGUUUCCAUCGGCUGUUUCGUCCAAGCCGGUUUGCUCCCGAUAAACACGACGACGCAUUCUGUUCCGACCCAGCCGGUUGGCUCCCCAUGAACAUGACGAUGAUGCAAUUUCUCCAUUCCGUCCCGGCCAUGUACACGAGACUUGGCCAUACGUAUGCGCGAGUAGGCGUUCGAGACCCCACCCAUAUGUACGUAGGUGGCCGUAUUUACUUCCUUGCACCCUGGCCCUUGUACGUACGAGUACAUGCUACGUGCGCGCCUCUACUACGACAUGUGCGCGCCUCUACAUCGACCAGUAUGUACGCGCAUGUUCGCGACCAGAAUGACAAUGCUACGUAUGCUUCGCCCAGGUGGGUCCUGACUGUCAGGCACUUCCUUUCGUGCGAAGAUGUAGCUGGUGGGUCCCAGCAGUCAGGGGGAAAUAUUUUUUCCGCGAAAUACGGUGGCCCGUCUGGUGGGUCCCUGCUGUCAGGUGGAGGAAUAAUUAUUUUGUGUGUAAUAAGGAGGCACUCCUUGCUGCUACCAUGGAACCAGCUGUCAGCCUCUCCACAUACAGUACUGCUACCUCUUGAGCACUGCGUUGGUUUUCCCUUGAAGAGGAAAGGGUGAUGCAGCAAAGUAGUGUAAGUAUUUCCCUUAAUUUUUGAGAACCAAGGUAUCAAUCCAGUAGGAGGCUACGCGCGAGUCCCUCGCACCUACACAAAACAAAUAAAUCCUCGCAACCAACGCGAUAAGGGGUUGUCAAUCCCUUCACGGUCAAUUACGAGAGUGAGAUCUGAUAGAUAUGAUAGGAUAAUAUUUUUGGUAUUUUUGUGAUAAAGAUGUAAAGUAAAAUAAAAACAAAGUAAAAGCAAAUGAAAUAACUAAGUGUUGGAAGAUUAAUAUGAUGAAGAUAGACCCGGGGGCCAUAGGUUUCACUAGUGGCUUCUCUCGAGAGCAUAAGUAUUUUACGGUGGGUGAACGAAUUACUGUUGAGCAAUUGACGGAAUUGAGCAUAGUUAUGAGAAUAUCUAGGUAUGAUCAUGUAUAUAGGCAUCACGUCCGAGACAAGUACACCGACUCCUGCCUGCAUCUACUACUAUUACUCCACUCAUCGACCGCUAUCCAGCAUGCAUCUAGAGUAUUAAGUUCAUGAAAAUAGAGUAACGCGUUAAGCAAGAUGACAUGAUGUAGAGGGAUAAAUUCAUGCAAUAUGAUAAAAACCCCAUCUUGUUAUCCUCGAUGGCAACAAUACAAUACGUGCCUUGCUGCCCCUACUAUCACUGGGAAAGGACACCGCAAGAUUGAACCCAAACCUAAGCACUUCUCCCAUUGCAAGAAAGAUCAAUCUAGUAGGCCAAACCAAACUGAUAAUUCGAAGAGACUUGCAAAGAUAACCAAUCAUACAUAAAAGAAUUCAGAGAAGAUUCAAAAUAUUGUUCAUAGAUAAACUUGAUCAUAAACCCAUGAUUCAUCGGUCUCAACAAACAAACCGCAAAAGAAGAUUACUUUGAAUAGAUCCCCACGAGAGAGGGGGAGAACGUUGUAUUGAGAUCCAAAAAUAGAGAAGAAGCCAUCUAGCUACUAACUAUGGACCCGAAGGUCUGAAGUAAACUACUCACACUUCAUCGGAGAGGCUAUGGUGUUGAUCUAGAAGCCCUCCGUGAUGGAUGCCCCCUCCGGUGGAGCUCUGGAACAGGCCCCAAGAUGGGAUCUCGUGGGUACAGAAGGUUGCGGCGGUGGAAUUAGGUUUUUGGCUCCGUAUCCGAUCGUUUGGGGGUACGUAGGUAUAUAUAGGAGGAAGGAGUACGUCGGUGGAGCAACAGGGGGCCCACGAGGGUGGAGGGCGCGCCCUGGGAGGUAGGCGCGCCCCCUACCUCGUGUCCUCCUCCUUUGUUUCUUGACGUAGGGUCCAAGUCUCUUGGAUCAUAUUCUUCCUAAAAAUCACAUUCCCGAAGGUUUCAUUCCAUUUGGACUCCGUUUGAUAUUCCUUUUCUGCAAAACUCUGAAAUAGGCAAAAAACAGCAAUUCUGGGCUGGGCCUCCGGUUAAUAGGUUAGUCGCAAAAAUAAUAUAAAAGUGAAUAAUAAAGCCCAAUAAUGUCCAAAACAGUAGAUAAUAUAGCAUGGAGCAAUCAAAAAUUAUAGAUACGUUGGAGACGUAUCAAGCAUCCCCAAGCUUAAUUCCAGCUCGUACUCGAGUAGGUAAAUGAUAAAAACAGAAUAUUUGAUGCGGAGUGCUACUUGGCAUAAUUUCAAUGUAAUUCUUCUUAAUUGUGGUAUGAAUAUUCAGAUCCGAAAGAUUCAAGACAAAAGUUUAAUAUUGACAUAAAAAUAAUAAUACUUCAAGCAUACUAACAAAGCAGUCAUGUCUUCUCAAAAUAACAUGGCCAAAGAAAGUUAUCCCUGCAAAAUCAUAUAGUCUGGCUAUGCUCUAUCUUCACCACACAAAGUAUUUAAAUCAUGCACAACCCCGAUGACAAGCCAAGCAAUUGUUUCAUACUUUUGACGUUCUCAAACUUUUUCAAUCUUCACGCAAUACAUGAGCGUGAGCCAUGGACAUAGCACUAUAUGUGGAAUAGAAUGGUGGUUGUGGAGAAGACAAAAAGGGAGAAGAUAGUCUCACAUCAACUAGGCGUAUCAACGGGCUAUGGAGAUGCCCAUCAAUAGAUAUCAAUGUGAGUGAGUAGGGAUUGCCAUGCAACGGAUGCACUAGAGCUAUAAGUGUAUAAAAGCUCAACAAAAGAAACUAAGUGGGUGUGCAUCCAACUCGCUUGCUCACGAAGACCUAGGGCAUUUUGAGGAAGCCCAUCAUUGGAAUAUACAAGCCAAGUUCUAUAAUGAAAAUUUCCCACUAGUAUAUUAAAGUGACAAAAUGAGAGAUUCUCUAUCAUGAAGAUCAUGGUGCUACUUUGAAGCACAAGUGUGGUAAAAGGAUAAUAACAUUGUCCCUUCUCUCUUUUUCUCUCAUUUUUUUAUUUGGGCCUUUUUUAUGGCCUCUUUUUUUCAUCCGGAGUCUCAUCCCGACUUGUGGGGGAAUCAUAGUCUCCAUCAUCCUUUCCUCACUUGGGACAAUGCUCUAAAAAGGAAGAUCAUCACACUUUUAUUUUCUUACAACUCAACAAUUACAAAUCGAUACUUAGAACAAAAUAUGACUCUAUAUGAAUGCCUCCGGCGGUGUACCGGGAUAUGCAAUGAAUCAAGAGUGACAUGUAUGAAAGAAUUAUGAACGGUGGCUUUGCCACAAAUACGAUGUCAACUACAUGAUCAUGCAAAGCAAUAUGACAAUGAUGGAGCGUGUCAUAAUAAACGGAACGGUGGAAAGUUGCAUGGCAAUAUAGCUCGGAAUGGCUAUGGAAAUGCCAUGAUAGGAAGGUAUGGUGGCUGUUUUGAGGAAGGUUUAUGGUGGGUGUAUGAUACCGACGAAAAGUGCUCGGUAUUAGAGAGGCUAGCAAUGGUGGAAGGAAGAAGAGUGCGUAUAGUCCAUGAACUCAAUAUUAGUCAUAAAGAACUCAUAUAAUUAUUGCAAAAAUCUACAAGUUAUCAAAGCAAAGUAUUACACGCAUGCUCCUAGGGGGAUAAAUUGGUAGGAAAAGACCAUCGCUCAUCCCCGACCGCCACUCAUAAGGAAGACAAUCAAUAAAUAAAUCAUGCUCCGACUUCAUCACAUAACGGUUCACCAUACGUGCAUGCUACGGGAAUCACAAACUUUAACGUGAGUAUCUCUCAAAUUCACAACUACUCAACUAGCAUGACUCUAAUAUCACCAUCUUUAUAUCUCAAAACAAUUAUCAAGCAUCAAACUUUUCAUAGUAUUCAACACACUGAUAAGAAUUUUUUACUAUUCUUGAAUACCAAGCAUAUUAGGAUUAUUCAAGCAAUUACCAUGCUAUUCAAGACUCUCAAAAUAAUCUAAGUGAAGCAUGAGAGAUCAAUAGUUUCUAUAAAACAAAUCCACCACCGUGCUCUAAAAGAUAUAAGUGAAGUACUAGAGCAAAACUAUAUAACUCAAAAGAUAUAAGCUAAGCACAUAGAGUAUUCUAACAAAUUCCAAAUCAUGUAUGGCUCUCUCAAAAGGUGUGUACAGAAAGGAUGAUUGUGGUAAACUAAAAAGAAAAGACUCAAAUCAUACAAGACGCUCCAAGAAAAACACAUAUCAUGUGGUGAAUAAAAAAUAUAGCUCCAAGUAAAGUUACCGAUGGAAGUAGACAAACGAGGGGAUGCCUUCCGGGGCAUCCCCAAGCUUUGGCUUUAUGGUGUCCUUAGAUUAUCUUGGGUGUGCCAUGGGCAUCCCCAAGCUUAGGCUCUUGCCACUCCUUAUUCCAUAAUCCAUCAAAAUCUUUCACCCAAAACUUGAAAACUUCACAACACAAAACUUAACAGAAAAUCUCGUGAGCUCCGUUAGCGAAAGAAAACAAAAGACCACUUCAAGGUACUGUAAUGAACUCAUUCUUUAUUUAUAUUGGUGUUAAACCUACUGUAUUCCAACUUCUCUAUGGUUUAUAAACUAUUUUACUAGCCAUAGAUUCAUCAAAAUAAGCAAACAACACACGAAAAACAGAAUCUGUCAAAAACAGAACAGUCUGUAGCAAUCUGUAACUAACGCAAACUUCUGGAACUCCAAAAAAUUAGCCAAAAUAGGAUGACCUAGACAACUUGUUUAUUGAUCAGUAGCAAUUGGAAUCACUAUUUUAUCACGUUCUGGUGAUUUUUAACAAUUGUUUUCGUGAACAGAAAGUUUCUGGAAAUUUCUGCAAGAUCAAAUAACUAUCAUCCAAGAAGAUCCUAUAGGUUUAACUUGGCACAAACACUAAUUAAAACAUAAAAACACAUCUAACCAGAGGCUAGAACAAAUAUUUAUUCCUAAACAGAAGCAAAAAGCAAAAAAAAACUAAAAAUAAAAUUGGGUUGCCUCCCAACAAGCGCUAUCGUUUAACGCCCCUAGCUAGGCAUAAAAGCAAGGAUAGAUCUAGGUAUUGCCAUAAUAGUGGUAUGGCAAGUCAUGAAAACUUUUCUCAUAUUCUCUACGUUCAGCAGCAAGUUUUCUUUGAGGCAAGCAAAAAUAAUCAAAAGGGCUAAAUUUAAUGGGACAAAAGUCCCCAAGAUCAAUCUCGGGAGGUAUGGGUUCCUCCCUAGGCCCUUUGUAUUGCACAACCAAUUCAUCAUUACAAGCAUUCUUUUGGAAAAAGGUCACAAGCCUUUGUUCAAGAGGAAAACCUAAUCCAUUAUCUGAAUAGCAAAAUCAUCAUUAAGCUCGGAAAUUCAAUCAACUAGAAUAUCAGCUGGAACCUUUUUCCUAAGAUUUUCAUUAUAAGCAAUAUGAUCCAAAGAUUGUAAACGCAUCAUGUCUUCUUGAUUAAAAAGGAUAGCUUCAAUGGGAGGAUGAUUAGCAUCUACCCUAUAAUGCGCAAAGAUUUCUUUGGCCUCUUUUAUUAUGAAUCUAAACUCAUGAGCCAAAAAGAUAGUGGCGGCACGCUUAACAGAAGAAUGCUCAAUAUUAGAGAAUUCUAGGAAAAUUCUUUGUAUGCAAGGAUGCAUGUGCAUAAAUUGCCUUUCAAGUUCAACUAUAAGCAUGGCAAUAGCGUCCGCAAGACUACUAGUUCUAUGAAGAAUAGAACCGCCCAUAGAAGGCAAAGCACCGGCACAAGUAAAGAAAUCUUGAAUAACUCCUUUUCCAAUUAUAUUACCACUACCAAUUCGAAAUCUUUUUGUAUGCAAGGUAGGGGGUUCUUCAGCAGGAGCAUCAGAAUUUUCUAUGAUAUUAUUAUUGUCCAUAUCGGCAAUAAUUUCCCCAAUUUCAGACAUAACGACAGAGAGAGCAAGGGACAAAAAAGAAGAAGGCGAACGGAAAAGAGAGGGCGAAUAAAACAGCAAGGGUGAAGUGGGGGAGAGGAAAACGAGAGGCAAAUGGCAAAUAAUGUAAUGCGGGAGAUAAGGGAUUGUGAUGGGUACUUGGUAUGUUGACUUUUGCGUAGACCUCCCCGGCAACGGCGCAAGAAAUGGCUCGUUGUCGGGAGUCCAAAUCUUGACUUGACUUUGCGUAAGCCUCCCCGGCAACGGCGCCAGAAAUCCUUCUUGCUACCUCUUGAGCACUGCGUUGGUUUUCCCUUGAAGAGGAAAGGAGGAUGCAGCAAAGUAGCGUGAGUAUUUCCCUCAGUUUUUGAGAACCAAGGUAUCAAUCCAGUAGGAGGCUACGCGCGAGUCCCUCGCACCUAGACAAAACAAAUAAAUCCUCGCAACCAACGCGAUAAGGGGUUGUCAAUCCCUUCACAAUCAUUUACGAGAGUGAGAUAUGAUAGAUAUGAUAGGAUAAUAUUUUUGGUAUUUUUAUGAUAAAGAUGCAAAGUAAAAUAAAAGCAAAGUAAAAGCAAAGGAAAUAACUAAGUGUUGGAAGAUUAAUAUGAUGAAGAUAGACCCGGGGGCCAUAGGUUUCACUAGUGGCUUCUCUCGAGAGCAUAAGUAUUUUACGGUGGGUGAACGAAUUACUGUUGAGCAAUUAACAGAAUUGAGCAUAGUUAUGAGAAUAUCUAGGUAUGAUCAUGUAGAUAGGCAUCACGUCCGAGACAAGUAGACCGACUCCUUCCUGCAUCUACUAUUCUUACUCCACUCAUCGACCGCUAUCCAGCAUGCAUCUAGAGUAUUAAGUUCAUGAAAACAGAGUAACGCCUUAAGCAAGAUGACAUGAUGUAGAGGGAUAAAUUCAUGCAAUAUGAUAAAAACCCCAUCUUGUUAUCCUCGAUGGCAACAAUACAAUACAUGCCUUGGUGCCUCUACUGUCACUGGGAAAGGACACCGCAAGAUUGAACCCAAAGCUAAGCACUUCUCCCAUUGCAAGAAAGAUCAAUCUAGUAGGCCAAACCAAACUAAUAAUUCGAAGAGACUUGCAAAGAAACCAAUCAUACAUAAAAGAAUUCAGAGAAGAUUCAAAUAUUGUUCAUAGAUAAACUUGAUCAUAAACCCACAAUUCAUCGGUCUCAACAAACACACCGUAAAAGAAGAUUACAUCGAAUAGAUCUCCACGAGAGAGGGGGAGAACAUUGUAUUGAGAUCCAAAAAGAGAGAAGAAGCCAUCUAGCUACUAACUAUGGACCCGAAGGUCUGAAGUAAACUACUCACACUUCAUCGGAGAGGCUAUGUUGUUGAUGUAGAAGCCCUCUGUGAUGGAUGCCCCCUCCGGCGGAGCUCCGAAACAGGCCCCAAGAUAGGAUCUCGUGGGUACAGAAGGUUGCGGCGGUGGAAUUAGGUUUUUGGCUCAGUAUCUGAUCGUUUGGGGGUAUAUAUAGGAGGAAGGAGUACGUCGGUGGAGCAACCGAGGGCCCACNNNNNNNNNNNNNNNNNNNNNNNNNNNNNNNNNNNNNNNNNNNNNNNNNNNNNNNNNNNNNNNNNNNNNNNNNNNNNNNNNNNNNNNNNNNNNNNNNNNNNNNNNNNNNNNNNNNNNNNNNNNNNNNNNNNNNNNNNNNNNNNNNNNNNNNNNNNNNNNNNNNNNNNNNNNNNNNNNNNNNNNNNNNNNNNNNNNNNNNNNNNNNNNNNNNNNNNNNNNNNNNNNNNNNNNNNNNNNNNNNNNNNNNNNNNNNNNNNNNNNNNNNNNNNNNNNNNNNNNNNNNNNNNNNCUCCUCCUUUGUUUCUUGACGUAGGGUCCAAGUCUCAUGGAUCAUAUUCUUCCUAAAAAUCACGUUCCCGAAGGUUUCAUUCCGUUUGGACUCCGUUUGAUAUUCCUUUUCUGGGAAACUCUGAAAUAGGCAAAAAACAGCAAUUCUGGGCUGGGCCUCCGGUUAAUAGGUUAGUCCCAAAAAUAAUAUAAAAGUGAAUAAUAAAGCCCAAUAAUGUCCAAAUCAGUAGAUAAUAUAGCAUGGAGCAAUCAAAAAUUAUAGAUACGUUGGAGACGUAUCAAGUACUCUUCCGAUGGAAGUCGUUCCUUGACCACGUUGACCACGCCGCGCCGAGAGCACCAGGGCGAUGGACGACGGCGAGGCCUAGGAAGGGGACUACGCGGAGCUGGGGAAGACGCGGCAGUGGAUGCCCACGCGGAGAGGAGUAUGAGGGUUCACUGGUUCGGCUUCGGUGUGAGGCUGCCGUCGCCGCAGGGCCUGGCCAGCGGUGGGAGUAGUAGGGGGCGGUGAGGCCUUGGCGGCAGCACAGCUGGCCACGGGAGGCAAGAGCACGCGGUGGUUUGGACGGCUGGAGCAAGAAAAUUAGAGGUUGAAGAAGCAGGACGACCGUUAGAUGUUAACAAUCCAACGGCCACUGGUGAUAGAAUCGUUCAUAUUGACUAAGUUGACAAAGCCCUCCGUCCGCGACAACUUAGUAGGCCCACAAGUCAGCCUCCCAAUGGUGGGUCCCAGCUAGCAGGGGGACUAUUCAUUUUUUGUGCUUAAUAAGGAAGCACUUCCUUGCGUGCAAAGAUAUAACUGGUGGGUCCAAGCUAUCAGCAGCGGGAACGUUUUUUUCGCGAAAUACAGAGGCCCUUCCGGUGGGUCCCAGAUGUCAGGUGGAGGAAUCAUUAUUUUGCGCAUAAUAAGGAGGCAUUUCCUUGUGUGCGGCCAUGGACCCAGCUGUCAGCCUCUCCACUUACAGUCCACUUCCGAUGGAUGUCGUUCGUUGCCCAUGUUGACCACGCCGCCCCGAGGGCAUCCAAGGUGGUGGACGACGGUGAGGCCCCGGACAGCAACGAGCCGGAGAUGGGAAGACGCGGGAGUGGAGUCGCAGACGGAGAGGUGUACGAGGGUUAACUGGUUCUGGUGCGGUGUGGUUCGGUAGUCGGUGGAGAAGAACAGGAGGUGUGGAGGGGUGGAGGGAUGGCAUGGCCGGCGGUGGGGUAGCUCUUCAUAGCGAAGCGUGCUAAGCAGAGCUGCUAGCAGCAGGAGGCGGGAGGAGGUGGUCCCGGUGGCACUGGAGGAAGAAGACGAGAGAUUGAAGAUGGAUGCCGGUCGUCGGAUGUAAAUCCAACGGCUAACGAUGUCUGAAUCAUUUGUUGACUAAGUUGACAACGACUUGCGUUGGCUUCGAUGUACUGGCCCACAUUUCAGCCUCCAAAAAUGUGGCACGUAUUCAACCCAUUUUUUCAGAAUUUACAGUCAAUUUGAUCUUUUUUUAGAAUUAUAGUCCAUUUGCUGGGCUGGGUGAACAAAUAAUGUAGCCUCCAUGCGGCCCAUUUAUUUUUUUCCUAUAAAAUUACAGGCCAUUUGCACUUUCUCGAAAUACACGAUUUUGAUGGGCUGAUUCUAAUAAUAAUGUUGGGUUGGGGGCAACAAUGUUAUCAAAAAAUAAACAGGGGUUGAGCAUUUUGUUAUAAAUAUAUUUAAUUAAUAGGUGAUUCAUUAUUACAUUGGUCCUUAAAUCUUACCAAGCUUUUGUACACAAUCACCAGGAUUUUCGUUGCCAAAAAAAUCCAGGAUUUAUUGUUAAGAAAUUAUUUUUUUAAGUUAAUAAGAUGUGGGAUAUUGUUUUCUUACAUAUGUAAGUAUCUGUUAAAUAUAUGAUGACAAUAAAAAUAAUAUAUAAUAACAUAUAAUAAUUUAAAUAUAUAUAAUAUAGUUAGAAGGGAAACAUAAGUUGGAACAGACGUUCCUAUUCUUAUAUAGAAAAAUAGAACAGACCUCUGCUUUUUCUUCAAAAAAAAAUACAUAAAUUGGAAUGCCGAUGUUUCAGGAAAAAUAAAACCUCGGAUGGGAGGUCCAUAGGCCGGUCGAUACAUGACGGCCCUCAAGAAAAUACAAACCGGCAAGUUGUGGGCUGCGCAUGUUAAAAAAGAAAGCCUAGACGGGGCAGCCCACAACCCAGCUGAUCCUUGCUGCCCCAGUGAUAAGAAAUGAUACUUGCCAGCUCCCCGGCUUCAUUGUGAAUUUAUCUCCUUUAGUAACUACGUUGGAGCACCUAAAAAAAUGUAACUAUGUUGACAAACCCGUGGGCCCCAACCUCAGUAUAGCAUUAGGAGGAAGUAUUUUUUCAAAGAGGCACUUGCUUGCGUAUGGCCAUAGACCUGGUGGGUCCUGACUGUCCGCCUCUCCACGUACAGUCCUCCCCAGAUUCCUCUCAUUUGUUCAGCAUGUUCACAACGGCAGACAGCGGCGCCGCGGCGAGCGCACAAAGGCGCAGGAGGAGAUCGGACUACCUGAGGCAGUGCCUUAUUUGUAACGAAAGUACUGAACUAGCCCAGUGGCCAAGUGACACUACCGACAGCUGUGCCGCCCGGGUUCGAUUCCACCUGAUACAGGGAAAAUAUCUCCAAUUUUUUUGCCUCUGCCAUUAUUGACAUGUGGGUCCCCAUUGUCAUCUACGCACACCACGUCCAAUACUUACCAAAACUUCGUCCCUCGUUUUCUCUGUUUUUCGCACACUCGACAUUGUGUGGGCAUUUUGAAAAUAGCAUAUCUUUUUGACUGUGCAUCAUAUGAAGAUAUGCAUGAAUGUUGAUCGGCAUGAUGUUAACUGGUUGGUAGUUCCCUUUUCGACCAUGAAUAAAACUUCCAACAUGAUGUUAUCCCUGUUUGAAAAGGCCGUGUUAAUAUAAAUGCUCUGCCUCUCAAAGUUGCAGUUUCUUAUCUGAAACUGAACUUGCAGUUUCUUAUCUAAAACUGAAACUUGCAGUUUCUUCUCUGAAACUCACAUUGUCUACACUUUUAUACUCCUAUGAAACUACAUUUUUUAAGUGCUAAAAAUAGAUCUCUAGAAUUCAUAAAAUACUUCAUAUGCUCAAUACUGCAAAUCUGAAAUUCAAAAGACAUUCAUAUCUGAAAGUACUCUCAAAAUACACAACACAAAACACAAUUCACAACCUGCAAAUACUGACAACCCUAACCUCCUGACAAUUCGAAACCCUCAUCACUGAGGGAAAGGAAAAAUAUGAAAUCCUUGAGCGGAAAGUGCAAUAUGAGGAAACACGAAAUGAUGAAAUAUGCUUGAAAAUUGGUGCAAACAUUGAUGUUCAUACUAAAGAUCUUGCCUCCUUGAAAAAGGCUAUUGACUCUUGCGAAGAGUUGAUGAAUGAUAAAAGUAAGUGUUGGUGUCAAAACCGGCGAAUCUCGGGUAGGGGUCCCAAACUGUGCGUCUAAGGUCGAUGGUAACAGGAGACGGGGGACACAAUGUUUACCCAGGUUUGGGCCCUCUCUAUGGAGGUAAUACCCUACUUCCUACUUGAUUGAUCUUGAUGAAUAUGAGUAUUACAAGAGUUGAUGUACCACGAGAUCGUUAUGGCUAAAACUCUAGAAGUCUAGCCUGUAUGAUUAUAUCCAUUUCCGGACUAAGCCCUCUGGUUUAUAUAUUCACCGAAGGGGACUAGGGCUAUACAAAGUCGGUUACAGAGAAAGGAAUCUUCAUAUUUGGUCGCCAAGCUUGCCUUCCACGCCAAGGAGAGUCCUAUCCGGACACGGGAGAAAGUCUUCGAUCUUGUAUCUUCACAGCCCAUUAGUCCGGCCCAUGUCCAACAGGCCGGACGCCUGAGGACCCCUUAGUCCAGGACUCCCUCAGUAGCCCCUGAACUAGGCUUCAAUGAUGAGGUGUCCGGCGUCCAGAUUGUCUUCGGCAUUGCAAGGCGGGUUCUCCUUUCUGAAUACUCCAAGAUAGUCUUCGGACGCAACGAACGUGUUCGGAUCUGCAACACAAGUACCACACACACAGCCGUAGAGAGUAUAAUAUUUCAUGAGUCCCAUCCGCUGGCAACUUUUCGCAAGAUGGCAUCAUGCCUGCCUGGUCAUUAUUUCGAACCGUUUUCGUUUGCCGUUCCGCAUUUCGAGAUGCGGUUUCCAUUGGCAUGUCUUGUCGAAGCAGAGAUUGUGUCCCCUUAUUGCGAGAUUCUCAUCAAUACAGGCGUGGGUAAUCCAACCGUGCCGUUUACACAACCCUUGGGUAUAGGCGAGUUUUAAGGUGAGUGGGGAGGCGUUCAAUAUUUACUGCCUUUAAAAGGGGAUAAGGAUUCCACUUCUUCACCCACGCCUUCUUUCUUCCUCUGCGCUUCCAUUCUCGAGCUCCAGCGCCCAAGUUCUCGUUUCUUCCACCCCGAGCAAGUUCUCAACCAUGUCCGGCUCUGGAGGGCAAGGCAAGUGGACGGCCUCUUCUGUCACGGCGAAGGACAUCGCCGGGCUUCGGGCGGCCGGGUACCUGGCGAAGGAAAUCGCCCACCGGCUUCCAGCCAAGGGGCAAGUCGUCCCCACACCGAAGCCCAACGAGAGGGUGGUGUUCCUCCCUCAUUUCGUCCGCGGGUUAGGGUUUUCUUUCCAACCUUUCGUCUAUGGGCUUAUGUUCUAUUACAGGCUAGAUUUCCACGAUCUAGCCCCGAACUCUUUCCUCAACAUCUCGGCAUUCAUGGUCGUGUGUGAGGCCUUCCUCCGCAUCCAACCCCACUUCGGACUAUGGCUCAAGAUCUUCAACAUGAAGCUGAAGGUGGUGGAUGGCUAGCACGCGGAGUGCGGGGGCGCCAUGGUGAGCAUGCUGCCCAAUGUCACAUGGCCCAAAGGUAUGUUUGUGCAGGCUGUCAAGGAGUGGCAGAAGCUAUGGUUCUAUAUCACAGAGCCCCGCGACGCCUCCUGGGACGUGGCUCCCGAAUUCAAGUCUGGAGCUCCAACGCGGCUUACCUCCUGGAUGGAGAAGGGCCCAAAUUGGUCUUCGUCAGACGAGCUGUUAGCGCUGCAAACGCGCAUCCAAAGCAUGGUGGACAAAAACAUCAAACUCGUCGACGUGAUCCAGGUGAUGCUGGUUCGCCGGAUCCUCCCCUACCAAAGCCGAGCCUGCCCCUUAUGGGAAUUCGAUCCGGCGAAGCACCAAACCCUGGAAAGGCUCUUCGGAACUACUCACGAAGAUGCCUGGAAGUUGCUCUUUAAGGGCAAUGAGAAGCCGCCGGUCAUAGACUCGGACCGUGGGCACGAUCUUGCCCACCCCGCCAGUGCGUUAAGACCUCCACGUCUCCAGGCGCAUCCUCUACUUGCUUGUUCAAGGAGGAUACCAAAACUUUACUAUUUCAUUUUUUCAGGUAUGGACGAAGAAAGCGGAGCGAAUUCAGAGUUCGGCUCCGCUGCCCGAAGAGCCAGUCAUCCCGCUUCUGGCGAAGAUGCUGGUUCUGGCGCCCUACAAGGCGCCGGAGAAGAAGGCCAAGAAGAAAGCCAAGGGGACGAAAGGCGGCCCUCGCCGCAAGGGUACUUCAGACGUGAUGUUCGAAGAUGACGAGGAUCUCUCCUCCGCCGCCGAAGACGACGACGAGGAGGAGGAAGAAAGCCACUCCCUCCCUGAUGGGGGAAGGAAGAAAAGGGCGGCCUCCACAAAUCUGGAGGCGGGGGCGCCCAAGAGGGGGAAGGGCCCCCUUGCGGAUGACUUCGCGUGGGACGUCGACAGCAGCCCAGAGCGACCCCCUCGAAGCAAGCCCCUGGCCGCAUCGUAAGCACCAAAGACCCGUAUACGUCCAUGUAUCCGGCCUCUCCUCUUGAUGGUAUUAACAUCUUUAGUUAUGCUAUUGCAGUCCGGCCCACGACAGCCUCCAGCGAUCCUCAUCAGGAGGUUCAUCAUCCUCCAAAGAAAUAGUCCCAAUAUAGACAGUAGCCCCUGAGACACUGUCUGGUGUUCGGAAAGAAAAAGCCGGACAUGGGAUCAAUUAAACCUCGCAGGAAGCUGACCAAAUAUGUCUUAUGUGACUAAGCAGGCGUCAUUGCUGGCCGCGACCUCGCACACUGCCAAAGUCUCCGGACUAAAGCAGAAACUGGAGCGGGCCAAGGAAGAGCUCGGCCAAGCGAGGAAGUAGCUGGAAGACCGGCAAGGUAUGUGAUGACAUGCUAUAUAUUCGGAAAGAAUAAAUGAUGUUUAUUGACCGUAGUGUCCUGAUAUGUGUAGGACCGACGACCGAGGUCGAGGCCCUUAAGAAGGCCCUGGCCGAAGCCGAGGGGAAAGCUGUCAAGGAGCAAGCCACCCGUAAGAAGCUCAAGGCCAGGCUUAACGAGGUCCAGCAAGAGCUCCAGGACGCUGUGAAAAAAUGUGAGACCUUGGAGGGUGAUGUUUCGGCUCGAGACACCGAACUCGCCAAGGCUCGCCAAAGCGCAGAAGAGGCCCGGGUUAAAGCCCGGGCGCCCUCCAGGAGAUCCAGGAGGCCAAGAAGAUCGCGGCGGGUAAGGCGUUUAGUAUGCAAAGCAAGUAUGUGAAGAAGAAGUAUUUCUUACUAACCCAGAUUCAGAGCUCUCCAGGGGCGUUUGCGGAUCUGCCAUGCAGUGCGUCCGACGCUGCGGAGUUCUUUCGAGCCGAAGAAGGGAGAUCGACGGAGAAGCUGUUUUGGUCGCAAUACCUUGCGCUAGAACAUCCAGUGCCCUUUAGCGAUCAGCUGAAACAACUGGUCGAGCUGCAUGGGAUGGCCGAACUGGCCAUGAAGGAUUUGAUAAUCCGGCUGUGGCCUGCCGAAGCUAUACCCAGCAGCUACUUCGGCCUUGUGAAGCGGCUGGUGAAUGCCUGUCCUCGGCUGGACAUUGUCAAGCGGUCAGUCUGCAUCGAGGGCGCGCACAUGGCCUUCGCCCACGUCAAGGUCUGGUGGGCGAAGAUGGACGCCGUCAAGCUUGUGAUCGAGGGGCCGCCGGAGGGCAAGGAGCACCGCAAGCCCGAGCUGUAUUUUGAUAGUGUCCUGGAGGGAUCACGCAUUGUUCCGGAGCAAUGUGCGAAAGACGUGAUCUUUGAAGGAAUAUAUUCAUAUUUGUCUCGCCCUGUAUUAUGAAACAAAGACAAUUUAUGUAAUAUAAUGCUUUGUGUUAGAUUUUUACCUCCUGUGCGGCCGUUUUUAUUAAAUCUGAGAGUUGGCCAGUCGUCGGCUUCAGCUCCCACGUAGGUAAUACGGGGGUGUUCGGGAUGGAAUCUAAACACUCUUGAUCCAAUUAUUUGGUCCUUGAAGGAGGUGUUUAGCGUAACGAACAAGGUAAUCAGACUAUAAUGCUUUAUCACCCUCACUUAGCCAUAGGAGUUCGACAAUAAGAUUUUAGGCGCAACCCCUGGUAUUCGGAAGUCCGAACUGGGGGGGGGGGUACUGUAAACGCCUGAUUGGAUAAAAACCAAUUCAUUGUGUAAUGCGGAAAAAAACCUCUAGCAAUUUGAGACCUCCUAAGAGCUGACCGUCUCUCGCGGCAUCAUGACAAUCAGUUUUGGACUUUCUCUACUGAGGUGCUCCUUCGGGUAAACUAGGGCACGAUCGCAGUAGUGCUCCCUUUACUACCUUAGCCGGUAUAGCGGAACGUAAGGUAGCAAGUGAAGGAAAUAUGCCCUAGAGGCAAUAAUAAAGUUAUUAUUUAUUUCCUUAUAUCAUGAUAAAUGUUUAUUAUUCAUGCUAGAAUUGUAUUAACCGGAAACAUAAUACAUGUGUGAAUACAUAGACAAACAGAGUGUCACUAGUAUGCCUCUACUUGACUAGCUCGUUGAUCAAAGAUGGUUAUGUUUCCUAGCCAUAGACAUGAGUUGUCAUUUGAUUAACGGGAUCACAUCAUUAGGAGAAUGAUGUGAUUGACUUGACCCAUUCCGCUAGCUUGGCACUCAAUCGUUUAGUAUGUUGCUAUUGCUUUCUUCAUGACUUAUACAUGUUCCUAUGACUAUGAGAUUAUGCAACUCCCUUUUACCGGAGGAACACUUUGUGUGCUACCAAACGUCACAACGUAACUGGGUGAUUAUAAAGGUGCUCUACAGGUGUCUCCAAAGGUACUUGUUGGGUUGGCGUAUUUCAUGAUUAGGAUUUGUCACUCCGAUUGUCGGAGAGGUAUCUCUGGGCCCACUCAGUAAUACACAUCACUAUAAGCCUUGCAAGCAUUGUGACUAAUGAGUUAGUUGCGAGUUGAUGUAUUACGGAAUGAGUAAAGAGACUUGCCGGUAACGAGAUUGAACUAGGUAUCGAGAUACCGACGAUCGAAUCUCGGGCAAGUAACAUACCGAUGACAAAGGGAACAACGUAUGUUGUUAUGCGGUCUGACCGAUAAAGAUCUCUGUAGAAUAUGUGGGAACCAAUAUGAGCAUCCAGGUUCCGCUAUUGGUUAUUGACCGGAGAGGUGUCUCGGUGAUGUCUACAUAGUUCUCGAACCCGUAGGGUCCGCACGCUUAACGUUACGAUGAUAGUUAUAUUAUGAGUUUAUAUGUCUUGAUGUACCAAAGGUUGUUCAGAGUCCCGGAUGUGAUCACGGACAUGACGAGGAGUCUCGAAAUGGUCGAGACAUAAAGAUUGAUAUAUUGGAAGCCUAUGUUUGGACAUCGGAAGUGUUCCGGGUGAAAUCGGGAUUUUUCCGGAGUACCGGGAGGUUACCGGAACCCCCCGGUAACUUAAUGGGCCUUAGUGGGCCUAGGUGGAAGAGAGGAGAGGAGGCCAGGGCAGGGCCGCACGCCCCUCCCCCCAAUCCGAAUAGGACAAGGAGAGGGGGGUGGCGCCCCCCUUUUCUUCCUCCCCUCCACCUCUUCCCCCUCUCUCUCCUAGUCCAACAUGGAAAAAGGGGGGAGUCCUACUCGCGGUAGGAGUAGGACUCCUCCUGGCGCGCCUCUCCCCUUGGCCGGCCGAAGCCCCCCUUGCUCCUUUAUAUACGGGGGCAGGGGGGCACCUCUAAACACACAAUUGAUCAUUGAUCUCUUAGCCGUGUGCGGUGCCCCCCUCCACCAUAUUACACCUCGAUAAUAUCGUAGCGGUGCUUAGGCGAAGCCCUGCGUCGGUAGAACAUCAACAUUGUCACCACGCCGUCGUGCUGACGAAACUCUCCCUCAACACUCGGCUGGAUCGGAGUUCGAGGGACGUCAUCGAGCUGAACGUGUGCUGAAGUCGGAGGUGCCGUGCGUUCGGUACUUGAUCGGUCGGAUCGUGAAGACGUACGACUACAUCAACCGCGUUGUGUUAACGCUUUCGCUUUCGGUCUACGAGGGUACGUGGACAACACUCUCCCCUCUCGUUGCUAUGCAUCACCAUGAUCUUGCGUGUGCGUAGAUUUUUUUUGAAAUUACUACGUUCCCCUUAAGUGGCAUCCGAGCCUGGUUUUAUGCGUUGAUGUUAUAUGCACGAGUAGAACACAAGUGAGUUGUGGGCGAUAUAAGUCAUACUGCUUACCAGCAUGUCAUAUUUUGGUUCAGCGGUAUUGUGAGAUGAAGCGGCCCGGACCGACAUUACGCGUACGCUUACGCGAGACUGGUUUCACCAUUGCGAGCACUCAUUGAUUAAAGGUGACUGGCGGGUGUCUGUCUCUCUCACUUUAGUUGAACCGAGUGUGGCUACGCCCGGUCCUUGCGAAGGUUAAAUCAGCACCAACUUGACAAACAAUCGUUGUGGUUUUGAUGCGUAGGUAAGAACGGUUAUUGCUAAGCCCGUAGCAGCCACGUAAAACUUGCAACAACAAAGUAGAGGACGUCUAACUUGUUUUUGCAGGGCAUGUUGUGAUGUGAUAUGGUCAAGACAUGAUGCUAUAUUUUAUUGUAUGAGAUGAUCAUGUUUUGUAACCGAGUUAUCGGCAACUGGCAGGAGCCAUAUGGUUGUCGCUUUAUUGUAUGCAAUGCAAUCGCCAUGUAAUUGUUUUACUUUAUCACUAAGCGGUAGCAAUAGUCGUAAAAGCAAUAGUUGGCGAGACGACAACGAUGCUACGAUGGAGAUCAAGGUGUUGCGCCGGUGACGAUGGUGAUCAUGACGGUGCUUCGGAGAUGGAGAUCACAAGCACAAGAUGAUGAUGGCCAUAUCAUAUCACUUAUAUUGAUUGCAUGUGAUGUUUAUCUUUUAUGGAUCUUAUCUUGCUUUGAUUGACGGUAGCAUUAUAAGAUGAUCUCUCACUAAAAUUUCAAGAUAAAAGUGUUCUCCCUGAGUAUGCACCGUUGCCAAAGUUCGUCGUGCCCAGACACCACGUGAUGAUCGGGUGUGAUAAGCUCUACGUCCAUCUACAACGGGUGCAAGCCAGUUUUGCAACGCAGAAUACUCAGGUUAAACUUGACGAGCCUAGCAUAUGCAGAUAUGGCCUCGGAACACUGAGACCGAAAGGUCGAGCGUGAAUCAUAUAGUAGAUAUGAUCAACAUAGUGAUGUUCACCAUUGAAAACUACUCCAUUUCACGUGAUGAUCGGUUAUGGUUUAGUUGAUUUGGAUCACGUAAUCACUUAGAUGAUUAAAGGGAUGUCUAUCUAAGUGGGAGUUCUUUAGUAAUAUGAUUAAUAGAACUUAAAUUUAUCAUGAACUUAGUACCUGAUAGUAUCUUGCUUGUCUAUGUUAAUUGUAGAUAGAUGGCCCGUGCUGUUGUUCCGUUGAAUUUUAAUGCGUUCCUUGAGAAAGCAAAGUUGAAAGAUGAUGGUAGCAAUUACACGGACUGGGUCCGUAACUUGAGGAUUAUCCUCAUUGCUGCACAGAAGAAUUACGUCCUGGAAGCACCGCUGGGUGCCAGGCCUGCUGCAAGAGCAACACCAGAAGUUAUGAACGUCUGGCAGAGCAAAGCCGAUGACUACUCGAUAGUUCAGUGUGCCAUGCUUUACGGCUUAGAACCGGGUCUUCAAUGACGUUUUGAACAUCAUGGAGCAUAUGAGAUAUUCCAGGAGUUGAAGUUAAUAUUUCAAGCAAAUGCCCGGAUUGAGAGAUAUGAAGUCUCCAAUAAGUUCUACAGCUGCAAGAUGGAAGAGAAUAGUUCUGUCAGUGAGCAUAUACUCAAAAUGUCUGGGUAUAAUAAUCACUUGAUUCAACUGGGAGUUAAUCUUCUGGAUGAUAGCGUCAUCGACAGAAUUCUUCAAUCACUGCCACCAAGCUACAAGAGCUUCGUGAUGAACUAUAACAUGCAAGGGAUGAAUAAGACAAUUCCCGAGCUCUUCGCGAUGCUAAAGGCAGCGGAGGUAGAAAUCAAAAAAGGAGCAUCAAGUGUUGAUGGUCAAUAAGACCACUAGUUUCAAGAAAAAGGGCAAAGGGAAUAAGGGGAACUUCAAGAAGAAUAGCAAGCAAGUUGCUGUUCAGGAGAAGAAACCCAAAUCUGGACCUAAGCCUGAGACUGAGUGCUUCUACUGCAAGCAGACUGGUCACUUGAAGCGGAACUGCCCCAAGAAUUUGGCGGAUAAGAAGGAUGGCAAGGUGAACAAAGGUAUAUGUGAUAUACUUGUUAUUGAUGUGUACCUUACCAGAGCUCGCAGUAGCACCUGGGUAUUUGAUACUGGUUCUGUUGCUAAUAUCUGCAACUCGAAACAGGGACUACGGAUUAAGCGAACACUGGCCAAGGACGAGGUGACGAUGCGCGUGGGAAACGGUUCCAAAGUCGAUGUGAUCGCCGUCGGCACGCUACCUCUACAUCUACCUUCGGGAUUAGUAUUAGACCUGAAUAAUUGUUAUUUGGUGCCAGCGUUGAGCAUGAACAUUAUAUCUGGAUCUUGUUUGAUGCGAGACGGUUAUUCAUUUAAAUCAGAGAAUAAUGGUUGUUCUAUUUAUAUGAGUAAUAUCUUUUAUGGUCAUGCACCCUUGAAGAGUGGUCUAUUUUUAAUGAAUCUCGGUAGUAGUGACACACAUAUUCAUAAUGUCGAAGCCAAAAGAUGCAGAGUUGAUAAUGAUAGUGCAACUUAUUUGUGGCACUGCCGUUUAGGUCAUAUCGGUAUAAAGCGCAUGAAGAAACUCCAUAAUGAUGGACUUUUGGAAUCACUUGAUUAUGAAUCACUUGGUACUUGCGAACCGUGUCUCAUGGGCAAGAUGACUAAAACACCGUUCUCCGGAACUAUGGAGAGAGCAACUGAUUUGUUGGAAAUUAUACAUACAGAUGUAUGUGGUCUGAUGAAUAUUGAGGCUCGUAGCGGAUAUCGUUAUUUUCUCACCUUCACAGAUGAUUUGAGCAGAUAUGGGUAUAUCUACUUAAUGAAACAUAAAUCUGAAACAUUUCAAAAGUUCAAAGAAUUUCAAAGCGAAGUUGAAAAUCAUCGUAACAAGAAAAUAAAGUUUCUACGAUCAGAUCGUGGAGGAGAAUAUUUGAGUUACGAGUUUGGCCUACAUUUGAAACAAUGCGGAAUAGUUUCACAACUCACGCCACCAGGAACACCACAGCGUAAUGGUGUGUCCGGACGUCGUAAUCGUACUUUACUAGAUACGGUGCGAUCUAUGAUGUCUCUUACUGAUUUAUCGCUAUCGUUUUGGGGUUAUGCUUUAGAGACGGCUGCAUUCACUCUAAAUAGGGCACCAUCGAAAUCUGUUGAGACGACGCCUUAUGAACUAUGGUUUGGCAAGAAACCAAAGUUGUCGUUUCUUAAAGUUUGGGGUUGCGAUGCUUAUGUGAAGAAACUUCAACCUGAUAAGCUCGAACCUAAAUCGGAGAAAUGUGUAUUCAUAGGAUACCCAAAGGAGACUGUUGGGUACACCUUCUAUCACAGAUCCGAAGGCAAGACAUUCGUUGCUAGGAAUGGAUCCUUUCUAGAGAAGGAGUUUCUCUCGAAAGAAGUGAGUGGGAGGAAAGUAGAACUUGAUGAGGUAACUGUACCUGCUCCCUUAUUGGAAAGUAGAUCAUCAUAGAAACCAUUUUCUGCGACACCUACACCAAUUAGUGAGGAAGUUAAUGAUAAUGAUCAUGAAACUUCAGACCAAGUUAUUAGUGAACCUCGUAGGUCAACCAGAUUAAGAUCCGCACCAGAGUGGUACGGUAAUCCUGUUCUGGAGGUUAUGUUACUAGACCAUGACGAACCUACGAACUAUGAAGAAGCGAUGGUGAGCCCAGAUUAUGCAAAAUGGCUUGACGCCAUGAAAUCCGAGAUGGGAUCCAUGUAUGAGAACAAAGUAUGGACUUUGGUUGACUUGCCCGAUGAUCGGCAAGCUAUUGAAAAUAAAUGGAUCUUCAAGAAGAAGUCUGACACUGCGGUAAUGUUACUGUCUAUAAAGCUCGACUUGUUGCGAAAGGUUUUCGACAAGUUCAAGGGAUUGACUACGAUGAGACCUUCUCACCCGUAGCGAUGCUCAAGUCUGUCCGAAUCAUGUUAGCAAUUGCCGCAUUUUAUGAUUAUGAAAUUUGGCAAAUGGAUGUCAAAACUGCGUUCCUGAAUGGACUUCUGGAAGAAGAGUUGUAUAUGAUGCAACCAGAAGGUUUUGUUGAUCCAAAGGGAGCUAACAAAGUGUGCAAGCUCCAGCGAUCCAUUUAUGGACUUGUGCAAGCCUCUCGGAGUUGGAAUAAACGCUUUGAUAGUGUGAUCAAAGCAUUUGGUUUUAUACAGACUUUUGGAGAAGCCUGUAUUUACAAGAAAGUGAGUGGGAGCUCAGUAGCAUUUCUGAUAUUAUAUGUGGAUGACAUAUUGCUAAUUGGAAAUGAUAUAGAAUUUCUGGAUAGCAUAAAGGGAUACUUGAAUAAGAGUUUUUCAAUGAAAGACCUCGGUGAAGCUGCAUAUAUAUUAGGCAUCAAGAUCUAUAGAGAUAGAUCAAGACGCUUAAUUGGACUUUCACAAAGCACAUACCUUGACAAAGUUUUGAAGAAGUUCAAAAUGGAUCAAGCAAAGAAAGGGUUCUUGCUUGUACUACAAGGUGUGAAAUUGAGUAAGACUCAAUGCCCGACCACUUCAGAAGAUAGAGAGAAGAUGAAAGAUGUUCCCUAUGCUUCAGCCAUAGGCUCUAUCAUGUAUGCAAUGCUGUGUACCCGACCUGAUGUGUGCCUUGCUAUAAGUUUAGCAGGGAGGUACCAAAGUAAUCCAGGAGUGGAUCACUGGACAGCGGUCAAGAACAUCCUAAAAUACCUGAAAAGGACUAGGAUAUGUUUCUCGUUUAUGGAGGUGACAAAGAGCUCAUCGUAAAUGGUUACGUUGAUGCAAGCUUUGACACUGAUCCGGACGAUUCUAAAUCGCAAACCGGAUACGUGUUUACAUUGAACGGUGAAGCUGUCAGUUGGUGCAGUUCUAAGAAAAGUGUCGUGGCGGGAUCUACGUGUGAAGCGGAGUACAUAGCUGCUUCGGAAGCAGCAAAUGAAGGAGUCUGGAUGAAGGAGUUCAUAUCCGAUCUAGGUGUCAUACCUAGUGCAUCGGGACCAAUGAAAAUCUUUUGUGACAAUACUGGUGCAAUUACCUUAGCAAAGGAAUCCAGAUUUCACAAGAGAACCAAGCACAUCAAAAGACGCUUCAAUUCCAUCUGGGAUUUAGUCCAGGUGGGAGGAAUAGAAAAUUGCAAGAUACAUACGGAUCUAAAUGUUGCAGACCCAUUGACUAAGCCUCUUCCACGAGAAAAACAUGAUCAGCACCAAGACUCCAUGGGUGUAAGAAUCAUUACUGUGUAAUCUAGAUUAUUGACUCUAGUGCAAGUGGGAGACUGAAGGAAAUAUGCCCUAGAGGCAAUAAUAAAGUUUUUAUUUAUUUCCUUAUAUCAUGAUAAAUGUUUAUUAUUCAUGCUAGAAUUGUAUUAACCGGAAACAUAAUACAUGUGUGAAUACAUAGACAAACAGAGUGUCACUAGUAUGCCUCUAGUUGACUAGCUCGUUGAUCAAAGAUGGUUAUGUUUCCUAGCCAUAGACAUGAGUUGUCAUUUGAUUAACGGGAUCACAUCAUUAGGAGAAUGAUGUGAUUGACUUGACCCAUUCCGUUAGCUUGGCACUCGAUCGUUUAGUAUGUUGCCAUUGCUUUCUUCAUGACUUAUACAUGUUCCUAUGACUAUGAGAUUAUGCAACUCCCUUUUACCGGAGGAACACUUUGUGUGCUACCAAACGUCGAAACGUAACUGGGUGCUUAUAAAGGUGCUCUAUAGGUGUCUCCAAAGGUACUUGUUGGGUUGGCGUAUUUCGAGAUUAGGAUUUGUCACUCCGAUUGUCAGAGAGGUAUCUCUGGGCCCACUCAGUAAUACACAUCACUGUAAGCCUUGCAAGCAUUGUGACUAAUGAGUUAGUUGCGGGAUGAUGUAUUACGGAAUGAGUAAAGAGACUUGCCGGUAACAAGAUUGAACUAGGUAUCGAGAUACCGACGAUCGAAUCUCGGGGAAGUAACAUACCGAUGACAAAGGGAACGACGUAUGUUGUUAUGCGGUCGAACCGAUAAAGGUCUUCAUAGAAUAUGUGGGAACCAAUAUGAGCAUCCAGGUUCCGCUAUUGGUUAUUGACCGGAGAGGUGUCUCGGUCAUGUCUACAUAGUUCUCAAACCCGUAGGGUCCGCACGCUUAACGUUACGAUGACAGUUAUAUUAUGAGUUUAUAUGUUUUGAUGUACCGAAGGUUGUUCGGAGUCCCGGAUGUGAUCACGGACAUGACGAGAAGUCUAGAAAUGGUCGAGACAUAAAGAUUGAGAUAUUGGAAGCCUAUGUUUGGACAUCGGAAGUGUUCCGGGUGAAAUCGGGAUUUUUCCGGAGUACCGGGAGGUUACCGGAACCCCCCGGUAACUUAAUGGGCCUUAGUGGGCCUAGGUGGAAGAGAGGAGAGGAGGCCAGGGCAGGGCCGCAUGCCCCCCCGCCCAAUCUGAAUAGGACAAGGAGAGGGGGGCGGCGCCCCCCCUUUUCUUCCUCCCCUCCACCUCUUCCCCCUCUCUCUCCUAGUCCAACAUGGAAAAAGGGGGGAGUCCUACUCCCGGUAGGAGUAGGACUCCUCUUGGCGCGCCUCUCCCCUUGGCCGGCCGAACCCCCCCUUGCUCCUUUAUAUACGGGGGCAGGGGGGCACCUCUAAACACACAAUUGAUCAUUGAUCUCUUAGCCGUGUGCGGUGCCCCCCUCCACCAUAUUACACCUCGAUAAUAUCGUAGCGGUGCUUAGGCGAAGCCCUGCGUCGGUAGAACAUCAACAUUGUCACCACGGCGUCGUGCUGACGAAACUCUCCCUCAACACUCGGUUGGAUCGGAGUUCGAGGGACGUCAUCGAGCUGAACGUGUGCUGAACUCAGAGGUGCCGUGCGUUCGGUACUUGAUCGGUCGGAUCGUGAAGACGUACGACUACAUCAACCGCGUUGUGUUAACGCUUCCGCUUUCGGUCUACGAGGGUACGUGGACAACACUCUCCCCUCUCGUUGCUAUGCAUCACCAUGAUCUUGCGUGUGCGUAGAAUUUUUUUGAAAUUACUACGUUCCCCUUCAGCAAGCACAGGAGCCGGGCAACCCAACUAUUGACCAAAGACAUGAUUCGGAGCCAAUGCAUAUAGUGCUAAAUUCGGGCCGCCGAACUAUACUGUAAAAUGUGUUUGGACUUUUGUUGCCAUAGAGCGGGGCGCUAUGAAGCCCCUGGCAAAUUGAAACGUACCACAAUGUACGGGUGCUAUUUGAUAAGCUUAUUAAUAAUAAAAAAGAGGAAAACAGAAAAGGGGCAAAAGCAUAAAGCAGGGGCCCUAAAAUUUGGGCUGCAAACUAUUUCCAUUAUAAUUUGAUUGAUACGUCAAGGCGCAUUCAUACAAAUAAUGCGAUAAGCAACAUGCUAUUUAACAUUCCAUUACCAAGGGAGUGCUGUCUGUGGGCCCUGAAAACAGGUAGAGUGGUCGUUAAAGAGAACACUAAAAAUUCCCCUCUACGUCCAGGCUGACUGCUGUCUUGGUGUAUUUGUCCUUCGAAAGGAAGGCCUAUGAAAAAGGAACCUGAAAAGGAAAAAGGAAACAGUGAAAGUAAAUGUGUCCGGGAGCGGUCAAGCCGUAUUGUGGAUCACAUGGUAGGUAUGCCUCCGUCUAUGCCCAUGGUAUUUUGAGUGCGUAGUUAUGUACGCGCGGUAUGAAUGCCCUCACUUGAUUGGGGCUGGGACGGAGGCCGAAUUGCUAGUCGAGCUCUUGACGAGCCGAGCUGUCCUGCUGCAGAAUAGUUCGGACCCUCUUAGUAGUGUCCGGGGGCUCGACAGCCAAAUUAUGGUUCUGCUUGAGAAGGCCGCUCUGUACUUCUACUGCUAAGGCAGCGGUGUGCUCUUCUGUAUGAAGGGAGCGUUCCGUGUUUCCGUUGACUGUUAUGACGCCGCGUGGACUGAGCAUCUUGAGCUUGAGAUAAGCAUAGUGCGGCACCGCAUUGAACCGAGCAAAUGCGGUUCGUCCAAGCAGUGCGUGGUAGCCGCUGCGAAAAGGGACAAUAUCAAAGAUUAACUCUUCGCUUCGGAAGUUGUCCGGAGAUCCGAAGAUAACCUCUAGCGUAAUUGAGCCCGUGCAGCGGGCCUCUACACCUGAUAUGACUCCUUCGAAGGUAGUCUUUGUGGGUUUGAUCCGUGAUGGGUUAAUGCCCAUUUUGUGCACUGUAUCCUGAUAGAGCAGGUUCACGCUGCUGCCGCCGUCCAUAAGGACUCGCGUUAGGUGGAAUCCGUCAAUUAUUGGGUCAAGGACCAAUGCGGCUGAACCGCCAUGACGGAUAUUGGUCGGAUGAUCCCGUCGAUCAAAAGUGAUCGAGCAUGACGACCAUGGAUUAAAUUUUGGGGCGACUGGCUCUAUCACAUAGACGUCCCUGAGCGCACGCUUGCGCUCCCUCUUGGGGAUGUGUGUAGCAUAUAUCAUGUUCACCGUUUUGACCUGGGGGGAUUCUUUUGUCCCCUUGUGUUCGGUUGCCGGGGCUCCUCGUCAUCGUCCUCGCUUUGCGAUCCCUUUUCCUUGUUCUCGGCAUUUAACUUGCCGGCCUGUUUAAAAACCCAACAAUCUCUGUUGGUAUGAUUGGCUGGUUUGUCAGGGGUGCCAUGGAUUUGGCACGGACGAUCGAGUAUGCGGUCCAAGCUGGAUGGUCCCUGAUUGUUUCUUUUAUAUGGCUUCUUCCGCUGACCGGACUUGGAACCACUGAAUUCGGCAUUGACUGUCAUGUCAUCGAUGUUGUCACCAUUACUUUGAUGUUUGUGUCUGCUGCGUCGGAGCUUGCCGUUGCUAUUUUUGACUUCGGAGGUGCCCGUGUCACUUGCUAUAUUUUUGCUACAGGCCAGCCAGCUAUCCUCACCCGCGCAAAAGCGGGUCAUGAGUGCCGUGAGGGCUGCCAUGGACUUCGGUUUUUCCUGGCCGAGGUGGCGGGCAAGCCAUUCGUCAUGGAUGCUAUGUUUAAAGGCCGCUAGGGCUUCGGCAUCUGGACAGUCGACAAUCUGGUUCUUUUUGGUUAGGAACCUAGUCCAGAAUUUCCUGGCUGACUCUCCAGGCUGUUGAACUAUGUGGCUUAAGUCAUCGGCGUCUAGUGGCCGGACAUAUGUACCUUGGAAGUUGUCAAGGAAGGCUUCUUCUAAGUCCUCCCAGCUGCCAAUAGAAUUUUCGGGCAGACUGUUUAACCAGUGCCGAGCUGGCCCUUUGAGUAUUAGUGGGAGGUAUUUGAUGGCGUGAAGAUCAUCUCCGCGGGCCAUAUGGAUGUGGAGAAUAAAAUCCUCGAUCCAUACCGCGGGAUCUGUUGUUCCAUCGUAUGAUUCGAUGUUUACGGGUUUAAACCCUUCUGGCAAUUCAUGAUCCAUUACUUCGUCAAUGAAGCAGAGAGGGUGUGCGGCGCCUCUAUAUCGGGCCGCAUCGCGACGUAGCUCCGAUGGAGUCCGUCUGCGGUUGUUGGCCCGGGCGUGACUAGGUUUGUCACGUCCGAAUAGGUAUCCGUCGUCGCAUGUCAUGGAACAUCCUCGCGAUCCAUAGAUCGAUCUUGUGUGUCCUGCUCAACUAUCCAGGUCCUGCCGAAGGUCAUAUGUGUAACCCUGAGCUGUUUUGUCCCUGCCUUUACGGCGAGGUGGGGCGGCCUGGUGUUAGGCUUGAGUUGCCGUCUUAUCCCGACUGCGUGGUGGUCUGUCAGCCGCAUUGCGCGAUGAUGGUAUGGGCUCCGGCACCUCUUCAUCGAACUGAGGUAACAAUUUGUGCUUCGGGUAAAUUUUGGCUGGGCGCUUAAGGCCGUAUUCUUCGGCUGCCAGGACAUCAGUCCAUGUAUCAUUUAGCAGAUCUUGAUCAGCUUGAAGCUCCUGCUGCUUCUUUUUCAGGCUUCUCGCUGUGGCUAUUAACUGGCGCUUAAAGCGCUCUUGGUCGAGAGGUUCCUCAGGCACGAUAAAAUCCUCGUUGCCAAGGCUCACCUCAUCCUCGGAGGGUGGAAGAUAAGUGCUACCCUCCGAGUCAUCGUUUGUGGCCUGUUCAGUAGGGCUGACUUGCCCAUCUUCCCGAUUGUCCUGUUUGGCCGUUUGUUCGUCGGGAUCUUCUCUGUCUUCGGCACCAUCUGGAGUGUGAUCGUCUCCUAUGCCGGUGUUGCUGUCCUUGCUACUGCGGGAUUUAGAGCGGCGCCGCUGACGCCGGUGCUUUGGUUGUGUCUUGAGAGGCUCGUCCUCGGCAGGCUUUUCCUUGUCCUCGCCGUUAUUCUCUUUGGGUGUAUCCACCAUGUAUACGUCGUACGAAGAAGUGGCCGUCCAGCGUCCGGUAAACGGCGGGUUUUGGCCGUGCUCCUCAUCUACAUCAUCGUCCAUACUGUCGAUGUCCUCGGAGCCGUAAUCGAGCAUGUCGGUUAAAUCCUCGAUAGUGGCUAUGUAGUGGGUGGCGGGUGGGAAGCGAAAUUCCCAAUCAUCAGCCUCCAGUUCGAACCGGAUAUAGUUCGGCUAUGAGUCCCUCGCUAAGGACAUAAUUUUUAAUGAGUUCAGCAUGUUGCCUAGAGGCGAGUGCUGGAAGACGUCCGCCGCACUGAAUUCGGUGAUCGAUGACCGAUCCAGCUCGAAGUAAGUGGACGAACAUGGUUCGGAACUUAUCGCCGGAAACAAGUUCGAGGUUCCGGAGACACAUAUAUCACCCGAGGUUGGGUCUGCGUGCGGCUCCAACGCCGCGGAGUCUGCGGCUUCCAUGGCGGGGUUGAGCUUCCCGUCCUCGGAUGUCACGAUCUGUUCCGGAUCUAGGGCCAGAGUAGUUACAGGUGCAAUUUCCUAAGUAUGGACCGGUGACAGAUUUAAGUCAUGUUCACCGUAGGGACAGGAAGCGGCUGCCCUGGUCUCAAAGCCGUCGAAGAUCAAGUAUCCACGGAUAUCCGUGACGUAGUUCAAGCUCCCAAAUCUGACCUGAUGGCCAGGGGCGUAGCUAUCGAUCUGCUCCAGAUGGCCAAGCGAGUUGGCCCGCAGUGCGAAGCCACCGAACACGAAGAUCUGUCCGGGGAGGAAGGUUUCCCCUUGGACAGCAUCGUUGUUAAUGAUUGAAGGAGCCAUCGAACCUUUUGGGGACGGCACAGUGGAACUCUCAAUGAAAGCACCAAUGUCGGUGUCAAAACCGGCGGAUCUCGGGUAGGGGGUCCCGAACUGUGCGUCUAAGGUCGAUGGUAAUAGGAGACGGGGGACACAAUGUUUACCCAGGUUCGGGCCCUCUCUAUGGAGGUAAUCCCCUACUUACUGCUUGAUUGAUCUUGAUGAAUAUGAGUAUUACAAGAGUUGAUCUACCACGAGAUCGUUAUGGCUAAAACUCUAGAAGUCUAGCAUGUAUGAUUAUAUCCGUUUCCGGACUAAGCCCUCCGGUUUAUAUAGACACCAGAGGGGACUAGGGUUGUACAAAGUCGGUUACAGAGAAAGGGAUCUUCAUAUUUGGUCGCCAAGCUUGCCUUCCACGCCAAGGAGAGUCCUAUCCGGACACGGGAGAAAGUCUUCGAUCUUGUAUCUUCACAGCCCAUUAGUCCGGCCCAUGUCCAACAGGCCGGACGCCCGAGGACCCCUUAGUCCAGGACUCCCUCAGUGGAGGGCUGGAUGAACAGGACCCCGUGGAGGGCUGGUUGAACAGUAGCCGGUGGAGGGCUGGAUGAACAGUAGCCCGUGGAGGGGUGGUUGAACAGGAUCCCGUGGACGGGUUGAACAGUAGCUGGUGGAGGAGCACGCGGUGGAGGCUGGAUGAACAGGAGCCCGUGGACGAACAGUCAUAGGUGGAGGCUGGAGGAGGUCGACGGUGGAUGAACAGUAGCCCGUGGAGGCAGUCGAUGGUGGAGAUGAAUAGUAUCCCGUGGAGUCCCGUUUCGCGGUACGCCACACCCCUCCUGAUGAACAGGACCCCCAUUUCGACCGUAGCGCUCCAACACAAGUCCGCUUCCUUCGUUUUGCGGUACGCCACACCCCUCCCGAUCAACAGGACCCCGUUUCAACCAAGAGAAGUCCAUUUCCUCCGUUUUGCGGUACGCCAGACCCCUCCCGAUGAACAGGAUCCCGUUUGAACCGUGGCCGGUCGAACACAAAGGCCGUUUCCUCCGUUCUGCGGUACGCCAGGCCUCGUUUGGAUCGGCUGUUCCGUCCAAGCCGGUUGGCUCCCGAUGAACACGACGAUGCAUUCCGUCUGACCCAGCCGGUUGGCUCCCCAUGAACACGACGAUGACGUAGUUUCUCCGUUCCGGCCUGGCCAUGUACACGAGCCCUGGCCGUACCUAUGUGUGAGUAGGCGUUCGAGACCCCGCCGGUAUGUACGUACGUGGCCGUAUUUACUUUCUUGCACCCUGGCUGCUAUACGUACAUGUACAUGCUACGUGCGCGCCUCUACUACGACACAUGCGCGCCUCUAGUACGACAUGUGCGCGCCUCUACAUCGACCAGUAUGUACGCACAUGUUCGCGACCAGAAUGACAACAGUACAUACGCUUCGCCCAGGUGGGUCCUGACUGUCAGGCACUUCCUUUCAUGCGAAGAUGUAAUUGGUGGGUCCCAGCAGUCAGGGGGAAAUGUUAUUUUUUGCAAAAUUCGGUGGCCCGUCCGGUGGGUCUCUGCUGUCAGGUGGAGGAAUAAUUAUUUUGCGCGUAAUAAGGAGGCACUUCCUUGCUGCUGCCGUGGACCCAGCUGUCAGCCUCUCCACAUACAGUACUCUUCCGAUUGAAGUCGUUCCUUGACCAUGUUGACCACGCCGCGCCGAGAGCACCAGGGCGGUGGACGACGGUGAGGCCUAGGAAGGGGACGGCGCGGAGCCGGGGAAGACGCGACAGUGGAUGCCCACGUGGAGAGGAGUAUGAGGGUUCACUGGUUCGGCUUCGGUGUGAGGCUGCUGUCGUCGCAGGGCCUGGCCAGCGGUGGGAGUAGUAGGGGGCGGUGAGGCCUCCGCGGCAGCACAGCCGGCCACGGGAGGCAAGAGCACACGGUGUUUUGGACGGCUGGAGCAAGAAAAUCAGAGGUUGAAGAAGCAGGACGACUGUUAGAUGUGAACAAUCCAACGGUCACUGGUGAUAGAAUCGUUCAUAUUGACUAAGUUGACAAAGCCCUCCGUCCGCGUUAACUUAGUAGGCCCACAAGUCAGCCUCCCAAUGGUGGGUCCCAGCUAGCAGGGGGAGUAUUCAUUUUUUUGUGCGUAAUAAGGAAGCACUUCCUUGCGUGCGAAGAUAUAGCUGGUGGGUCCAUGCUGUCAGCGGCGGGAACAUUUUUUUCGCGAAAUACAGAGGCCCUUCCGGUGGGUCCCAGAUGUCAGGUGGAGGAAUCAUUAUUUUGCGCAUAAUAAGGAGGCAUUUCCUUGUGUGCGGCCGUGGACCCAGCUUUCAGCCUCUCCACGUACAUUCCACUUCCGAUGGAUGUCGUUCGUUGACCACGUUGACCACGCCGCGCCGAGGGUAUCCAAGGUGGUGGACGACGGCGAGGCCUCGAACAGCAACGAGCUGGAGAUGGGAAGACGCAGGAGUGGAGUCACAGAUGGAGAGGUGUAAGAGGGUUAACUGGUUCUUGUGCGGUGUGGUUCGGCAGUCGGUGGAGAAGAAUAGGAGGUGUGGAGGGGUGGAGGAUGGCCUUGCCGGCGGUGGGGUAGCGCUUCACAAUGAAGCGUGCUAAGCAGAGCUGCUAGCAGCACGAGGCAGGAGGAGGUGGUUCCGGUGGCACUGGAGGAAGAAGACGAGAGAUUGAAGAUAGAUGCCGGUCGUUGGAUGUAAAUCCAACGGCUAACGAUGUCAGAAUCAUUUGUUGACUGAGUUGACAACGACUUGCGUUGGCUUCGAUGUACUGGCCCACAUUUCAGCCUCCAAAAAUGUGGCAUGUAUCCAACCCAUUUUUCAGAAUUUACCGUCAAUUUGAUCUUUUUAUAGAAUUACAGUCCAUUUGCUGGGCUAGGUGAACAAAUAAUGUAGCGUCCAUGCGGCCCAUUUAUUUUUUUCCUAAAAAAUUACAGGCCAUUUGCACUUUCUCGAAAUACACGAUUUUGAUGGGCUGAUUCUAAUAAUAAUGUUGGGUUGGGCGCAGCAAUGUUAUCAAAAAAUAAACAGGGGCUGAGCAUUUUGUUAUAAAUAUAUUUAAUUAAUAGGUGAUUUAUUAUUACAUUGGUCCUUAAAUCUUACCAAGCUUUUGUACACAAUCACCAGGAUUUUCAUUGCCAAAAAAAUCCAGGAUUUAUUCUUAAGAAAUUAUUAUUUUAAGUUAAUAAGAUGUGGGAUAUUGUUUUCUUACAUAUGUAAGUAUCUGUUAAAUAUAUGAUGACAAUAACAAUAAUAUAUAAUAACAUAUAAAAUAAUUUAAAUAUAUAUAAUAUAGUUAGAAGGGAAACAUAACUUGGAACAGGCGUUCCUAUUCUUAUAUAGAAAAAUAGAACAGACUUCUGCGUUUUCUUCAAAAAAAUACAUAAAUUGGGUUGCCGAUGUUUCGGGAAAAAUAAAACCUCGGAUGGGAGGUCCGUAGGCCGGUCGAUACAUGACGGCCCUCAAGAAAAUACAAACCGGCAUGUCGUGGGCUGCGCAUGUUAAAAAAGAAAGCCUAGACGGGGCAGCCCACAACCCAACUGAUACUUGCUGCCCCAGUGAUAAUAAAUGAUACUUGCCAGCUCCCCGGCUUCGUUGUGAAUUUAUCUCCUUUAGUAACUAUGUUGAAGCACCUAAAAAAUGUAACUAUGUUGACAAACCCGUGGGCCCCAACCUCAGUAUGGCAUUAGGAGGAAGUAUUUUUUCAAUGCGGCACUUGCUUGCGUACGGCCAUAGACUUGGUGGGUCCUGACUGUCCGCCUCUCCACGUACAGUCCUCUCCAGAUUCCUCUCAUUUGUUCAACAUGUUCACAACGGCAGACAGCGGCGCCGCGGCGAGCGCACAAAGGCGCAGGAGGAGAUCGGACCACCUGAGGCAGUGCCUUAUUUGUAACGAAAGUACUGAACUAGCCCAGUGGCCAAGUGACACUACUGACAGCUGUGCCGCCCGGGUUCGAUUCCACCUGAUACAAGGAAAAUAUCUCCAAUUUUUUUGCCUCUGCCAUUAUUGACAUGUGGGUCCCCAUUGUCAUCUACGCACACCACGUCCAAUACUUACCAAAACUUCGUCCCUCAUUUUCUCUGUUUUUCGCACACUCGACAUUGUGUUGGAAUUUUGAAAAUAGCAUAUCUUUUUGACUGUGCAUCAUAUGAAGAUAUGCAUGAAUGUUGAUCGGCAUGAUGUUAACUGGCUGGUAGUUCCAUUUUCGACCAUGAAUAAAACUUCCAACAUGAUGUUAUCCCUGUUUGAAAAGGCCGUGUUAAUAUAAAUGCUCUGCCUCUGAAAGUUGCAGUUUCUUAUCUGAAACUGAACUUGCAGUUUCUUAUUUGAAACUGAAACUUGCAGUUUCUUCUUUGAAACUCACAUUGUCUGCACUUUUAUACUCCUAUGAAACUACAUUUUUUAAGUGCUAAAAAUAGACCUCUAGAAUUCAUAAAAUACUUCAUAUGCUCAAUACUGCAAAUCUGAAAUUCAAAAGACAUUCAUAUCUGAAAGUACUCUCAAAAUACACAAUUCACAACCUGCAAAUACUGACAACCCUAAGCUCCUCCUGACAAUUCACAACCUUCCCGACUAUUGGGCUGGGGGGGGGGCAGUCCCCUCCUAUUCCUCGUUGGCAGACAGCCGCCCCGUGAGACGAUGUGAAUAGCGAGGGAGAGGAUGGUGGGGAAGCAUCGUCGGGCCAACCGCUUUUCUCCUCUUGUAGUUGGGUUCGGUCGACGAAGACUCCACCGGCUCGCUCUGGCACGACACCCUCACAAACGGCACCCUGUAGAUGCUCGAUCCUUCAAUCUCUGGUGGAUGCUCCAUCUGGGAUCAAUACUCCCACCAUCGCUCCCUCACGAUCGGAUUCGAUGAAUCUAUUUGCUCCAUGGCCCAGAGGAGCAGCUCUAUGUACUCCCGCGCGACUCCCUUCGGGAGUAUCACCGCCUUUUUGCUCUGUUGGAGAUAUUUGGCCAUGGAUGUCGCUGUCGCCGCUAGUUGGUCCUUUUUGUCAAACCAAGACUGUAUCUCCAACAUCCUAGCUAGCUUCACAGGGUCGCCGUCUGCGAUCCUCACGUAUCGGUUGUACUCCUCCAUCGUUCAACUUCUCCACAUCACAUUCACUCGCCGGCGGUGGUUUUUGAAUGGAAGAGGAGAGGAGCAGUGCUAGUUUUGGAUUAGAACGGGAGAGGAGCAACGCUAGUUUUGGAUUGGAACAGGAGAGGAGGGGUGGUGGUUUUGAAAUGGAAGAGGAGAGGAGCGGCGCUGGAUUUAGAUUGGAACAGGAGAGGAGUGGCGGUGGUUUAAGAGGAGAGGAGCGGCGCUGGUCUUGGAAGUAUUUUUUUGUUUUGCGUAUUUUGGGUCAAAGUUUGACCAUGUACUGUAUUUGACAAGCAAAAUGUGAAUGCAUGUCACCAAAAAAUGUAUCGUUUGGUUCAUAUCUGAAUGUACUUUCAAAUUAUAUAAUUUUUGCAACGUAUAACAUGUAUUUUAUUUGUGAAAAUCAUGGUCAAUUAUGACCCAGAAUAAAAGGGAGACUAGUUAAUGUGGGUCACUUUCUUAAUUGAAGGGUAAAUUGAUUUUGAUUUUGAUCCAGUCACAGCGCGCCGGCCCUCUCGUCCAAUCCUAAAUCGCUGCCACACGCUCCUCUCCCUCUUCUCCAUUGCAAAACCACCUCCUCUCCUCUCCAUCAUCUCCAUUCCAAAACCACCAUCUCGCCUUUCCCUCUUCUCCAUUGCAAAACCACCCCCUCUCCUCUCCAUCAUCUCCAUUCCAAAACCACCAUCUCGCCUCUCCCUCUUCUCUAUUGCAAGACCACCGUCUCUCCUCCCAUCUUCCAAAGCUAGCACCGGACUACUCAGAAGGACAACUAUAGAGAGGAUGCAGCAGCGAAUCAGGCAGAUCGCCGGCGGCGACCAGGGAAAGUUAGCUAGGUUGAAGGAGAUCCUUACUUGGUUUGACAAUGAGUGGGAGAUUUCGAGGACGGUGAGGGCCAUGUGGCAAUAUAUGCGAAAGAGCGAGACUGCGGUGAUGAGGGCGGCGGUGUACUCGGUGGCAGUCACGCCGUAGUCCUUCGAGUUCAUCGAGUAUCUCCUCUAGGCGAUGGAGCAGACAGAUUCGCCCGAGGAAAAAGUCAGGCGGAGGUGGUGGGCGUACAGGUCGAAGGUCGAGCACCCAGAGGAUAACGAAUCGAUCGAGUACGGUGUGCCGUUCGUAAGGGUGCAGAGCCAGCCGGAGCCACAGGAGUAUUCAUUCUCCCACCGCAAGAGGAGGCCAGAUGGCGCGACGUCGCUUCCCUGCCAUUCUCCACGGUUCCCUCGACACUCGCCUCGCUUCAACAGCGGCGGUAGGGUUUAAGGUAAGCUUCACACUAACCUAAUCUUCCAUCUGCUCAUGCUUACAAUCAGUGUGACAACUAAUGAAAAUCAUGCUUACAAUCAGUCUCCGAGUACUACGCCAAUCACCCUAAAAUAGCUCUAGACCUUUGGGUCAAAGUUGUGACACUGUGUACAAAUAAAGAAAAAUAGAUUAGUGCUUCUUUCAGAAAAGAGUACUCCCUAGAAAACUGCCAAUAUAAGCUACUAGUAUUUGGUUAGAGGAUUUGCUGCCGAGAAAGAUCCGUCCACAGAGAGCGUCAAACAUCCCACUGGUGGUGGUGGAUGCCAAUGCGUGCAUGGAGCAUGGUUGGUGUCGGUAAUUUUUACUUGCCACACCUCGCACUCUGCAUAUAUGCCGGUUCCACCUGUACAUUUGUGCAGUUCCACCAAAAUGCAGCUGAAUAACCCUGUUUGCACAGAGAAUGAAAAAGCGUGAUUACAUUAUAGUGGCACUAGUUGAUGAAACAUACACUAAUAAAUAGAAGAAAAUAUUGCGAUAGCAUCAUAGUAUGCCAUGCUGCGAGGGCGAGAUGGGCCCUUCGACGCCUCAUACGGUACGCCCCAUACUAGAAAGCGACCCAAGUCUCCCCGAUACACCUUCUGCCAGUGGCGAACAUCAGUGUACAGCGGUAGUACAAGGAGGGGCCUUGAGACAUCCGAAUCUCUAUUUUUGUGUAGAUCAACUAAAAUUAAGCACCCCAGUUUGCAGAAACGCUUAAACAUUGGGACUAGUUGAUGAAACAUAUACUAACAAAAAACACUUUCUUAUCUAUAUUGGAAAUGAAAUGAUAGAGAGGACACUCGCUCUAUUUUAACUGUAUUAUUACUUCAUUUUAUCAGUGGCGCUAGGGUCGAGCAGGUGGCAAACGAGGUGUACCGUGCGUCGCAAGGAUGGAGGCUGGGGGUGCUUAGACUAGGAUGCUGAAGCUGGGUCUAUCUUCCCCCCCUGAUGUUUCUGGGGUAGCAUUUGGGUUGUAAUCCAAACUUGGUCGAGCUAGUGCUGCAUCCCCCUACCUGCCUAGCUUAUGUAGCGAACUUGUCUCCUGCUAGUACUCAGUCCGUUCUAGUAGUAGUUGCAUUACUGCCCGUUUACACUGAGAUGUUGCCGGAUAAUGGUUGUCUAUGGUAGGGUUUCUUUAAUGAAAUCGGAGGAAACCCCCUCUUUCGAUAUAUAAAAAAAAUCAAUGGCACUAGCGGUGCCAAAACAUUGCCUCAAAUUAAUAGUGCCACUAGAUUAAGGUGCAAAAUAAUAUCAUUACUGCUUUAUCAUGGCAGUGCCAAAACAGUAGCACAAGAGCAGACUCAACAUGCAGGAUCUUUGGCAAAGGGUCAGACCAAAAAGGAACAUACCUCUUGAUGGGAACCGUAUCUGUAGUCAACACCAUCGUAGAAGGGAUGACACCAGUCACCAACAUGGAUGAUUCAACUCAUGGGACCUUUUGGUGUAGUUCACCUAAAAUGAAGCAAUGUCCCAUGAGCUAGCAGCUUCUUCAUUUUUUUAAGAAGAGGGCUCCAGCCCCGGUUCCAUUUCCAUCAGAAAACGAAACCCACAGAGCUUCUUCUUCAUUAGUUGCAAUAAAAUUGAGCAACAUCAAGGUUGGUUGUGAAGCUCACGGAAUGUUCAACUAUAAUUUGGAUAACAUUUGUGCAGUUCAACUAAGAUCAAGCCUGAAAUGUAUAUCUCGGUUUGCACAAAAAAGGUGGAAAGGAGGGUGACUAACAAGUGAUGAAACAUACAUCAAAUGAAAAGAAACAUGUUCCUUAUCUGAAUGGCAAUCCUACAAGGACAGUAGCAAUUUCUAAAGCAGCAACAUUGCUAGAUAUUAGUGUGGGCAUUAGGAUUAACUAUGACAAUCGUUAAAUACGACAUUACUUUAAUGGUGCCAUUACUUCAUUUUACCAGCAACAUUACAUUAACAGCUGCUACAGAGUUGGUAUUUGGGCAUGGGAGAGUAGGCGGACCAGGACAGUUGCAUUUCUAACGAAAAUAAGCAACUUAUCUUAAUGGGAAAUUUAGCAGGACAUGAAAAAAAUGCCAUUGAUUCAUAUUACUGCAGGCAUUACAUUGAAAACAACAUUGGUUUAACGUGUCCUUACUUUUAACAGUGCGACUGCUACAUUUUACCAGUGGCAUUACAUAAGAGUGGCUCGGGGCAACAAACAUCAGAACAGGAUAUCUGGGUUGGUCCCAUUUUUGUUCGGUAUAGCCACCUUAUACUGUGUGAGGCUAGCAAAUCUAGUGCUGGACUUACUCUGUUGACUUGUCCCCCAGUCCCCACUUUCUUUCCUUUUUCAACCAAUAGAUCGGGUUUAUAUUGAGUUUGUACUGCGUUUCCCUUUAUUUCCCUAUUAGACCAAGAGACCAGUUGGAUAGCUAGUCUCUACUACUUUUCGCCCCCAUUAUUUCCUCUUUCGACCAAGUCCUAGAUUUAGGUAACAAAUCUUCCCCCACCCCCACCCCUUUCUUCCUUGUUUGAAACAAGUAGUACUAGAUUCGAGUGCACGAACUAGUUUUACCUCUUAACAGUAAAAAUUUAGGUGGCUUUCGAACAACAGAUCGAUCCUAUCUACGAGGGGGCCUGGGAAAUAGUAAAAGAUACAAAUGCAGCGACGUCACGAGCUCGGGAAGUAGAGCAAGGCCGGUUUCGACGGAAGUUAUACCUGAGGGUCGCUGGGAUGUCGCUAGGUGGGCGGCGGGAGGCCGAAUCUUCCCACACUACGACAGCGAGGAAGAAGGGGUCAGAGGCCCUCCCUAGCCAGCGGUGCUUGGGAGAGAACGGCAAGGCACGCUGAUCGGGACGCGCCGGCAGUGGGUAAGAGCCGUCGCCGAGGACGACCGCGUGAACGUUGCACCUUCUUACCUUCCCCGGCGGAGAGGAUCCGGCUGAAUCUGUGACCAGCGAUGAGCAGAGAGAGAGAGAGUGUGUGUGUAGCCACCGCUGUCGUGUUUAGAUCUGGAGAGGACGAGAUAGUGUGAAGAGAGCAACACUAGCAAGCAAGCGCGGAGGCUCCUGCCUAUAUAGUUUUCUUUUGUCUACCGGAGCCGGCUUGACCUCAUCAAUGACUGUCGAGAAGUCUUCAUGCACGUGGCCCGGAGGCGCAGUUGUCGUCAUUUUGAUCUGAAGCAUCGGAUUAUAACAUAUAACACAAAAAAAUGCCACAUGAAAAGAAACCAUAACCUCACUGCCCAAAGGAGACAACAUGAAUCCCAACGGACAAACCAGACGAGGAUCAAAGCUCAACUUAAAGAUAAACUCGUAGAAAAGGGGUCCAUCGAUAGAUGUCCUAAUUAACAUAGCCGGCUUGACCUAGAUGGCAGCCGAGUAGUCUUCGUGCAUGUGCCCCCAAUGACUAGCGCCUUGGAGGAACUUAGUUGUCGCUGUUUAACCCUCACAGUGAUCCGAAGCACAUGACACCUAAUAUUGCGAGAUGACAAGAAACCUUUUUUUAGAUUUCUCAUCAAAACUACAACCCUGUACAACACAGCCUACAUGAUAUGUAGACGAUAGCCAAUCCAGGCGUGUCUGCUGGAGUCUGGUCACAUGCAUGGACGAACUGAUCUUCCGUGUCAUGCAGGGAUCGUCUAGGCACCAACGUCUGUAUAACACUUCUCUAGUACUUUUUUUGAGGAUCACUUCUCUAGUACUAUCGCUCGUCUCUCUCUUCUAUUAACUCACCCGACUUGUGGGGCCGGGGAGUGUGCCUAUGGUCAGUUCUCGAUUGCGGUCCCACAUGUGUGUGCAAACGCAAUAUGACGCGCAUUCCAUUCGGAGAGUGGCGUGCCAGACCGACCGACCGUCUGGGGUGCGACGUGAACGCGACGGGCGUGUUGUAUACUCCGUACAUGUGUACCGCCAUUUUCUUGAGGCUUUGCUCCAUGGCGCAAUCCAUGGAUACAAAAUUAGUAUACUAUACUAUUUAAAAGUCGAGGGCGGGGCUUUUCCCGCGCGGUAGGCGGGGAAGUUCCACCUAGUCGGUUCGACAGAGACGCGAGAAGAUGAGGGAGUAGGCUGCUGCAAACGUAGGGCUGUGUGAUUUGCCAGCGAGUUACUGCUGGAUAGGUGGGCCCCGUGAUUUGACUUGCCAUUAUCAUUUUAACUACGGCGCUACGACCGGCAUGAGUCUCCCGAUUCCUGACCACCUCCAUGGUAUACAGGUGCCUCUCCCAACGCUCCACCAUGUAGAGGCUGGCUCUUGCAUGAGAGCCCACUCCUCCACUUUUUCCUUGCCUCUUUCCUCCACAUAUGCAAAAGUGCCAUGUAAGGGGGCUUAUAGCCCACUAUUGUACUUGCUCCUACAGGUGCUAAGCCUGCCACAUAGGCAUAAAGUCUGAUGUGGCAAGCUAAUUAGUAGGAAGAGAGAGACUAGUUUGGUGACCCCAGGAAGAAACGGUGCUAAGCGCGUGUACCUAGGUGAAAAGACAAUUUUGAGUCUAUAGCUAAUUAAAUGAAGCAAACUUAGCAACAAAAAACUAAGCACCUAUGCAUUGGGGACUUGAGUUGUUAAGCCAUUUAAUGCCCUUAGCACCUCAUCUAAGCACCAUUUCAUUGGGAGAGGUCACUCCUUGGCAAAUGCAAUAAAUACUACGAAGAAAGAGAUAGAGAGAAUUAAAAAAAUUACUCUUAUAGCCAACCUUAUAGCUAACCUUGUUGUAUAAGUGAUGACUAUGUAUGACAUGCCAACAUCAGAUAGCCUAACGCACCGUGUUAAAUCUCCAAGGGCGCGACCGCGCGAGCGAGGCGACGGUCGUGGACUAGUGGUAGGCGCGACCAUGAUACGGGCUGCUGGCAGCCCUUGGAUCUGAGAUCGACCGGUCGCAUGCUAAGUUGCUGAAAAUUUGCAGAAUAACCCUCCAGGAUAGGAUAUUCACCCAUAGGUCUAGAAUCACGCCGUGCAACCGUUCGAUCUAGAAUCUAAGGGCUCUCAGAAGCCCGUAUCAUGGGAGAAUGGAAAGCUUCAUAUCAUCUAUAAUUUUCCCGACGCUUGACACAUCGAAAGCCAUUAAUUGGGCGUCGAGUAGACAUGCCAUCUAAUUGGGCACCCAUAGUACUGUGCAUGAAUCCAUUUAUCCACCCGGCAAGCCACUACCCUGCCGUUCGCAUGCCCCACUCUGCAUUUUACAAUUGAAAAACCGCUGGUAGUUUGCUCCUACUCGUCCCCAGACGUCCUCUAACAUUACGGCAGUUCGCUCCUAGUCGUCCCGUCCUUUCACAUUACGGCAGUUCCACUAAUCCUAACCCUCCUCCCAAAUCCAUGGCGUCCCAAAUAUCCAUGAUCAGCGGUUAGUACAAGGUUAGAACCAUCACCGGCGAUGAGUUUGACGUCAUCUACACCCGUUCUUCCGCGAUGGUGAAAGGAUGCCUUUCUCGCUUGAGACGCAUGUUCGAAAACUCAAAUGAUGAGUGGGUCGCUGGGCUAGAUGUUGAGUACACCACAACCCUGGACAAAGAGAAGAAUCUAAAGGAGGAAGAGAAGAUGAAGCCCGCCGUGAUCCAGGUUUGCGUGCAUGACUUAUGCUUGGUCUACCACAUAUGCCAUGCCGACGUUGAGUAUGAGGAAUUUAAGAACUUCCUCAAGGGCAGCCGAGUCAAAUUCGUUACUGUAGACUUUAGGAACGACAGGGAUGUCAUGGGUCGGAUAGGCCUCGUUGUAGGAAACCCCUUCGACCUCCAGAAGAAUGGGCUGAUGCCCUCCCGUGAUCAGCCUUCAAUGCCGACCCUGGCAGGAGCCAUGGUUCAUCCUUCGUACGGUACACUGAAGAAACCUCCGUUCAAGUUUCAUCGUGCAUGGCAGUGGAAUGUACUAGAUAUAGACCACAUCCACUAUGCUGCAAUGGAUGGCUACCUUUGUUUCAAUAUCUACAAGGGUUGGAUGAAGAGCAAGAGCCAAGUGUGCGGUUCAAGCAAAUAAGUAUCGACCAAGAGGAAGAGGGACAAGGACGAAGUCGAGCACGUGGACGAGGAGUCUGAGUAAGGUGGUAGUGUCGUUGCUCAUGGUGGUUCUAAUGCAGUGUGUCGUGGUUUUGUCACGGCAGAUGUCCUAGAGAAAGGACUUAGUCGUGGAGCCAUCGCUAUGGGUUAGCUUAAAGGGGUUAAAGCGGACAAGGGACGCAAGAGAGUUUUAUACUAGUUCGGCCCCUUACGAUGAAUGUAAAAGCCUACGUCUAGUUGUGAUGGAAUUGCUGGGGUUUCGAUGACCAGGGAGCGAAUACGCUUUGCCUGAGUCUCAAGUUGUUGUCUGUUGUCCUUGAACCGCCGCCGGGUCGUCCCCUUAUAUACAUGGGUUGACGCCCGUCGGUUUACAGAAUCCCGAGGCCGGCUCAUAAACAUGUCAGGCCCGGUCUCUGCCAUUUCUAUCUUACAACACAAGUUUACAUAUCAACACCGGUUUAUAUAUAUAGGCCUUAAACCGGCUCUGGGCCCUGGGCCUUCAUAGCGUCAAUGUCUGUCUUCAUGGGCUUCAGAUAUAAUGAAUUACUAUGGGGUUAACCCGGCUUCUCCUGUCCGGUUUACGCCCAGUGGUAAUAUCCCCAACAUUAGGCCCCGGAUUGAUUUGAACUUGUUCAUGUCAAUCCUCAACACUUAAGAAAAUUUCUUCUUCAACAUAUUCACGUAAUCUUGUAAACCGCCAUGACGUCAUCUUCCAAGACCAUGGUAAACCGCCGUGAUGUCAUCUGUUAUUUAAAACUGUGUAUAACCCACCUUCAUUAAUGGGCCUCCGAUGAUCGAGGCAACAGAGCUGUCACACACCCCAUUUUUCGGGCUCCUCGAUUCUCGCGCCUGCCCUUUAUCCAUUCAUAUUAUAAAUAGGGCCGAGGGGUCACUUUCACUUUUCCCCCUCGUGCCUCUUCGUGUCGUCGUCUUCCUCGCGCCCACCGACCCUCAAGCUCUGCCGCCGCCGUCGUCCUUCGCCUCUGCUUCGACAAAGGCCGCUGCAUCAACCUGAUCGUAUCAGAGAAAAGCGGUGAUCCUCCGCUGCUUCCUCCUGCACCAGUAAGUCCCUCUUCUUCUCGCCCUAGAUUCGCCAUUAGGGUUCAGUGUUCUUCAUAGCUUGAAGCUGUUCUUCCUUCGAUAGCACCAAUGGCCGGUUAGAUCUGACUAUUUUCAGCGCCUUUUGUAGUUUAGACUCCUUUCUUCUUGUUAAGGCACCUGCUUGAUAUCCAACUCAUCUGAACUUACUGAACUUUUUGAGCGCUUGAUAUUAGACCAGAAUAUAUUUUGAUUAUCCAACACACGGCAGAUCUAAAAUUCCCAUGCCAAACUGUGAAACUUGUUUUUUCCUUCACUUAUACAUCUUUAUACCUUUAAUACCAAAUUAGGCGGUUUAACUUCACAGAAAAAAUGAUGACCCGGUAGAUACCAUUAGUCCCCUGUUGAACCGCCAAUGCAUUCACCAUUGUACUGUUUCCAUUGCCAGACUCCGGUUUAUGAAUAACCAACUCUAGUUUAACAAUAUGCUUAUAUCCUUAUACCGCUGUACGGCUGUCCACUGUAAAUCUUAAACCGGCAAUAAUCAUGUUUCAGAUUUCCAUUGCCAUGGCCAAGCAAGUCUAUGAGUGCAAUUGGGCUCCUUCUCGAGUAACCGAAGAGCAGUUAAACAAUCUUGUUAAAACGGGCGCUUUAGCCAAGAAAUAUGUCAUCCACUGGAGAGUCCCUGGCCCGGAAAAUCCUCCUACACCCAAGGACGGAGAGGUAGUCGUGUUUGCUGACCAUCUGGGUCAAGGUUUUAGCCCUCCCGGUUUGAAAUUUUUCCGAGAUGUACUAGCCAAUUUUCAGCUGCGCCCUCAAGACAUCGGUCCCAAGUCUGUGACCAACAUCUGCCACUUCCAAGUCUUCUGUGAGGCUUAUCUGCAAGAGGAACCUACAGUCGAACUGUUUAGAGAUUUAUUUCACUUAAACCGUCAUACAGAGUUCACAGAUGAACCCAAUACGGAACUGGGCGGAAUGGCGGUUCAGAAAAGGAAAGAAGCCACUUUCCCUCAUCCCAAGCUCCACAGUCACCCCAAAGAGUGGAACCAGACCUGGUUUUACUGCAAGGAUACAUCUCCACCUGAUGAAAACCCCCUGCCGGGUUACCGCCCUGAACGUCUUAGCAACACACAUCCUUUUCCUCAAAGGUUGACUACAAAAGAAAGGGCCAACUAUGCUCCUCAAUUAUCAAAGCUUAGAGCCUUCAUAGCCAAUGGUUUGACAGGAGUUGAUCUUGCUCGUUGUUGGAUAAGCUGGAGUAUUCUGCCUUUAAGCCGGCGCUCCGGUUUGAUGUUUGAAUAUACGGGGAGUUUGAAGGAUGCUCAGCGGCACAUUGACAUUCAGCUUACAGAUGCAGAAGUCACUGAGGCUGUAAAGAAAAUGCUGAACGAACCGGAGGCUGUCUGUGCCCAAACCGGACUACUCCCUUUCUGCACCUUCAACAAACCGCCAGCUGUAAGAAUCAUAUAAUCUUUUUAUCUGAAGUUGCUUCUGUCCAAAUAUUCUCUAAAAGUGUGAUUAUUUUCUGACAGGGUGAUGAUCCAUUCUGGAACAAGAAACCACCACAAGAAAAGCCGGCGAAACCGCAAGACAAACCGGUCAAGCCGCAAGAUAAACCGGUCAAGCCGGUUCGUCCAAAGACCAAGGUUGUUAAAAAACCUGCCAAGAAAAGGACCACUGCAUCCUCCGAGCUUCCAGCUGAUGACAAUGUGGGUAAGCCGGAAUCAGAGGUAGAACUUGACUCUCUUGGUUCAUUUUUCGUACACCUCAUUGACAAUGAUUAUUAUCAAGACGAUGCUGAAGGCAGCCACGCUGAUGAUGUAGAGGAAAUCAUUCUUUCCUCCGAUUUAGAUCCUCUGCCAACAUCAAAAAUUGGUCGAGCAAACCGGAAAGUAAAAUUUUCUCACCCCCUUGCUUACUUGGACCCAAACUUUCUUUUGAAGACACAGCAGCAUGAGGCUCGCUGCACAACCCGGCACAGCGGCCAGGUAGUCACCUCCGCCGGUUUACCGAACAGCCCAGUUCGGAAACGCCGAUCAGAGGUCUCUUAUCCCCUUGACACUUCAUGCCCCAAAGCAGGUUGUUUCCGCCAGCCUCUUAACCCGUUUGAUUCAAAUUAUCAGGGCACUUCUCACUCAUCUUCUGGCGAGUCGUCGGCCACAAAACUUCCACCCCUCAAAACAGUUCUUCGGUGAGUCAUACACUUAUUUUUAUCCUUGAUAUGUUAUUUUAAUAUAUACUAUACUGAUCCUCAUGUUUAUUUUUCUCAGCGCCAAGCCAAGACCCAGCAAGAAGGCUCGGUUGAAUGAACCGGCUGAUGAGGACGUGGCUGUUGAACCGGAGAAAACUCCAGAUCUUGAAGAGACCAACAUUGAUGCCAUACUGAAUGACCCACCGCCUCAAGAUCAUGACUUCGUUGCUGAGCAGGUAGAAGUUGACACCACGAGCCAUGCUGACCAGCCAACCAGCCCCGUCCGAACUGGCAACAAACUGGCAAGUUCGGUUAAAAAUACUCACAAACCGCCAACCCCAGUAAUGGCUGCUGAUGACAAAGAUGAUGACAUUAUGAUUACUGGCCAUACCGCUCGUGGCAAUCCUGUCGCUUUGUCAAAGCAUACUGCCAAAGAUGAGCUCUCUGCAAUUGGCAAAGGCAAAUGGAACGCCGAUUUGUCAAAUUAUGCCCAUCUGAAUGCUCAAGACCUUCACUCUGGCUUCCUGAACCGUCUGUACACCAGCCGUGACUAUGAAGCCGGUUUGGUAAAUAUGAUGAAGGAGCGAUAUGAGGUAACUUCAUAAGUGUUUCUCUCUUAUAUUUAAUUGCAGCUUAUGAACUCCAGUAGCCCCCAAGUGACGGUUUAAGAUACCAAUUUAAACCGGGACUUAGUAACAAUUUCAUGUUUGCAACAAUGCAUCUUAACUUCACUGAUGUAGCCCCCAAGGGACGGUUUAACUUUAUAAAGAUGAACCGGGACUUUGUAGAAGAAUUCCCAUAUCAACAUUUUAUGAGCAAAUACACAUUAGCCCCCAAGUGCCAAGCUUAAUACUUGUAUUGUGCUUGGGACUUGUAAAAAUUUCUGAUAAAGAGCAAAUAUGCAUUAGCCCCCAAGUACUAAGGGCAUAACUUGUUAUGUGCUUGGUACUUCAAAUAUGUACUGUCAACUCAUUAUAUAUCUGUCUCUUUACAGGCUGAACUGAGCAAGAAGGAAAGCCAAACCGCUGAUCUGCAAGAGAACCUCAAAUCCCAGCAAGCUGAAACCUCCAAAGCGAAGGAAGAAUUGACCAGCGCUCUAGGUGCUAUGGAGAAACUGAAAGAGGGCUUCAACAAAGAGCGGGCGGAUUGGGAGACUGAAAAAUCCGCUUUGAUAAAAAGGGCUGAAAACGCAGAAGCCGCUCUUAAACCGGUGGUUGAUGAACUGACCGGCGUAAAGGGGCAGAUUCAUGCCAUGACUGCUGCUGUGUUCGGUAAACAUCUUUUCCUGAAUACUUUUAACAUAUCUUUCCCAUGUGUUGUCGGUUUACUGAUGUGUACAAUGGUGCAGGAACUUGCAUUAGCCAUCUGGGCUCUGAUGUACAGAAGAAGUUGAAAGCUGCCUACACUCUGAUAGAGCAACUGUAUACCGGUGCGUAGCGGAUCAUCUAUACUGCUUCACACAAUAAUCCUCCUCACACUCUGAUCAAGGAUACCUUAGAAAGGUUAUCUAUGCUUCCUGCCCGUGUAGACGAGCUAAAAAAGUCUGCCGCUAGAACGGGCGCUUUGGCCGCACUAACCCGGGCAAAAGCGUGGGUACCUGACUUUGAUCCAGUGGAGGCGGCCCAAGGCUAUCCCAGUUUAAAGGAAGACGUAACAAAAUUUGGGAAUGAUGAUCUCCGAAUCAUAAACCGGGAAGUACGCCCAUUGGCUUGUCAACUGGUGGAAGAGGCAGAUCUUUCGUACUAUCAGGCGAGUUAUGAUGAUAAGAACAGACGGGUUGUGGCACCAAUUCCAGAAGCGCAAAAUCUUAUCCCACCAAUCCGUAAGCCCUAACAUUGAACCGUCCAUGCUGAUAUUGAACCGUCCAUGCUAAUAAGCGAUGAAGCUGUAUUCCAAGCCCUAACUGGGAUCAACCGGGCAACUGUUGAUUUCCAGCCACUAGGUAGAGAGGAGGGAGUUGAACCGGUGCGAGAUGAUCCGCGGCUGUCAGGCCAAGCUGGUGACCAACCAUGAACCAGAGGCCAGUUUAGUCUUCUACAUGCUGCAACAUGUAUUUGAGAAAACAAUUAUCCUUUUGGGCACUGAAACGCCUUGUAAUAGGCUAGUUAAAAUACUUGGUCUGGUAUGCCUUCGUGCAUAUUUAUCUGCGACUGAUGCUUUCUUAAUCCGACAUGCUUAAGAUAUGAUAUUCAUAAUCCAUAGCCAUUUAUUCAAGCUAUUCCUGCAGAUAAGAAGCUUAAAGCGCCCUGGCGGUUUACCCCCGGGCGGGUCAUGAUACCCAAAUAUAUAUAUGAGCAAGGUUUGUAACCAAGGUUGUAAAAGAUAACCAAAUAUGGAAAUAUAUAAUACCUGCGACUUUUAGGCAUGUUGUUGGCUGACCAACUUUGUAGUGAGGGCCAUAACCCUACUCUGGAGGAUAAGUAACUCCUGUUAUAUGAUGCCGGUUUACAAUAAAUCCAUUCCGGGUGUGAUAAACACCGGUUUAUUCCAUACUGUUGACUUUGAGUCAAAACCAAACCGGGCUGAUAGUCUCCGGAUUAUAAUUUGAUCGUGUACUGACAACUUGUAGUUGACAGCCCAACCGGGUUGAUAAACACCGGUUAAAAAAAUAUCACAAAUCUUAUGAAAACAAAGAAAACUUAGCAAAAGGCAAAUGAAAACCGUUGUAGUCGAGGCUUUUCACGGGCUGCCAGGCCCCAAAUUCGAGGCUUUUCAUGGGCUGCCAGGCCACCGAGUUAAACCAUUUUUGCAAAGCCUUUUAAGAUGGUUCUCAAUCCUUAACCAAUCAUCGUUUUAACUUGACAAGUUCAGGGUCUUUAUUUUAGAGUAACUUGUCAAAGUUCAAAGGGUCAUACCAGGUUUACCUGGGCGGAGUGACUUACUUAAAUAGGCAGGUUAACCCGGGGUUUUAUGUGUAUACACCAGGCUUCCAAGCCAUGGCUUGAUAGCCUGUUACAAGUGUAGAUUCUUAGUUCAUUUCGACAGCAAAGAAUCCCCAAGUAACAUUGCACUACAAAAAAAAUACACUUCCGUGAUGAUACGUGUUUGUCACAGUAGGUCGCGUUUUUUGUCAUGCAUGUACAUCCAUGACGAUUUUAUGACAGAAUCAAGAUAGUCAUACCUGUGCUGUCGUAGAAGUGUUCCAUGACAUUACCAAAAUUAUCAUCACGGAAGUGUGCACUUCCAUGAUGAUAAAUCGCGCGUCACAGAAGUGCUUUUGUCAAGGGUGACCGACACAUGGCAUCCACCGUAACGGAACGCCGUUAAGCUAUCGGAUCGGGUUUUGGAUCCGAUAACCCGUUAACAGCCCCGACCAAUGGGGAUUUUCCACGUGUAAAAUCAUCAUUGGCUGGAGGAAACACGUGUCGGCUCAUCGUUGGGACAGAUGUCAUCCACUCAUUGGACAGAAGGCACCUAUGAUACGUCGACACGUGGCACGGCCCAACAGAGGCCCAUUCCUGUGAAAAGGCCGGCCCGUUUGACUUGGUCAAAAGGUGGCGGGCCGGCCCAUGGAAAGCUUGUUAACGGCCUGUUCGCAUAUAGCCCAUUUACAGCCCGCUAACCCAAGGCCCUUACGCCCUAUCCGAAUUAGGCCCAGUAGCGUCAUCUGGGCCAUCCAAUAUGAUUCCAGCCCGUUUUCACUUCUGGCCCAUGUAUGGCCCAUGACGUCUUUCGGCCCAUAUGAGGCCCUAUGUAACUCUUGGCCUAUUAACGACCCGUGGUGAAACUGGCCCGUAAUGAAUAGUGUAUCACUUUACACCCAUUAACGGCCCGUGGUGAAACUGGCCCGUAAUGAACAGUGUAUCACUUUAUACCCAUUACCGGCCCAUUAUUCCGUUGGGCCGUUUCCAGCCCAUGUUAUCUUUCAGCCUUCUCAGAGCCCAUUUAUUCUUGGGCUCAUUUCCAACAUUCCUUUACUUAUGGCCCAUUACUGUCAUUUUCUGCUUGUGGGCCAAAUUCAGCCCGUGGUUACAGUCGGCCCGUUUGUGGUCCGUUAAUACGUUGGGCCGUUUUCAUAGCGUCAUCAAAUACGGCCUAUUAACGAUGGCCCAUUAUGGUCGGCCCAUGAAAGGACGAUUCCAACUCUAGCCCGUUUACGGCCAUAAUGCGGCCUAUUAUUGGCCCAUGUUUGGCCAAUCGAUCAUACGGCCCGUAUAAGGCCCAUUGAUGAUACGGCCCGUAGAAGGCCCAUUGUUUCUACGGCCCGUAGAAGGCCCACUGUUUCUACGGCCCGUAGGAGGCCCAGUGUCACUACAGUAAAUAUUAGCCCAUGGUUAUUGUGGCCUAGUUUUAAAAAUAAGGUUAUUGCAGCCACUAGCAAACCGCGGAAAAAGAACUGCAUUGACUACAAGCAAAGAAAUAAACAAGACAACAAGGAAAUAAAUAAGCAAGCAACUUAUGCUAGGCUAUCACGUCUAUUACACAUAUUACAUCCACUGGGCAUCAAAGUUCACCACCAGUGCAAAUAUAGGGAACAAAGCAGCAUAUAAACGUCGCAGCAAAACAAGUCCAGAACUAAAACCACUUCAGAAGAGUUCAAGAAACAAUAUCCUGGGUACCCAUAAUGCUGGCAAGAUGCUUAGCAAGCUUAUUAACUUUCUCUUGUUUGGCGCUUAAAUCCUCCAGCGCUUGCUGUUGCACAAGAAAGUACGCAUCUGAAUUCUGCAGGGACUUCCUCAGUCCUUCGGCUUCUUGCCGCAGCACAGCUGACUAAUGCCUUUCAGCUUGUAGCUAAGACUGAAGAAGCCGAAGUGAUUCAGGAAGCGAGUUCGAAGAGCUUGUGCCAGCGGUACUGGCUAGUAACUCGAACACUACAUCAACGCAGGACUGUGGGGUUUUCUCACUGUCUACAAGAUCGUUUUUAUCACCUUUCUUGGAGACCAACAGGGUUGUCUCACUAUCUUGAACCUUAUCUGCAUUACUUUCUCUACCAUUGCAUAGUGGGGUGCUCUUCUCCAAUAUUCUGUUUGCAUACUACAAGAGAAACAAGCAGACACAUCACACGUUUAGCUUGUAGUAUACGAAACUCAUUUUGGUAAACCGGUUCAGUAGUAAGGUGGACAGGAUAACAGCAUGAAACAAACAUAUAUCUAAUUACUAUGGUCACUGUAUUGUCCAUAUCAUUCUAGUUUAUGUUCCCUAAUCCAGAUAGAGACAUAGUUCAACUCAUAUAUUUUUAAGACACAGCAGCAUAGACAGAAUAUAAGUGUGAGAAACUACACAGCAUUGGCAACACAUGUAAUGUGCAUCACAUGAGAACAUAACCGUUUAUACAACUUCAACUGAAAUCAACAUAGAGCAAGAAGUUAGAACAUCAAUCCAGUUAAAGAAAUAGGUUUAAAACAUACCUGUUGCGCCAUUGGAGUUUCAAUUGGAUCCUUCAAAUUCGGAAGUAGUUGGUAUGAGUAAAUACAGUGAUGCAACAGCAAAGGAGUAUGGACCAUAGCUACGGAAUCUGACCUGAGAAUAGUUGCUCUUCUGCUUUAAACGUGGAGUUUGGGUUAGCUGUGGUGGUCUUCGUGCUUUGGGCACUGCAGUAGCUUUACAAACUGCUCGUGUGGGGGUACUCUGUGGUGGACAUGGUUCUUUGUCAACUAUAAGUGGGUUACUAUCCGGUGGGGUUGCGGUUAGAUGGGUUGUAGCUGGUUCUCUGCCAAACGGUGUAAGUGUGCAAUCUGGAAGAGUCUCGAUUAUGUGUGGUGGGGCUAGUUUGUGGGCCAGUACAACCAUGGUUCUAUCUGCAUCGACGGGUAGCACUGUCUUUUGUGAAGAACGGGUUUUUGCUCCCUUAGAUAAUGCCAUCACCCCCUCCAAUUCAAAUGGCUGAUAAACAAGAAAAGAAAUUGAAUGUACAGACAUUGUAUGAUAGACAGAUGUGGUAAUUCACAUAUAUGUUGUCUAACCAAAUAGGACAGCAUGACACAAUUUCACAUAUAUGAUGCCUAACUAAACAGGAUAGCAUGACACAGUUUCAGAUAUAUGAUGGAUAACUUAACAGGAUAUAAUGGCAUAAUUCAACAUAUGAUGAGUACCUAAACAAGAUGACAUGACAAAACUAUAUGAUGUCUUUCUAAAAUAGGUUGGGAUGAAAUAAUUCACAUACAUGUUGUCUAAGUAUACAGGAUGGCAUGAUAUAAUUGACAUAAUUGAUUCAUAUACUAAGCAGCUGGGACUCGCAUGUAUGAUCUCUAAACUAAGUAGAUAGAAUUCAAUAUUGUGCAUAUGAUGUCUAAACUAAGCAAUGCAAGACACCAUAUGCAUCAUAUGAGAAAUAUAAAUAUUGCAACUUAGAGCAUACACCUCAGGUGGGAUAUAGGACUGGUCAUCUAUCUCUGAAUCCUCCUCUGAGGAGCUCCCUGUAACCAUUGAGAUAUAUGCUUCAACAGGUACCAUUGCCUGCUCAGAAGACCUUGUUUUCACUCCAGAUUUUCCCAUGGCCGACUCAAAUGGCCGAUGCACAGGAAGAGUAGAUGAAUGUAUAAACAUUGUUGACAAAUGGAAUACAUUAUGGAAAAAAAUAUGGCACAAUACAAUUCACAUAUACGAUGACUGGCUAAACAGGAUGGCAUUGCAUGAUUCACAUAUAUGAUGCCUGGCUAAAGAAGAUGGCAUUGCAUAAUUCCCAUAUACUCCCUCCAUUCCUAAAUAUUUGUCUUUUUAGAGAUUUCAAAUGGACUACCACAUACGGAUCUAUAUAGACAUAUUUUAGAGUGUUACUCAUUUUGUUCCGUAUGUAGUCACUUGUUGAAAUCUCUAAAAAGACAAAUAUUUAGGAAUGAUGGGAGUAUGAUAUAGAAACCAAACAGGUGGCAUUCACACAAAGCAAAUCUAAACUAAGCUGAUGACAUAUAAGAUGUAUAAUGUAAGCAAUGCAAGGCUCCAUAUGCAUGAUAUGACCAACAUCAGCAUGCCAGGUUAGAGCAAACACCUCAGGUGGUAAACAGGCAUGGUCGGCUCCUUCUGAAUCUCCAUCUGAAUAGUUAUCUUCCUCUGGAAUACAAUCUAGAAAUGCAAGAGGGGGGGGGCACUUCGCCCACCAUGGAGCGGCGUCUGCAUGACAUUAUAUUUGCACGCAACGGUCUUCUCUUUUUCUCUACAUGUUCAGUACGAUUGUGUACAAUAUCUGACAUGCAUAAUAAAAAAUAGUUAGAUUUUGUAAGGCCUAAGUGGUGCAUGCAAAAAUCAAGACCGAUGGUAGCAAACGAGUGGAUGGAUCCAAAACUAAUGAUAGCAGGUAGAUUAUAGCUUCAGUUUAAAAAGAUAGACAAUGGAUCAUCUAUUGUUUGUUGCCCACCCAACAUGAACCACAUAGAAGACCCCAGAUGAACCAGAUAGUAGACAGAUACUAUUCGUUGCUGGCUUGAUAUGAGACCCAUGGGCAAUUCAAAACUCAAGAUUGAACGAUAAAGUAGCAGGUAAUAAUAACCGAUGUAUAACGUAAGCAAACACGAAAGACUGCGACCUCUCUUCCGGAACUGUGUAGUCCUCAGGUUCAUCUGCUCAGUCGAUGAUGGUAAUGCAGUUGGCGUGGCUGCCGGCAAUGGGGAAGAUGAUCUGAGGCGGCGAAAGGAAGUCUGCAGGGGGGAUCUCUGCUAUAGUGAACGCUUCUGUCGAUGGUGCACCUCGGGUGGGGUGGAUGACGACACGGCAGGAGCAGGACAUAACACACAGAGUUUUCUUUGACGCCUAUCUGAAAAUGAAGUAAAUCUGUAAGGGCUCCUUAGAAUUGGAGGAUUCUAUAAACGCAGGGAUAGGAAAAACACAGGAAUAGGAUAGGAAUGCACGUGCAAAACAGAGCAUUUGGAAACAUAGGAUUUCAGUCAACCUGGGUGUUUGGCUCACAUGAAUUGGAAGAACAGAGGAAUGGAGAAACAAAGUGAUGCGACGAGUGUACAACCUCUUUGGCAUAGCCUUGUGGACCUCAGCAUCAUUGGGUUGGACGUGGAGGAUGGUGAUGAUGCUGGUGUGACUGUCGGAGGCAAGGAAGAAGAUCCGAGGCCUCUAGAAACGGCGCCGAGGGUACUGCUCCGCUGUGAUUGACGGUUCCGUCAUUGGAGCAGCUCCGCUAAGGUGUACGGCGACGAGGCUGAAGUAUGACAAGACAGACAACGGUAAUCUGAAGUGGGACCCUAAUAUCAUCUGCAAUAGAUGAUGUAAAAUACAUCACCAAAAAGGGCUACUCCCUCCGUUCCUAAAUAUUUGUCUUUCUAGAUAUUUCAACAAGUGACUACAUACGAAGCAAAGUGAGUGAAUCUACACUCUAAAAUGUGUCAACAUGCAUCCGUAUGUUGUAGUCCAUUUGAAAUGUUAGAAAGACAAAUAUUUCGGAAUGGAGGGAGUAGAUGUAAAACGCAUCAGCCGCGCCACGGCCGCUCCGACAGAUGCUGUAAGUACUGUUCACUCUGAACAUAACUGAAUAAAAUGAACUUCACAGUCGAAACUGAAUUUUACUGUCGAAACUGAUUGAACUAGUAACAGAGCAUUGCAAUAGAUGUUUAGGGCAUUCGAGCACUAGUAGCAGAGAAGCAGUGAUCUAAAUCAGCAGACACUCGAGCAGGGAAGGCACUAGCAGAGAGCAAGUCGUGCAGUAGCACCGCGAGCGAGUGCUAAAGCAGCAACUCCUGUAGCUGCCGGAGGUCGUGCAGCAGCAGCAGUGCAAGCGAGAGCCAGAGCAGAGCAGCAGCACGAACGAAAGCAGGAGCAGUGCAGCAGCGCGACCGACAGCAAGAACAGAGCCGCAGCGCGAGCGAGAGCCGGAGCAGCUGCAGCUAGUGCCGUUGUGGAAGUCGCCGCCGAGGAAGCAACGACAUGGGGGAGAGACGCCGUGGAUGAUGUGGCCAACGACGGCGCCGUCGAUGGAGACACGCAUGUCUGCUCGGUAUCGAGCACCGGCAGCCCGUGAGAUCGAAUAAAAGAUAAAAUGCAGCAGUGAGUGCAGAAUCUCCUUGGUGGCGCCGAGUUGGCCUCGGCUUCAUCGGAGGAAUUGGUGAGGGUGCUGCGGUUCCGGUGGGGCAGGUCAAGACGGCGCUGUGGGGAUUGAGGUGGCGUGAUAGACGAGGCGAACGUCGGGACAACUCCUUGGAGGUGGAGGACGGGGCGGCUGAUCCGGUGGGACGACGAGAUCGACAACGGAUCCUCAUCCGGUGCGGUGGAUGAGGGACGACGAGCUGUUGCGGUGGACGACGUAGUCGGGGAAGAGUCUCUGGCUGGGCGGCGGUCGGGAGGCCGACGGAGGAGCGUGGGGUUUCACAGGUUUUGGCGGCCUCGGUGUACGAAUGGGGGGGCGAAGGGGGAGGGGGAGCCAAGCUUAGGGACGCGCUUGUCCGAAAUGUAGGGUAAGUUACCAGCGUACCCCCACCGGUUUUGACACUACGACGUGGAGCUUCAUUUCCGGCUGAGGGGUAGAAGGGGGAUUUCGCUUGUCUGUGCUGCGGGAGUGCUUUCGGAUGAGGAGGGAGUUCUCGCGCGUGUCCAAAUUUUGGGAUAACAAGGCGUGGCGCGGGUUGAAGAAGCGGGAGUUUCAAAGCAGGUGAGACAAAAGAUACUCGAGCUUGAAAAUUUCGGGAUAACAAGGUGUGGAUGCCUUGUUCGGUAGAACAAACUUAACGUGUAAAAAAACAAUUCAUACAAGACACAAGAGAGUCAUGUCCCCUUUUACUAUAUUGCUAUAGAUGCCAUUGAAAAAACUACAAGAAAAAUGGAAAAAAAUCGGGAGAACAAGAUUACCCUGCACAGUACCAAAUCGAUUCGCACUUCCCUCAACAAAAAAAAAA
rnacentral:lncRNA from 1 species